rnacentral:lncRNA from 1 species
AAAAAAAAAAAAAAAAAAAAAAACUAACUUUGUUUGGAACCUCUUUCACGGAAUAUUGCAUGAAGCAGCCAAAUUCUCCAUUAUACUUCAGCUUUGUUCCUCAAAAAGUGUGGAACAUUUUUUUUUUUUUAAUGAAAAUGUUUUUUUAUUAUUUUUUGGCCCGUUUGAUUUGGAGAAAAACUAGCUUUUUUUCUUCUGAUUUUUAUAGAAAAAUAGUAUUUUUGUUUUUCUAAAAAAAAAAACGAAAAUUCUAGUUUUUUUAAUGAAAUUUGAAAAAAAAAAUCUUAGCAAAAAAAUUGAUUUUCAUUAGAACCAAAUUAAACUAGAAAAGAAAUUUUUCAUGAAUUAUUUUUCAGAAAUUUUUUUUUUUCCUACACUUUUCCAGAAAUCAAACAGCCCCAUAUUAAUUUUGACAACAACUACUAGGAUUUGGCAAGAGACCUACCUAAAUGUACUAUAAUUAAAGAUAAUAAAUGAUUAUAUAUAGAAAAAUCUUAGAGACACUGGUGUUAUAUUUUUCCCUCAAGUUUUUUUUUUUUUAAAGCAAAAUUGUUAACAUUAAUUUGAGAAACAUAAUGGGGAACUGGAAAUUGUUAUCUUUUAAACAUUUAUAUUUUACCCCCUCAAUAUUUCAAAUUGUUGUAUUUAAUCUUCCUCUAUUAGGAUUUUCUCACUAUUCUUUUCAUUUUUUAUAAUUUAUACCAAAAAUACCCUUCAAAACAUUUCUAAAAUUUUAACGGAGUAAAAAUGUAAUUAAAAAAUUCUAUAAUUUAACCUUCGAAUUUAUACUUUUUCUCCUAUUUUUAUCCUGUAGUUUUGAAGUCUAAGAUUUGAAUCCCUGCUAAUAUGUCCUUUAAAAAGAAAAAAAAAAACAAAACAAAAUUUGGCUUCUGAUUUAUUGGAUUACAUGUAAAUGGCAUAAGAGUUAGUUCUAUAACCCUCGUAGAGUUUUUUUUUNNNNNNNNNNNNNNNNNNNNNNNNNCACCACCGAUCUAUAGAAGCAUAUAGGAAGCACUUGAGAAGGCUCGAAGUUCUCAAGAAGUCUAAAAGUCAGAAUUAAACUCAGCAACUUUCUACGUCUUAAAGUUCUCGAGCGCCCUUACAAAGAGACAAUUUUCUAAUUCUGAUAAAGAAGAUAUCAGAUUUUUUUAUGCACUUGUUGCCAAAAUCAACUUACGAUGUAGGCCCAAAAUCUACUUAUUGGAUCAGAAUCAUUUUCAAAAAGGCAGGAUCCAAAACACAAACCCCCCGCCCCGCCCUUGAGACACAAAAGAAGUGCUUUAUUAGGUCUAGGAGAGCAACAAAUUUUUAUCUUAUGUUCUUAUUUUUCUCUGUGUCUUGCACCCAUAAUCUGUCAAGCGGAUUUCACCGUAUAAUGAAAAGAAGGGGACUUCCAAGUAAAAGUCAGAAAUAAUUUUGUGUGAACAAAACACUUUGGAAACUCUAAAAAUCAGUCGAAAAGCAAGUUAAUGAUUUUGAGAUUGAGAAAUAGAGAACCCAUUUGCAUUUUGCCAACUAAUUUUGAAAUAUACUGUAUAAGAGAAGUGUUACUCUCUCGGACAAUCAAAACUUGCUCUUCAGUAAUUGUUGUAUAGACAACACCCGUAAUUAGAAGUAACACAGACAUCUAAAUACAUAUCAUAGUAUAUCAUAUAUUUCUCCAAUUCUUGCUGCUGGCUGCUCAGAUCCAAGUCUAGACUACACUUACUGCGAAUCAAGACCUCAAAAAUUGGUAUGAUUCUGCUUCUUGUUUUAAGCAAUGAGCAAUUCUAUUUUGGCUACAGUGAUGCAGUGAAACCAAACUAUAGAACUGUCUUGCUUACUAAUCCAAGACUAUAUAUAGUACGGUAAGCGUUCAUGAUGAGCUCUAAUCUACUGUAAUAUAUCUGUAUUUGACUAAUGAACAUGUAAGACAUAAAGAGCUCGGCUGGAGCUGACCAGUUGGAGCCGUGAUCGUAUUACUGACAUGGUUCAGGGUGCGGACAAUAAAUCUCUCGUCAUUGUUCUCCCUAGUCUCUCUCGUUUUUCCGGACUGUAUAUGGUGUUUCGAAUGCUUAUCAAUACUUAAUAAGAUAAAGAGCCCAAGUGUCAGUUGAAAAGUUGGGACAUGAAGAUGGUGAUGCCAGGAGGUGAGUGAGUUUCUGAUAGGUGCCGUUGUAAUGGAAAGAUUAAAACUUAGCCUUGUGCAGCAACUUAGCAGAACUUAAUUUGCCAAAAAGAAUUUUAAAAAAAAAACAGAAACAAAGAAACGUUUAUUUUUAUUAGGGAAGAAGUGAUGUCGAUUGAUUAGGAUAGGUUUUGACUUAAAAAAAUAUGAAGAUAAAAAGUCGCUCUUUAUUAUACAAAAAAAAAAAAAAAAAAAAACUAAUCUUUGUUUGGAACCCCCUUUCCACCUGGAAUAUUGCAUGCAAAAAAACAUUCGUGCAUUAUACUUCACGUUGCGUUCCCUCAAGUGUGAACAUUUUUCUUCUUUAUGAAAAAUCGUUUCUUUAUUAUUUUCGCCUUUGAUUGGAGAAAACUAGCUUUUACUUCUUAUAUUUUUAUAGAAAAAUAUGUAUUCUUGUUUUUGUAAAAAACAAAAUAACAAAUACAGUUUUAAUGAAAAUUGAUAAAAAAAAAAAAACUGUCACAAAAAUUGAUUUUCAUAACCCCCAUUAACUAGAAAAGAAAUUUUCAUCGAAUUAUUUUCAGAAAUUUUUUUUUCCCCUACACUUCCAAAACAAACACAUAUUAUUUGACAACAAUACACGGAUUUGGCAAGAGACCUGAAUCCCUAACAAUGUACUACAAUAAUUAACAGAUAAUAAAUAUUAUAUAUAGAAAAAUCUUAGCGAACUGUGUUAUAUUUUUCCCCUCAAGUUUUUUUUUUUUUAAAGCAACAAUCUGUUAAAUUAAUUUGAGAAAACCAAAUGGGUAACUGAAAUUGUUUAUUCUUUUAAACAUUUAUAUUUUACCCCCUCAAUAUCUCAAAUUGUUGUAUUUAAUCUUGCCCUCUAUUAGGAUUUUCUCGAACUAUACUUUCAUUUUUUAUAAUUUAUAGCCGAAAAAUAUCCCUUAAAAUAUGCAAAAAAUAUAUUAAAGAAUUAUUUUUUUAUAUAAAAGAAAAUAAUAAAUUUGAUCAAUUUUCCCCUCUUCAUUACCCAGCCAUAACCUCCAGACAACAUUUUCUAAAAUUUAACGGAGUAAAAAUGUAAUUAAAUAAUUCUAUACAUUUAACUUCUGAAAAUUUAUAACUUUUCUCCCAUAUUUUAUCCCUACGUUUUGGAAGUCUAAGAUUUGAAUCCUCGCUAUUGUCCUAAAUAAGAAAAAAAAAAACAAUUACAAAACAAAUUAUGGUUCUGAUAUAUUGGAUUACAGUGUAACAUGGCAUAAAUUAGUUCUAUAACCCUCGUAGAGUUUUUUUUUUUUUUUUUUUUGAGAAAAGUAGAAUGCUAUCCGUUUCGUUUAUUUAUUUAAAAAUAAACUUAGCUGAAAAUAUAAAUCAACUAGAAUUUGAACUUGGGUUUCGAAUACGAACAACCAAAUCUUUUUGCCACUUGCGCCAGGACAGUCGUUACGCGACAAUGCUAUAGAAAGAAAGGCCAUACUAUAAAAUUGGAAUGAGGAUCAAAAAUAAUUAAAAUUUCAAUUAUUUGGUCGAGAAAAUUAUUUCAUGCCAUGUAAUUCCAUUUCUAUGAUUACUUCGAAUUCCAAACUCGGGACAAACACAUUUUCCCUGCAAAAAUGAAUCCAUCAUAUGCUGAGAAUGGUAAAGAAAAAGUAAUAAACUAAUGCACUAGGUAAAGCUAAUGCUAAUUAUAUUUAAAUAUAUUUAAUUAUGAUACUAAUUAUUUUUUUAUUUAGUUUGCAUAUUUAAAAUAUGAUAAAAUUUGAUUAUUUAAGUUUUAUUAUUUUCUUCAUUUAGUUUAUACAUCUAAAAUAUGAUGAAAACUGAUUAAUUAAGUUUUUAUAUUUUUGUAACUUUAUAAUUUAUUAAAAUUUUUAAUUAUAUAAAAAUAUAAUCAUAUUAUUUUCAUUUAGUAUAUUAUUAUUUAUUAAGUUAUUUAUUAUUUAUGCAUAAACGGUAGUUUUAUAUUAUUCACUUUCUACAGAACAAACAGCAGAACUUAAGAAACUUCACUUCUAUAGCUAUAAAACAAACAGUACAUGAGAAAUAGUUUUUACCGAACUCCAAUUCAAUUCAAAGUUUACUUCAAUCCAAAGUUCAAUUUCGGUGAAACAAACAGACCUUUAAGCAGUGAUCAACAAGAUAUAGCCCAAAAGACAGUACCGUCCUAUUCUGAUAUUGCAUCUUGAUCUCUGUACUUUCAACUUAGAUGCUUAUGUCCCUAAAAUCACUGCAGUACCUGACAAUGGGGUAAAAAGAAAAAGAAAAAAGAAAAAAAAAAAAACUAAAAUUUUUGUUAUAAAAUGACUAUUCUAUCCCUUCACUUGCAAAAUGACUUAUUUGGUACAGUUUCAACAAAAAUAAACACAAAUCUUCAUGGCACUAACUAAGCUGUACCAAAAAAUGAACAUGCGGCACAUGGAGAGCAGCAGGACAUUCAUUUCUUGUACACAUUGCUUACAUUUGUGUAAUGCAAGUACAUCACAUGGUUCCUAAGAAAAUAAUUUUACUGAAAUUUUUUUUUUCCAAAUUUUACAAAAAACCUAGUGUUCUCAUGCUUUUCCGAGGAACUAAAUACCUCCCACAUGAAAUUCUUCGGGUACGAUGUAUAAAUAGAUUUGCAACGACAAAAUUUGGUAAGAAAUUUAAGGUAUUACUUAAUGAGAGUUAAUUCUGCAAACAAUGGGAUUUCACACUUGAACUAUAAAAGACCAUAAUGCAGCCACAGAUGAUUGUUGGGAAUAAUUUAAGACUAUUAUCAAUGAUAAGUAGAAUAAUUAACCAGUAAAAUGACUGGAUGAUUAACCAGUAAAAUGACUUUCAUAUCCAGAAUUAACUGCGUGCCGAUAUCUGCGAAUUCGGAUCUUGGGUCACUGCAUAAUUGAAAAGCUUCAUCAGUUAAGCUUUUGGUUAGCUACUUGAAUCUAAUAUGAGAUACUAAAACAUAAGAAAGCAAAAUUCGGAAAUGUUGGCCAGUUGCCAAAGGAAAAGAAAUAAGUCAAACAUAUGCAGAAAUUCCAAGUGGUGUACUGCAAAUAAAUCAGCACUGGAUAAUUAGAUAGUGAUAUAGGUGUGUAAAGGUUAAAGGCAACAAUACAAGACGGCAAAAUCAUAAACUGUAUCAUGAAAUAUCGAUUCAAAACAUAGAAGAAGACCAAAUGACCAUAACAUAUAUGAUAAAUCUCCUAGAUUGGAGAAAGGAUCUAAGGAUCCAGGAACUCUGACACAAUGUGCCCUAGAAACCCCGAAGAAGAUGAUUAAUGUUGAUAUAGAACAUGAUUAAUGUCGAUACGUAUAUGUACUUGCGGGAAGUGAGAUGGCAAACAACUAACCUCCACUUCAAGACAUUAAAGGAAAAGCAGUGAUCAAGUUCCAUGAAACAUAGUGUUGUUAUAUGAAUAUCAUAUUAUACACCAAUCUACUAUUCUUUUCUUCACUAAUAGCAGAUACGUUAUUCAACGUGUCUUCAAUGGAUACAUCUAACUUAUAUUAAGUAUCUUCGUGAAACAUUGAUUGAAUAAUACGAAAACUGCUCAAUCAGACUUUACACAAUCAUACCUUCCUAUAGGCUGUUCGAUCAUGCUCUACUCAUUUUAGUGAAUGACUGAAAACUUUUUUUUGCAAAUUUGAGGUUUCUCUAGCCUUGCUCUAAGGUGUAUUGUUGUUUGAUGAAGUAUUUAUUGAGCAGUGUUAUUAGAAGAAACACUAUAAUAAAGUAUGAAAAGCUCCAAAUUUGAGCUUCUACUUUUGAAACAGAAUUUCAUUUUAGUUUUCCACUGCAGCAAAAGCUCCACACUUUUUAGCUGGCUAAAUGUGCUACUAGAUCUCACUGUUUUAAAAACGAGGUCAAACAACAACCUAAAAAUACUACUAGGUCAAGAGUCGCCGGUUCAACCAGUGACUAAUGACGUCAGUAUGACAUCAUAAAUAUUUAAUUAUUAUUUUUAAUUUUAUUAUAUAGAAAAAUAUACAUAUAUUAUUAUUCUAGUAUCAUACUUAAUAACAAAAUAUUAAUGUCUAGACCAAAUUAAGUAUAUAUAAGUUUUCAAGUUUCACAUUUUAUAAGACUAAUUUUUGCUAAUCGAUAAUACAAUCAGCUAAGUUAAUCGUAAGCCGUUGGUUUUUAAAUAUGACUCGGUCAAAAAAACUUGUCUGAUUUGAUUAAAACCGGACCGGUUCACCGGUUUGAUAGUUGAACCGCCAGUUUGAAUGAUUCAAAGCAGGUUUUCAACUUAUCCAGUUCAAAGGAUUGAACUGAACUGUUUUAUAGACUAGGUCACGGUUGGACUCGUCGAACUGGCCAAUUUAACCCAGGUUUUAAAUCAUUGCUAGAUCUGGCUGCAGCUGAAAGUGGAAUCUGAAGCAGGGCCAAACAGGCACAUGGUUUUGGUUGAGUCAAAUAAAAGAAAAUGUAAUACAGGACUACGUAUUCAUGUAGUUCUAACAUUGCAUUUUUGCUGUUCUUUUCAAAUAAAAAUUGUCAUCUCCAUAGCUGGACCAUUUAGCUUUUCUAAUCUCUUUCAGAUCGAUAUUUCAGAUUACUCCAAAACCCCUAGAAUCACUUCAACUUUAAGGGGAAAAUUAUCUAAGAGUGCUCGACACAAUCUAAACCGCUUCUUUUCAAGUUAAGCAUAAGGAUUGUGAAGUAAAUUUAUCUAAGACCCCAAAAUUUUCAACUGAAAACAAAUCAAAAGGCUCGUUUUCAAGUUAAGCAUAGGUUAGCGUACACUUUAUUGUUGACAAAUAGUACCAUAUAAUGAAACCUAGUAGACAUAGAUUGGGUCAAUAUCAAUAGCUAAGUUCAUGCUGUAAGUCUCUUUCCCUUUUUUUCAGGGUGGCAUUUAUACCCGUUCCUAAUUUGCACUUCAAAGGUCCCGCAAGCAUUUUUAGUAUCAAGACUUUCUAACUCAUGCAACUUAUAUGGUACUUAUUUAAUUAUUAUUCAAUCAGGUACCAUGAUGGAUGCAUUUAGAUACAUAUUGAAACAGAAAAUUGUAUGAAACAAAGACGAAAGUAUGAUGACGUGCAACGUACAAUUUCUUUAUGUUUUGCAUACUUGUUCCCAUGCAAGUCAAAUGCAAAUUCUCCACCAAUAAAAGAAAAGAAAAAAAGAGAGAUGCAAUUUUCACAAUUUCUGAAUAAAAUUCAAGAUUUUAAUAUAUAUAUAUAUAUAAAAGAUCCACAAUAGGACUCGCCAGUUUACCUCCCAGAGAUUUCUCAAAGUUCUUCAAUUGAAUCAUAAAACCCUCAUUUGGAGCUACGUGUGGCCGUUUGCGUCUGACCAGCUCUAAAGCACGUGAUAGACUGAUAUGAUGUGUCUUCAUGAGAUAAGCAAUAACAAUUGUGACACUGAAAUAUAAAUAUUAAAAAUCCAUGUAAGAAAGAAAAUAAAAGCAAAAUUAAGAGUCCUUUACAUCACUAAAACAGGUAGUUAUUUGCAAAGCUUGAAGUUGAUGGAUGUUUUGUUCUGAGGCAGCUUUUGGCUGAGCCACUUUUCUACUAUUACUUUUCUCAUCCCACCCCUAACUCAACUUUUCUCCGGUUUUCUUGUAUCUCUGCUGUUAUUUCUCUCUAAUUCUGCUUAUAUAUCUGAUAAACAUUUACCACUCAUCUAAUUGUAGAAUUUUUUGUACAUGAUCUAGUGAGAUAUGUUCUAUUCAAUAUUACACCUCAAAACGUUUAGGCCAAGUUUUCUAAUACCCUUGGGAAGCAUAUCUUAUAGUUAGGAAGUUACGGUGACCUCUAAAUCCUCACAGGAAUGGAGACUUAAUACAAUAUUUGGAACCAAUUACACUUUAUUUUGUUUUAUUAAACUCAAAUUUUGUGCGAUUGAAUGUGCCCCAGCCAGACGCAGGACAGCAUAAGUUUUUUGAAAACAAAAUAGCGAAAAAAAAGAAGUUACUAUUAAGUUAUUCUUUUAUUGCCAAAUAAAACUUGCUGGUCUAUAGAUUGCAGACAAUCUGCCUUACCUAGUGCAUUCAAUCGCAUUGAAUUUGAGUCAGAAAAGGGGAAACAUAACCAAAUCAGGCCUUUUUUUUCGUUCCAUGUUUCUAACAACAGAAUAGAAAAUUUUAUCACUUCAAAUUCAACACCAGGAUAUAUCAACAUUUUGCUGAACGUAGUCUGGACGUAUUCCAAGAUCACUAAAGAAAAAAAAACCAUUUAGCCAAUACCAAGACAUCAAAUUUCAUCUCCACUUAUGCUAAUAAACUUACUUUUAUUAUACUGAACCUAAAUGUUGAGUAUUGUGAGAAUUGAGAAUGCCAAGGACAUGUUAUCACCCCAGACAUUACAAAAACAGGAGAAUGUUUACCUUCUUGACCUUCCGGCAAAGCAAUGAACCAACACAUUGCCCCCUGCUCUUUUAGCUUCGUCAAUAAAAUUGAAACAUUCAUCAAAGUACUCCUCUAAAUUGGUGUCCGGGCUGUCAAGUACUAGUGCCAACCACAAUCACAGGAUUCAGUCUUAAAAUCAUCUAGAAGAAUAAAUUUCACAUUACACCUAGCUUACAAACUAGCAUACUAUUAUAAUACGAAUCAAUAGGAUGAAAUUGUAAUAAGAACCAAUAGGAUGAAAUUGUAGCAUUGAGAUUCUCUGUGAGACAUGGAUCACAAAAUUAAAAAGAGAAACUUGACAUUAAAAAAAGAAAAGAAAAGAUUCAAACGAGUCAAUAAUUUAGAAGAAGGCAAAAUAAUGUACACAAACCAUCUUACAAACAUCGGUUUCUUCCUAGUUAUCUGCAUAUAACAAUUUAUUAGCAUAAACAGCAGUAUUUGACUUGCCAUGCAACCAAGACAAGGAAAUGCACUUACAAAUAUUCCUAUUACCAAAGAAGAGAAGAUUUUGCAUGUCAAACAGCUCAGGCAACAUUAACGCGAAGUUAAUAUGACAAGAAACAUCAAAACCACCAAAAGAAAUAUAAAAUGCAUAAAGCGAAUUCCACGCAAUAGUAUAACCAUUAGAGUAUCCAGAUUAGCAUGAAUAGCUCAAAACCAAUAUUUGCAUCAGCAGGCAUUAAAAUAAGUCAAAAUUGUGUAAAUGCUCCUAAACACAGCUAGGGUUAUCAUCUGAAAAUUUUAUUAUCAAACAAAGGAGAAUCCCACUCUUAAACUUUCUUUUAUCUUCAAAAGUUAGCAGUUAAUUUUACUAAAAAAAUCAACUGUCAAUUGUCUUUCAAACAGCAAAUGAUCUAAUAAUGCAAUGCAUUCUAUAAAGAAAACUUAGAUUUAUCCCUGGUGAGCAAAACACAAUAUUCAAAGAAAAAAAAAAACCUUUGAAGUACACUUGGAUGAAUACUAACUUUAAAUUGGUGUACAUGCCAAUAUAAGUAUAUCAAGUUGCUGUAAGCAAAAGAGUGAAAAAAAUCCCAAUGGGAACAUUCUACAGAAUCCCUAUACAAAGCAAUAUGACAACUUCCACUAAAUUGAGAAAAUAGAGAUUCACAUACCAUCAAUCUUCUUAUAAAUGAAAUCAUUUGGGAAUGGCGGAUUGAGUGAUUUGGCCACAAUUAAGAUGUGGGUGAUGUUCAAGUUCUUCAAGGCCUGCUUGUUUAGUGCCGCUCCAACAGAACCCAAGUAAAGACCCUACGACAUUACAAAUCCAUUAAGUCGUUCCAUAAAAAUCCAUCAUAUGUGCAACAUGAAGGGGGAGGAAUGAAAGAAAAAUAAGAGAAAGAACAGAAGAACAAGAAAAAAUAGCUCCCAAAUACCUCCUCGAUCUGGCAGGGGACCUUUUCCUCUUUGGCAUACCUAACCGCACACAAGGCCUGAAUGAUCGCCGCCUUUUCCAAGUUCAGAUACGACAUCAGAUAAUGUUGCUGCAGGAAGAAAUAUAGAGCUAUUCGUAGCAUCAAUUGUUCUUGAAUUUAAUAGCCUUCUUUUCUUUGCUAAAGGAAAGAAGGACAAAGGGAAGGAGUAAAUCAUCGACCAGGAUGAUUUUUAUAUCUCAGGAACUUAAUUAAAAAAAAAAAACAAACAGCCCACUAAAGAGCUUAACUGCAAAAUCACUGAUUUUGAAGGGAUUAUGAGUCAAAUUUCAUAUCCUUAUUUGGAGACAUAUUUCGUCUAGAUUAGGCUUGAUCUCCAGUUAUUAGGAUAUAUUUAAUUACUACAAGCAAAUCACUAUUACGUGCAUGCAAAAAAAUGGUUGAUCUCUCUAAACUUCUGAUGCCAUGUUCACUUAAUACGCCACCAAUUUCCUCCUGAGGUAAAAAUGCUUUUCUAGUAUAGCAAAUUAGUUCAACUGCGAAGAAUAUGCAUCCUUGUGACUAAUAAUGGAGAUUUAUUACGAAGCUUCCAAAUAAUUAGACCAAAGUAAGUGAUAUAAACUCUUCCAUGAAUGGCAUAGAGGCAAACACAGAAUCUACUCUAACAAAGGAAAGGAACUGUCCCUAUGAUAAAAAAUUUUCUUGUCACAGGCUCCAGAGGAGCCAAUUUAAACUCUUAUCCAGGCACAUUUAACAAAGGUGACACAGAAAUGCUGAACACAGUGCUGUUGUUUAGUCGAGCUGAACACAGAAGAUCGUUCUUCCUACUGUAUUCUCUUUCUAUUGUGAAGGUUAUUAAUAAGUAAAGAUCCAUGUUAUUCUUUAAAAUGCUUAAGUAUCUCGUUCCACAUAUCUCUUCUCGUUUCUUCACGGGCCAUUUAUAAGUUAGCAGGCGUGGCACAAAAGAAGUCUAUGACUGAGUACCAAGAACCUAGAAACUCCAUAAUUUGAGAAUUUUAACAAAUGAUAACUUAGUCGAAACACACUAUCCUUAAAUUUUGGAAUUGUCAAAAUCUGUCGAACAUUAAACCUACAACAAGAAGAACUUUUAACCUACAACAAGAAAAGGAUGUUGAAUUCAAGUACUAGUAUACUGUUCUCUUUUUUUUUUUAUAGAGAUAAUACAAUUAGGAGCAAAAAAUGUUACUGCAAAGCAGGGAUUUGUUUGUGUACAAUUUAACAACUGGGAAAGUUUGCCACUCUCAUAUGAAAAAAUAGGCAACAGACUAUGAGGAUAUCAUACAGAUGCUCAACGAGAGAUACCAAUUUGAUUAAACUGCCUAGAUGUUAUGCAUUACAGGAUACAAGCCUUCUUGUGUACAAAAAUGUGCCUGCAUAACUUUUAAACUGCCUACAAAGGAAAUAUUCAUAAAUCCAAUAACUGUUGAAAUCAACUAUUCAUAGUUCAUCAUAGACAUGCGGAAUUUCCACAUGAGGAACUGCAUUAUCCUGGGUUCCCGCUGCCAAUCUCUGGACAUCUUGAAUGACAUGUUCAUUUGCUAUAAACCUGAUCUAAUAGCAUCCACAAGUUUCCUUUGUAACGUCAACAAGCCAAUCCUUUUCGAGACAACAUACAACACCGCAGACAAGAAUAUGAGAAACCCAAUUACCAGAAUGACCCUGUCAAUAACAUCCUGAUGCUGCAUUGUGGAGAGCAAGCGGCGGGUACGCAUCAGCAAAGAGCGAUGCCCUUUGUACUCACUCUCAGCCUUCCUAAGGACACUUGUUGAUUCCUCAAAGGUUGCUAAUGUGCUAGAACUUCUUUCCACCUCCUGAACCAUCAGCUGACGAGUCCGGCGGAGGCUCUCAGUGAUACUUUCUGCAGCAGAAGUCAUCCCAGCCUUUGUCUGUAAAUCACGUCUGCGGAUGGUAGACUCUUCCCCACCUCCUAAAAGCAGCUCUCUUUCUUCUUGAGCAGCUUUCCUGAUGUUCUGUUUCGCCUGCAGAUUCGCAUUCCUCAAGCUCAUAUGCAGCUUGUUGUACUGUUCCUUCCAGGACUCUAGAGUGGAUUGGCCACGCUGCACCUCGUCUGGUGUGGGCAACUGCUGGGCGAGGAGAUCGAGCUUGCACUGCAUCGAUCUGAGCGAGGCGAGCCCGUCCUGCGCCGAGGCGUUCAACCGCGGGAGCGAGUUUGCCUCCUUCGUCCCCCUCCCGAAUCUCCCGCAACCCUCGAUCACCGCGAUCCGCUCUCGGAUUUGCGCCGCGGUUUCGUCCCAUUCCCUUUUCAGGCCCUCCACAGCUAACGCAACCUCGUCCAUGGCGACCUCGUCGGAGAGACAACGACGACGACAACGACGACGAUGAUUAUACUGCGGAAUCGCAGUGUUCUCUAGUAGCUUAAGCUAUGCUUUUGGAGAAAUACGGUUGUUCCACGUAGUACCUGAGUUCGAGCAUGUAGCCCAUCCCCCAUUAACUAAAUAAAGAAUCUUUUAAAAAGUCACAAGCCAUUAAAACACUGUUCUGUUGCCGCUUAAAGCCCGUUUGUUUUGGUGUAAGUGGAGUGAUGGAACUCAAGUUCCAUCACUUCCGUUAUUUGUUUUGGUGUAAGUGAAAAAUAUAUUGUAACUCAAGUAACGUUAGAGCUCCACUUCACCUACUCUCGACUUCCUCUUUUAAAGUGUCGAACUUGACUUCCACCACACUCAACCUCCUCUAAAAAAUUAAUUAAACAAUAAAACCUAAACUCUACUUCUUUUAUAAUGGGUUAGAAUUACCUUAUUUAUAAUAAAUUAGGAUUAUCUUUAAAUAAUAAUAAAAAAUUUAAUUAUAUAAUAGGUUAAAAUUUAUAGUGGUAAAUUAAUAACUAUAUUUAGGAGAUAAUGGGAUCCACUUACUUACAUCAAAACAAACAACGGAACUCAAAAAAUUAAGUUUACCAGCACCAAGUUACAUCAAAACAAACAAAACAAACAGAAGAAGUAAUUGAAUUUAACUUUCAGACUGUACGAGUUACGUAAAAACAAACAACAAAAAGAUAAUCACACUUCAGAAAAACUCAAACACCACUAAACUUGACUUGCGUUGGAUCUACAGAUUCGUCAAUCCAAACGCCCCUUUAAGCUUCUAUAGCAGUUGUUUCGCAACAAUUAGUCUCAUCCAGUACAAUUUACAUCAAACAGACCCUAAAUCCUAGUUGUGCAAAUCCACAUAUCAGCGAUCUUAGAAUCUGAGUGAAGGAUCAAUCUGGUUUCUCAUCAAAGCACGAUGCUAGCAACAAAAGCCCUAGAAUAGCGCCGUAGCUUCAGAUUUACAGGAUCGAUCAUGCGAUUCUACCAAGUCAACGGGGAAGGUGCGAUCGUUUCAAAGGAAGCGGGAGGAGAGAGAGAGGGGGGGGAGAGAGAGAGAUGUACCAGAGAGCGAUGGAGGCGACGAGGGAGGAGGAGGAAGACGACGACGACGACGACGACGACGACGAUGAUGCCGCGGCGAAUAAAAUGGCUCAAAAAGAAAAGGAAGGGACGGGGAAGGACUACGAGAGAGAAAUCACCAACAAAUUUACUGUUCAAUUCGCCCCCUUCGGUUUACUUCGUUUUCGCUUUACCUCUUUUGAUUUAAAAUAUUACACAGAAUAUAUUUGAUGUAAAAAAUAAUAUUAUUUUCUAUAUGUUUAUUAAACAGUAAAUUUUAGGGUAAACUUUAAAUACCACCCUGCGAUUUCGCUCUUCUUACUAUAGUAUCCCGUGAUUUAAAAUAUAUCAAUUUAGUAUAUGUGAGUUUAUUUUAUUUUUUUCGUCAACCUUUUUAUUAACUUUUUAUUAAAUCACAUAUAAAAAAAUUCAGAUACCUGACAUAUAGCUUACCGAAUAUUCACUUUAGUAUUCUUUAGUUUUAAUUUUAUUACUAAUUUAAUGAAAAAAAAUUAAUAAAAGGGAUAAUAAAAAAUAAAAUAAAACCAUAUGGUAUGAAAGUGAGACGCUUUAAAUUACAAGAUACUAAAAUGAGAAAGUACGGAACGAGAAUGGUGAUAUUUAAAAUUUUUUCAAUUUAAAAAAAUAAAAAGUAAACUUCAAUUCGCCCCCUUCGGUUUACUUCGUUUUCACUUAACCAUUUUUUGAUUUAAAAUAUUACACAGAAUAUAUUUGAUGUAAGAAAUAAUAUUAUUUUUUGUUUGUUUAUUUGACAGUAAAUUUUUUUUUCAAAAAUAUAUUUUUAUAAAUUUGAAAAAAAUAGGGCGUUUCUAUUUUUUGCAAUUUUUUUUGAUGAAAAAUAAAAAUUCGAAGAAUCGGCAGUCCACAAGAUCCCAUGAGAGCUCGUGGACAGCGUGAGAGGAGGUCACCCAUUAUCUAAUAAAUUGUUAUAUAAUAUUUACUUAGAAAUAAAUACAUGUAUAGCAUUACAUUCUAGUAUUGCAUAUUAUAUUAUAUUAUAUUAUAUUAGUUUCUUUAAUUUUUAGAAAAAAUAUUAGUUGUACAUUUUCAAAUGGGGUGUAUGAUAUAUAUUCCACUCAUCUAAUAUAGAAAAAAUUUACUAGUUUCAUCGAUAUGACUAGUAAAAAAAUAUUUUCAUCAUAGAAUGAAAGAGAUAUACAUCAUACAGUCCCUUUGGAUGUAUGUGUAGCAUUGCUUAAAGAUAAUUUAGUCAAUUAACCAUUUUCAUUAACGCCGUAAUUCUCUCUGACAAUAAUCAGAAAAGAAAAAUAAGAAGUGAGUAUUUACAGUAAUUUUAUUGUGUUUUAGUAAAAACAAAAAAAAAAAACUUGACAAAGAGAAUAUAAAAUUAAUUUAGGAUUAAUUGCAUACAGCUCCUUGUAAACAUAUUGAAUAACAAAUAUAUCUCUAUAGAGUUUAAUUUUUUAUUUUUAUUCGUGCAAAAUUUCUAAUUAUUUUAAAUAUAUUCCUGUUGUUAGGAUUGGUUACAAAAAUAUAGUUAAUUAUAAAAUAAUUACCUAUCUAGUUAGUGAAUAAGUUAAAUUGAUCUUUUUAUUUUUUUUAUAUUAUUAGGUAAAGUACCUUUUUGGAAGGAUAUUUUUACAUAUUUCUAAUGGUUGGGACUUUCGAAAGAUAUACUUAUAAGGUCAAAAAUAUUAUUUUACUUACCUGCUGUAAAAAAUUAAACAGAGAAUGUUUAGUUCAUGAUUGGAAUAGAAAUGAAAAAUAGAAUUAGAUUGCUUUGAAAUAGAAAAUGGAAUGACGAAUCAUCUAAAAAUGUUUGGUUUAUUAUUGGAAUGAAAAUCAAAAUAAAAAUUUAAAACUUUUUAAAAAGAGUUUUGAUUAAGAGAGAGUAAAGUGAUGAAUGGAGAUGAGGAAGGUGUUGGUGAAAAAGAAUUUUAAAAAGUUCACUUUGAAAUGGAUCAAUCCGAGAUUCAAAGCCAUAUUGGGCCAUAAAUAGAUUUGACCAUUUUUCAUUCAAAGUGGAAUGAGAAUCAAAAUUCGACUCCUAUAAAACAAACGACAAUUAUUGAAAUUAGUGAAUUACAUUUCGAUUCCAUGGUCUAAAAUAGAUGAACCAUAUAUAUUUGCAGUGCUCUAAUGGUAGUAAAUUAGAUAAAUAAAUAUGAAUAUAAAUGAAAAGCUAAUUUUUAUAAGAAUAGAUUUGUUAUCCGAUAUAUUAUAUAGUGCUCUAGAGCUAGGCUGGUAUACUAUUGGCGUGCUACUAAGUUGUUUUCAAUGAUGUCGCUUUCAAAUCAACGAUCGGCUCCGUUAGACUUGAUCACUAUUAAAAGUAUUUGAAAACUAAAUUUCAUAAUUUUUCAGUAUCAUUACUUAUCAAACGAAUAGUCUAAAAAUGAACAACUGAAAAUAAAAAUCUCAUAAAAAAAGAUGAUAAAAGAUUUUAAUUUAAGAUCAGUAGAUACUGAUCUUACUCUAAAUAGUAAAAAGAAUUUUCUAUAAAAAUUUUAUCAGAUUUAAAUUAUUUUACACUGUUAAAUUCACAAACGCGUCACAUUUAUUAUUAAAAUUGUUAAUUUUGGAUUCUUUUGAUCACUAGCCAAAUAAUAUUGAAAAAUUAUAAAAUUUAAUUUUUAAAUAUUUUUAAUAAUAUAAAUUAAAUCUAAUAAAGAAGAUUGCCGAUUUGAGAGCCACAUCGUUAAAAAUAAUUUAAUAGUACGGAGGCAUCUGUGCUACUAAUGGUAUGCCAGCUUAGUUCUUUACAUCUCUCUUGCCUUCGAAAACCUAAAGAGAGAACCACCCAGGAAGGGGAAAAUUUUUUUUUUUUUUUUUGAUCUCUUUCUCCGCGGAGAGGGCACGAGCGAAGGAGACGAGGGCGAGGGGCGAUGGCGACGAACGCGGACGUGGAGGUGGUGGACUUCGAGCCCGACGACGACGAUCUCAUGGACGAGGACGCCGCCGCCGGCGAUCCUACUCCGGCUGCGGCGGCUGCGGCGGCGCCGCCUUACCCGAGGCUACGCUCCGCCAUCACCGGCGGCGACCCCCCCAAGAAGACGAAGGGCCGCGGAUUCCGCGACGAGGGCGCCGCCGCCGCCGCCGCCGCCGCCGCCGACCGCAGCUCCCGCCUCGACUCCCGCGACUUCGACUCACUCGCCCCCGAGGGCGGCGGCGGCGGACCCGGCCCCCAGCGAUGUAUGUGGCUCGUCCCCCUUCCUUCUCGUCUGAUUCAUUCUCAUCAUGUUUUUGGAUCGGGGAAAUUAGGGUUUAAGUGUUCUCAUGGCCUUCACGGAGAGGCGCAUCUCUCUGGGAGGUACCUGGGAGGCGAAGAGGGGUUAAACACUUCAUAUUGAUGUGCUAAAACUAUUUCUGAGCCUGUUCCUAUCAGAUAAAACCGUGUGAUUCUUUUCAUUUGCCAUUUAGUAGGUUAAAUUUCAAUUAUUUAUCAGUUCCGUUACCUUUCUCGUGAAUAUGCACAUCAGAGGGAGUGUUAAUUCCGCUACGGGGCUCUUUAAUCUUUUGGGUAACACGCAGUAGGGCGACGCGGAACUUUGGAAAGAGUGUAGUUUUCUUUGUCAAAACGUAAUAGUUGGUGCUUUGCAGAGGAAAUUACAACAAUCCUAGUGUGCUCAUAGAAAUAGACGGGUUAUCGAUGCUGCCACGGUCGUUUUGUGUGAAAAUUAUAGAAGAUGCGUAUUGAGUUUCUCUAAAAGUUAUGGUCGUUUUUUGAGGAAAAUAGAAGAGAGUUUGCCCUUGUCUUACUUUAUAAUGAAUUUGGCUAUUUAUUUCAUGAAGAAAAUAGAAUGCUUCAAGAUGAUGUGCCAUAACAUUAAAAUGGGAUUAACCUUGUAGAAGUUUUUGAUGUUCAUCUUAAGACUAGAAAACAUCAUACUGGUUUGGUAUCCUGAAAUGGCAUACCGGCUUCUUUCUGGAAUUGGAAGAAGUAUUGGCAUCUUUUUCGCCAUUGGCAGCUUGGAUUUAACGUUGUCUGUUGACUAAUUCUCAAAGUUUCUGUAUUUCUUCUCACAUGUGGUUGACCUGUUUGAGUAACCUGCUUAGUUGAGUUACGCUACUGGAUUUUGCUAUUUUAACUUCAUAGCUGGAGAGUGAUUUAGUUUGAAUCUACGAGCUUCUAGAUUGUUCUGUUCUUCGAUAUGUUGCUACAAUUGUUGUGUGCAGCUGGAGAAAAGCUUUUUGGGUAAAAUCUCUUUGUCGUUUAUGUGCCAUUAUUAUUUUCUUUUGACUUCAAAAUUCUUCUGCUAUAUUUCCCUUAAUUUUGUAGAUCUCUUGCACUGGUUGAUAUGAUGUGCUUUUUUAUUGAACUCUCUUUGCUAUCUUGUUAUCUGCUGUUAAAGAAAAAGUACUUGCUCUUUUUUUUAAAGUAGUAUCUGUGAAGUGUAGAAAAAGAAAAGAUCAUAGAGGUCAUAUGGUGUCGACUAUCGACUCAUAAUUGUUCAUCUAUGCGACAUCUCCACUUUAAGUUUCUUAAAUCGCAGAGAAUAGUAUUGUCUUUAUCUUGUAUUUACAUUUGUCUGCAUCUUACGAUUAGUUUACAUCUUUCUACCAAUUAAGCAAACUAGUGAACCUAUUGUGGCUCCAUUAUCUAGCUCUUUAUGCCUUUUCUUGUUCUUAUUCUUAUAUGUAAUUUUCUUCUUAUUCUUAUAUGUAUUUUUUUCCAAAUAAUUCCUAUAGCCAUCGAGGGAUGGAUAAUACUGGUUACUGGAGUACAUGAAGAGGCACAAGAAGAUGAUCUCCACAAUGCUUUUCGUGAAUUUGGGCAGGUGAAGAACUUGCAUCUAAAUUUGGACCGCCGAACUGGAUUUGUUAAGGUAAAUAAACAAUUUCUGCUCCCCGUAUUUUAUAAGAUGUGAAUGGUGCUUUUUGAUACACGGCUGACAUCGGAUUUCAAAUGUGACAAGAUGCUUUGGUUCAAAAGUCAUUAUUGACAAACAUAAAAACUGUGAGACUUAUCUUUAUAUGAAGGACAGGAAAAUAAUGUAAAUAGACUUCUUUUUCCAUUGGAAUCAUUUUGUGGCAUAUACUAGUUUAUUUUAUAUAACACCCACUUGCAUCUUUUUUGAAAUAAUGAUAUAUUCUAUGGAUUAAAUAUUUAGAGAAAACUUAAAACUUUGUAUGAAGCCACUUUCUUCAGUUUACUUUUUUUUUUUUUCUCUAAAAUAAGUUCAUUGCAGAAAAUUGUUCUAGAGCUAGUUCAAUCACUCUCUGACAAAAAAAAAAUAAAAAAUCUGUACAAACUUUUAUAUUUUUGUUCCAAGUUAAAGGAUCAAAAGACCUCUAUUGAUAAUUCAAUUACUCUAGAUUUAGUUCGAUCUUUAUUGCUGGCUUUUGAUCAGAAUGUUGAACUUUAUAUCUUGUGGAUUUGGAAUGGGAUCAAGGUUUUGGGGCUCUCAGUUAAUCUGAUUGUUACGUUACUUGAUAUGGUUCAUGUUGAGCUUGGACUUGAGUUCUGAUUUUUAUAGCAGUACUCGUGAGUUCUCAAUGGAAACAACAAAUUUUAACCUAUCAACACCACUUCCUGUAGCUCUGAAAAUAACUUCUGUUCAAAUACUAUUCAACGGUUUGAACUCUUGGUCAAAAUCUAAGCGUUUCACUUGAAAUUAUCCUCAAUGCUUGAAUAUCACAAGUUUCAGUUGUUUCAGCGUUUUUGGCAGUUCAAAAUUUUCCCGUUUAUGGUCUUGACAAUUUUUAUGUCUUUAAUGGUAUGUACUUUGGUGAUUUUAGCUUUUCAUCAGCUAGAUUCAGUCAAUUCCAAAUGAAGUUUGAUAUAUUGGUUGAAAUUCAUUAAAAAACUUUUUCUACUAUGGAGAAUUUUGAGCAGAAACAGAUGCUGCUAGAAAAGAUUGAGCAAAACACUUACAAAUGGUAAUUUUAUGGCCGGUAGAUAAUACUGUAGAAAUUUUAUAUCUGUUUUUGCAUAGAUAUAUAGUCCCUUAUUAAUCUUACUGCUUUUUUGUGGCUGUUAAAUAUUAAUCCUUUCGUAUGUCAUAGGGAUAUGCUCUCAUUGAGUAUGACAGCUUUGAGGAGGCACAGGCUGCAAUAAAUGCACUGGAUGGAACUGAGCUCCUCACACAGAUCAUUAAUGUUGACUGGGCAUUUAGUGUUGGACCUAUCAAGCGCAGAAAUGCGAGGAGGAGGUUAGUUUACCUAAACUAACUCUUCAGUUAUUGACUAAACCUCUGAUAUGUUGCCAUGUGAUUAGACCACCUUUUUGAGAUGGUUGCAGAAAGAUCAUCUUUUACACAUGGACAUACUUUUGCCACGCUAUCAGCUGACCUUUUGAUUGAAAUAUGCCAUCUUCAGUAUAAUUGCCAAUACUUCCAACUUUAAGCCGCCAGAAUUAACACAUAGUGUUUUUAAUCCUUAUUAUUAUUUUUUUAUUUUUUAAUAUUAGUUGAAUAAAAUCAUCUGUGUCUUGGUGCUUCGUUGAACUUUAGCCAUAGUUUGGUUGUAGCCAAACUGAGAGCUGAAGUGUGUGCUCACCGCUAAUACAUUGCUCUUAACAAGAUGAUAGCAUAAUUAAAGCUUCGAUUUUUCAAUUCUUAUCAUCGUCAUCACUAUCCCAAUGCUGUUAUUUAUGUAUUAUAAGGUAAAAUUAUAUGUAGUUCUCAACAAACAAUAGGAUAUUUCAAACAAAAACCCACUGUAUCCUUUCUCCAUAUUAAUUCAGCCACGAGUUUAUUUGUUAUAUUUCUUUUUAUAAAUGCAAUCAUUUAAUUGUGUCCUCACCGCUGAUGCUAUGAAAAUUAUAUUGGUGGUAUCAUUUACAUUUCCCUGACUUAGUAACACAUUUCUCUUCGACAGAUCACCACGUGCUCAUCGAUCAAGGAGCCCGCCGAGGAGGAGAUAUUGACAGGUUGUUAUCACCGUAAACAGAAAUGAAACUCUAAACAUUUGCAAUCCAAGAUUUGAGAAUCUGCUUGUUUUCCAGAGGAGAAUGAUUUGGAAUCUGAGAUUUGGGAAUUUGCUUGGUUGUGUUAGCGUCGUUUAAUUUCCUUGUAACUUGUUUGCCUUCGUCGAAAUCUUCUUGUGUUGGAUAUCUUUAAUCAACAUGUGGAUUUAUGAACUUAUUUUGUAUCGGUGAUUAGGAGAACUGCUACUUUUUGAUCUUUCAAGUUUCUACGACAUUAUACCUGGCGACGGUGUGAUUGUGCCUCAUCACAUAGAUAUUCUCUGCUUGCAUUAAUCUCGUGGAUUCGUCUUUAAUUUCUGAGUCAUAUCUUGAAGUGAAAGUGCCACCUAAGAACAGGGAACCAAAAAACUUACUGCUUUACAAUUAUAUUUGUUAUCAAAUCCACACUAGGGGCUUUUUCUAAUGUAAGAAUGAGAUUAAGCUUUUCUCUUCACUUUGGUAUGUGUUCCAUUGGAGAUCAUCCUUAACAAUUGUCACAACCCUUCUCUUUCACAUUAGAGUGGAUAAAUUGCAACACAAUUGUCACAACCCAUGGAUUCCAAAAUUCUCAUGGAAAUUUCAUCUGACAACUAGAAGCUCCAGCAUUUAUUAGAUUUACAUGGGUAAGCCAUGAUGAUUAAAAAGCAACAGAGCACACAAACUAAGAUUAUUUGUCAAAUUUGUUCACUGAACUCAAACAAAAACUAAAAGCGGAGAUCGGCGCGGUUAAUACAAAGAACACCAAAGAGAAAGCAAACUUAUUAAAGGACAGUACUGCUGCUACACAGGAAGCACAAAAGAUCCAACUUCUAUGUACAUGACUACCACUUGCAUGUCCAUGAGCAGAGAUGAGCAGUAACUUAAUUUCCCUUCUCUAGAUUGUUGCUGCAACAAAUGCUCCUUCCACCUGCAUGUGGAGUAAACAUUGAAUGCUGUGAGAAAUUUGUCGGUCCGAAGAAUUCAUCACUGACCGAGCAUUUCGGUGCGAUCGGUGGCAUUUAUAGUUUCUGAUUAAUUUCACCAAUCACACUCCAUUCUAUGAGCUUGAGAUUUGGCUCUACUCUUGUUCGAAAUUUUUACGGAAUAAAACGACUAAAUUCGCCGAAAUUUACCUUGAAAGUGGCCCCACAUAUCUCUUCUUCGUCUGCGGGGAUCGCGGUGACUCUGUGCUUGGGGUUCUCAAAGCUUCUCAAGCCUCCAUGAGAGUUUGAGUAGAAACAUCCUGUGAUUCAAACCUCAACAUAUUUACACUGAGAAAUAGACUAAGAGAUAGGGAAAUUAUACUUGAAUUAAAACAGUUACAGUAAUUUUUUGUUUUGUUAAAAAAAAAAAAAGGAACUAGACAAGUUAGGAAAUUUGAUUUGGCUCCACACAUGUAACUUGAUCUCAUUUGUUUGCAAACUUAUACUAUGGUUUCAUACACAUAUAAUAAUAUUGUGAUAUGAUAAGUUGAAAUAAAAAAUAUGCUACAGGAAACAAGAAAGAAAAUUGAUAAACAAUAAGUUAUUUUUUCUUUUCUUUUUUUUUUUACCUUGGGGGAAUUGUGCAAGUGAUUUGCCACAUGAUCCUUUGAGCAAGUCCACAUCAUCAGAAAAAGCAACACACCCAUCUGCAGUGAUUCCCCAGAAUAGAGGGAUCUUCCCAUUUGGAUCCUAUUAAUUGAUUGAUUGAACAUCAAUAAAAGUAGCCCAAAAAAAGAGGAAGAGAGAGAGAGAGAGGGGAUCUAAAAUUCAAAAUAUUAGAAUAAACUUAUAUAGAUUCUAUAUUUUUGGCCCGAGACACCAAAGAGAAUCGAGAAAGACAGAAGAAUAUAACAAGAGAGAGGCUCACGGAGGCGACGAGGAGGGAGGAGGUGGAGCGGUCGAAGAGCACGAAGGCGAAGUCGCCGGAGAGGUGCGCGAGCAUGAAGGAGGGGGGGUACGGCGCCCGGUCGCGCAGCGCCUUGUAGGCCUCGAUGACCAGCACCGCCUCGUCCGCCGCUGCCGCCGCCCCGCCCUUCGACGACAGCCCGUACUGCUGCCACAGGCUCCCCAGGUUGUCCAGCAUCCCCUCGAACACGCAGAAUAUCUCCUCCUUCGCCGCAAACCUCCUGCAUCCAUGCAUUGCAUUGCGUGUAUUGCACAGAGUCAGAAAACGGUCGAAUACGAUCAGAUGAAUACAUUACAAGGAAUCAAAAAACGGUCGAAUACGAUCAGAUAACAAUAAAUUUGUAUUCUUAUAACAUUCACACACACACUAUAUCAAUUAAUACUUUACAUGUAGACACCAAUUCAAUACAAAUGUUCAAACAAUACUUGAUUUUAUUAUCAUAAUUAAUCAAAAUGAAUUUAAAUUAGAUUUUUUUAAUGAUAAACAGUUUUUACAUUAUUCACUUAAAAUUGAAGAAACUAUAUAGUUUCAUAAUUAUUAUACUAAUAAACAACAGAAAAAAAAUCUAAAAUUUAAUUAUUAAAAGGAUUAAUUGCAUACAAGUCUCUACAAAAAUAAUAAAUUAUAAAAAUAUUCUUACAAAAUUCAACUCUUAUGUGUUGUUCUUGCAAAAAUCUCAAUAUUUUCAAAUAUGUUCCUACCGUUAGGAUCUGUUAGAAAAAAUUAAUUAAUCAUAGGUAAAAUACUUAACCCUAGUUAAUUAAUGAGAUGAAUUGACCUUUUAACCUCUUUUCAAUUAAUGUUGGGAUUUUUGAAGGAACAUAUUUGUGAUAGCAAAAAGGUCAUUUUACUUAUAAAAUAAACAGUGUUUUAACGAUAACAAAUCACAGGGAUAUAUUUGAAAAUAUUAAGAUUUUUAUAAAGACAACACAUAAAAAUUAAACUUUAUAAGGGGAGAUUUGUAAUUUACUAUAUUUGUUGGAACCUAUAUGAAAUUGAGCCCUACUUCAAUCAUUGUAAACAUUUUAGCUUAUUUUUGACGUUUGCUUCAUUAAUUACGAAGUGCUUUUUGCAACACCAAGCAAUUUACGACCACAACUGUAGUACAUCCACACCACUGGAGAUGACACGUGUCACGCAUCCAAGCAACGUCCCGUCGCUGUUUCCCACCAAACGAACGAUGGAAAAAAAAAAGAAAAAAAAAAGAAAAAAACUGGGUUUGUGGUGUGGAUAAGAACGAGGGGAAUCCGCGGUCCAUGGAGCCACGUGAUUAUGUCUCAAUCGUACACAUUUUUGGUGGAAUGAUGGGAGGCGAAGUUAUUUCCUGCACCAGGUGUAUCCGUACAAUUAUGCGCCGCAAUUAUUUAUUUUGAUAAGUUAUAUUUCUAACAUAAUUUUUUUUUUAAAAAAAAAGUAGUCUUUCUCUACUGGAGAUUAACUGAUAAUUAAUAUUACCCGAGAAACUUUUUUUUUAAAAUUUUUUUUUGAUAAUAAGGGUUCGAAUUUCUCAGCUCUUAAAUAGUAACUCUAAAUAAUAAAUAAUUUAUAAUGUUUAUAUAUAUAUAUAUAUAUAUAUAUAUAUAUAUAUAUAUAUAUAUAUAUAUAUAUAUAUAUAUAUAUAUAUAUAUAUAUAUAUAUAUAUAUAUAUUCUUUUAAUUUUUUCCUAAAAAAUUAAAUAAUUACAAUCAAAUAAAAUGUCGGUACAACAAAAACGAUAUAUAACGACACUUUUAAAUGUCGGUACAGGUCAAACAAAGUGCUGCUGGCUAACUUACCGACACUUUUUAAAAGUAUUACUAUAUAUGAGGUUGCUAUAGGUAGGUCCGCCUUGAUAUUUGGCACACACUCCUCCAGCGACCUGUGGCGGAGAGAUACGUGGCAAUCGUAGCACUUUACUGUCCCUGCGAGAUCCUCGCAGCUAAACUCCAGCCGCCAGAAACCUAUCUCGUCGGCUGCGACGGCGGAGGAGGAGAAGGAGAGAUGAUGAUCAAUCUUUCUUUUUUCUUUUCUUUUUUAUUUGUAAUCGGACUGAGUGGGCUGGGUGUGGUUGGCUGAGUAGAGAAACUUUUUAUUUUUGAUUGGAUCGAACUUUAUAUUUAGGCUUUAGUAGAUUUUUUUAAAAAGUAUUGGCAUAAAUGGGACACUUAUAUAAAAGUGUCCCAAAAAUAUAUUCCUAUAAUAUAAUUCUGUUGUAGCGGUGAUCUCCUAGGGUUGAGAGUAGAUGGUUGGUUGAAUAGUAUAAUCUAACAAAUGAAAAUGAUCAAAAAGAUAAAUCUAAUAGUGAAAAACUCGAUCGAUAGUACCUAACUCUUGAUACUACCAAUAGUAUAAUAGGCGGACUCCCUCUCUCUCUCUAUUAAACAACUUAUUAUCUAGCCAGUAAGCAAAUGAUCCAUUAUCUCUCUAUCUCUCUCAAUAUAUAUUAAAAUAUAUAUUAAAGAAUUUAUUAUCUAAUAAGUAAGUGAGUGGUCCAUUUCAAUUCAUCGCUAUCCAAUAAUGGUAUAGUGGACCCCUAAUAAAUUAAAUUCCAAUUUAUUUAGGGUCCGGUCCAUGGUGCACCGGGUGCAUCCCUGUUUUCCCCACUGUUGGUGUCAAAAGAGGUGAGCUUUCACUGCUUUUGACUCUUGUGGCCUAGUGUUAAUUUAUUUACCUUAUCAAAACUUCUUUUAUUAAAUAUUCUAAAAGUUUACCAACCAAUUAUUACAUCUGAAGUGUAAGAUGUAUAUCCUCUAUAAAAAAAUAUAUAGAUAAAUAAUAUAUGAUGUACAUCCCCUAUAAGAAAUAUAUACAUAAAUAAUAUUUUUUUAAAAAAAAUAUAUAAGUGAUGCUAUUCUUACACUGUUCAUGGGCGUAAAAUUUACAUUUAUAAAACUUCUUGUCAUUUAUAUUAAUCCACUUGUCUUUUUAUUGUAUUUUUGUCUCCAAAGGAAUUAUAUGGGCGCUUGAUUUCAAAGAUGUAAGAUGUAUACGUAGCAUUUUUCAUAUCAGAUGCAUAUGUUAUACCUUUUAUCUUUUAUCUUUUAUCUUUUUUUAAAAAANAUCAAGGAGAAAGAAAAUUAUGUUGGAUUUUACUAAAAAUUAAAAUUAAUAAGAUAGAUAAAAAGAAAUUUACGUUAAAGAAUAUUUAGGGUGUAAGAUUUAUACCUAUGCAGGUGUAGAGAUAGCACUUGCUCUUCUCCUAUUAGUUUCCCAAAAUUUGCAAAAUUAUUGUUAACUUAAAAAUUUUGGCACUUAUUUGUCACAAGUAGCUAAUCAUAAAGCCAACCAAAAUUUUAGAAGAAAAAAAUAUUCUAAUUCAUUAAACUAGUUUGGAUCUUUUCCCCUUCUUAGUUUCCCAAGAUUUGCAAAUUAUUAUUAUUGAAUUAAAAGCAUCUAUUUGUCAUAAUUAGCUAAUCAUAGAGCCAACCAAGCUCUAGUAAAGACGAUUUAAUAGGACACGUCGUUAAUAGUGCUAUGCUGAUCUUAAGACGAUUCGACGGCUAAAAAGUUACGAGUACAAAUACUUUCGUCUUUUCAAAGGCGUAGAAACUCAACCUCAUAUAUAAAUAAAAGAGAGAUAUUUAUAUAUAUGUAUGAUUAGACCUGGGCCUGAAGAGGGAUUGAUUUUUGUUGGAAUAUGCGAGGUGGCCGAGGGAGGCGAUCUGCACUGAAACCGCGGGGCCGGAGCUGGCGAGAAAUCGAUCGACCAGCGUCGAUGCCCGCGUCUUAGGAGACGGGGUUCGGCUCCCGGCGGCCGUCAGCUCCGCCGGGACCUCCACCACCUCACCACUGAAUACACCCAACAUCUCUCCUUAAGACUCAAAACUGAAAACUCUUUCUCUCUAUCUCUAGUGAGGUUUUUUUCUAAAAAAAAAGAAAUUAUUUUGAGAUCAUCUGAGAAUGGGGGUGGAAAAUUCAAUGAGGGGAGGUGGGAAUUGGUUGUUUAUAUAGUGGAAAUGGGGUGGGGGGGCCUGUGUGACAGAGUUUGUGGAAAGAUGAGGUAUCAUGGACCUGGUCCGCCACCUCAGCUAUGCACCUCAUUUUUCGUAAUCGACAAAAUCUAUCUGAUCAUAUAUAGAAAAUUGUUCAGAAAUAAUCUUAAUACCGUGAGUUUUCGCUCAAGUGCGUAGCGAGAGAAAGACUUUUGCGGAACUAUAACAAAUGCUUUGAAUAGAAAUAAUAAUAUUUGAUUAAAUUUUGUAUCUUAUAUAAAAGUAUAAGUAUCAAUGAUUUGAUUAGAUUGAUUGGAUAUAUAUUAAAAAUAGUCUUAUAUGUGAAAGUGAAAGGUUAAAUGAACAAUGCUUCGUGCACAGAUACUAUCUUCGUUUCGUUAUUUCAUUUAGAAAUAAGCUUAGCUAAAAUGUGAAUCAACUAGAUUCGAACUUGGGUCUCGGACCAACCACCACACCCUUUGCCACUUACUUUAUGGACGGUCAGUGAUAUAUAUAUUAUAUAUAUAAUAUAUAUAUAAUAUUAUAUAUAUAUAUAUAAUAUAUAUAUAUUAUAUAAUAUAUAUAUAUAUUUGAGAAUUCUAAUUUUUUAUUAUUAUAGUGGAUGAGUUUAUGAAAUGCAAACAGAACAGAUCCGAGGGCAGAAGGGGUUCCCUAUCUACCAUUUUCUUAGCAGGUCAGGACGAAUUAUAGACGGAUUGAUUUUUAUCCUCUUUUUUGCCUCCACGUAUAGCUAAUUUGAGGCUGGACGAAGCGGGAACGAAUUUUUAACAGAUCAAAACGGAUCAAAAAAAGAAAAGAUUUUUCACUUCUUGCUCCAUUUUCUUAGCGAAUCGGAGCUAAUUUCAACCAAUUAUUAUUAUUAUUUUUAUUUUUAACUCUCACUUAAUAUCUUAUUCGGGGUGGAUCACGGCGAGGAGUUCUACUAACCCGGAUCCAUUUGCAUCCCUAAGGUGGGAAUUGAAAUUGUGCGGUCCAACGCUGAUGACGUGGUGGGCCAGGUGCAAGGAGCAGUCGCACUCCUCGCACCGGAUGACGUGCUCCGCACUUAAUUCUGUGAAGCGGGGGGGGUGUGAGGUUUGGUGUGAAGGUGUUCGUCGCCUCCGCGGUCCAUCGUGAAACGCUCGUCCACGUGGUAGAAUCCUACGCACUCGCGUGUCGCUUUCCGCAACAGCCCUGUGGUUCCACGCUUGGUUUUGGAAUCUAGCGUGAGUUCCGAUGUGCCCCUCUUUCAACAAGGCCCCUGUACUUGUCCCUAUUUUCAUUGAGGAGCAUCUAUGGUGUCCACACACACAGAAUAAAAAAAAGAAAAGAAAAAGAGAGAGAGAAUUACACGUUUUGUCCUCAAAACAUGUGACACUUUGAUUCCUUUAAAUUUUAAUUUAUUCAAACAUAUAACAUUUUGGUCCUUAUAUUUUAAUUUAUUGCAAUUAAUAUUUUGAAUUUUAAAAAUUAUUAUAAUUAAAGUCUUAUAAUUUAUUGUUUGGUCCUCAAACUAUGAGGCCCGUGACAAUAUAGUCCUCAAAUUUUAUUUUGUUUUAAUUUCUUAAACUUUUGUAAAAUACUAUAAUCAAGUCAUAUAAUCCAAUUUAGUUAAUUGCACAUUGAUAUGUUGUUAAUAUAAAAAUGAUCUGAUAUCUUGAGUUCGGUUACUAUAUUAUUAAUAGCACCAAGCGCUUAGUACUGUCGAGUUUUCUACCGCUAGAUCUAUUCCUUUAACUAUUUUCACCUAUUGGAUCAUACUAUUCAACCAACCAUCCACUCAAUUCUAAUGGCGCGUUUGAUUCAAGUUAUGUAAUAUUACAGAGUAUUUCGAUAUAUCUAGGUAUCUUGAAUUUCUAAAAAAAAUUACUACUUAUGCUGGAUUAGCGUGUUUGGUUUAAUACAGUAAUAUAAUGCUGGAUUGCAGUGUUUGUAGUAUUAAUAUGUUUGGUUCUGUUUAUAAAAUUCAGUAAUCUAGACAAUUAUUUGGUGUUAUUAAGAAUAUAAUAGCCCAGUUCAUGAUAUUUUAACUAUUAUCAUAUUAUUAAUCAUUAUAUUACUAUAUCACUAUUUAAUCAAUUAAAUUGGACUAUAAAGCUUAAUUAACAACUCAUAAAGUUGGAAUAAGAAAUUAUAACAAACUAAAAAUUAAAGAACUGAAGUGUCACUUAUCUUUUAUCGGGAAGCUCCUCAUCGGGGGUUGAGUAAAUUUAAAAUUUACCAUCAUUUAGAAACAUCUUUUUUUUUAGCAGCUCAAUUGACACUCAUCCUUAGUACCAAAUUUGGCUUCAUUUGGUUCGAAUAUAAGCAAAAAUUAAUUAUUACAGGUAUAGGUACAAAUAUGGGGAUAAGAAAAAUAGCGUUUUGAUGAAAAUUAGGUUGUUUCCGGGAUAAAAAAAAUAACAUUUGGAUAGAUAAUAUGAAAUAAAAAAAAUAAUGGAUAGUUAUGUAUAGAAAAUAUAGUAGGGAUGCAAACGGGGCGGAUCCGGGGGCGGGAGAGUUCCCCCACCUCCCGCUCCAUUUCUUAUCGGGGCGGGGCGGAUUCGGGGCGGGUUACUUUUCAUUUUAUUUUUGGCUCCCACUUACCGCUCCAUUAGGGACGGAUCGGGGCGGGAGCCGGAUUUUUGACGGAUCAGGGCGGAUUGAAGGAAGAAAAGAGUCCCCCACAUCCCGCUCCAUUUACUUAGCAGAUCGGGGCGGAUUCGGAGCGGGUUAUAUUUUUUUAUAUUUUUUGUUCCCACUUACCACCCCAUUCGGAGCGGAUCGAGGCGGAGCUCCACCAACCCGGAUCCAUUUGCAUCCCUAAAAUAGAGGUGUUGGUAGGAAUAGUUAUACCGGCUUAUUUCAGGUAGCCGAGAAUUAUUAUUCUAGAGUAAAAAAUUUACGUUCGAGUAUAAGAGGGAAUAAGAGAUUAUCCCUCUCCUUAUCUCUAAUCCAAACUGUGCCUAAUUAAUGUGUUGCUUUUGACUUGUGAUAGUCUCAAAAUAUCUAACUUAAAAUGAAUGGCAUAAAAUUUGAAUAUUAAGCUACAAGAAGAUAAUAUUUGUGAUUUUUUUUACUGGACUUUUUGAUUAAUUAGAACAACGGCAGAAAAAAAAAAAAAAAAAAAAACAAUGAGUGUAAACAACAAUCAAAACAGUGGACUGAACUACUCAAAAAUUAAUUAAUUAAUUAAUUUUCUUAGUUAGUGCAUAUGAGAGUAUAGUAGUUUAUUUUAUUAAAAUUAAUUGUCCAAAUCUACUCCUAUGGACCACUCAACUACUAAAAAACGCUCCUUUUUAUAACACACAAUUAAUUAUCAUCCAACACGUUCAUAAUUAUUUUCUUAUGUGUGCAAUUUGAUUAAGGAGGGUUGUUUUUAAAUGUUUACUUUUCACAGAGAAAUUAACCACAAGAGUUAAUCCCUAAUAAGUGUUAAAUGGUUUGGUGCACCAACUUUUUCUGCAUUGUAAUUAAGCACGAAAAUAAUUAAUGAGAAAGAGAAGGAUUAACAAGUUAAUAAUUAAAAUAUUUGGAAAGCAUCAUUUAAAAGUUAAUUAAUUUAAAUAGACCAUAAGAAAUGUAAUGUCCCUAAUUUAGACUAUGAUUAUUUGAAAUGUAGAUGAUUUAGGGAUAAUGGUGAUGAUAUGCUAGGUCAAAUUGGACUUGAUUUGGAUCGAAAUUAGGAUUGAAUUAGAUAAAGAUCAAAAGUAAGAAAUAAUUGGGAAGAGAAGAAAGUAGGGCUGUCAUAGCGCUGAACAUGGACAAGCUGGACCAGCUCAUGUUCGGCUCAUUUAAUUAACUAGCUGAAACACAAGCUGUUUCGUUAAAAUAUUGAGCUGAAAAAUUCUGUUCGUGUUCGGUUUAUUAUUUAUUAAUGAGCUGAGCACGAAUUGAAUUAAAAUCUUAAUCUAAUAACUAAAAUUUACAAAAUAUAGUCUCGUUAUAUUUGCAUUGGCCUCAAAUUCAAAUUGUAAUAUAUAUAUAUAUAUAUAUGUAGAGAGAGAGAGAGAGAGAGAGAGAGAGAGAGUCCGGCUACUAUACUAUUGAUAGUAUCAAGCCCUUGGUACUAUUGAGCUUUCUACCGUUAGAUCUACCCUUUGAUUAUUUCCACCCGUUAGAUUAUACUAUUAAACCAACCACCCACUCAACCCUAGGGGAUCACUAUCAAUUUAACCGGGGACCACUAUCAUCCCAACCGCACAUCCUUUCAUCCAACGGCCAAAAACUCAAUAGUACCAAGGGCUUAAUACUAUUGAUAGUAUAGUAGUAUAAUUAUAUAUAUAUAAUUAUACUACUAUACUAUCAAUAGUAUAGUAGUAUAAUUAUAUAUAUAUAAUUAUACUACUAUACUAUCAAUAGUAUAGUAGUAUAAUCAUAUAAUAUAAUAAUAUAUAUAUAUAUUAUAUAUGUAUAUAUAUUGAUUUAUGUACAUCUUAUCACAUAUACAAGCCCUUGUACUAUUGAGUAUUUUUGCCAUUGAUGAAAGGAUGUGCGGUUUAGGAAAUAAUUGGUCCUCCUAGGGUGAGCGGGUGGUUGGAUUAUAAUAAGUACUAAUUUAACAGUGUGGAAAAUGAUCAAAGGCGUUAGAUAUAACAGGUUUAAAGAAAACUCAAUAGUACCAAUACUAUUCAAUAGUAAGUAGCCGGAUUAUAUAUAUAAUAUAUAUAUAUAUAUAUAUAUAUAUAUAUAACUAGGCUGAAAUACUAUCAAUAGCACAAAGCACUUGGUGCAAUUAGGUUUUCAGUCCUUGAAUAAAAAAAUGUACGGUUAGAAUGAUGUGGGGGCCCUCUAGGGUUAAGUGAGUUAUUAGUUGAAUAGUAUAAUCUAACAGGUAAAAAUAAUCAAAUGGUUAAAUCUAACGGCAAAAAACUCGACAGUAGACUAUAUAUAUAUAGAGAGUGAGCUGGUAUGCUUUUGGAAGCACGGAGCCAUCCGUACUUCCAAGUCGUUUUCGAUAUUGAGACUUUCGAAUCGACGAUCGGCUUCGUUAAACUUGAUCUAGAGUACUUGAAGUAUCUAGAAAAUAAAUUUUGUGAUUUUUCGAUAUCAUUUGCCUAGUGAUCGAAGAGGCUCAAAAUCAAUAAUUUUAAUGACCGUGGUGAGCCGUUUGCAAGUUUAACGGUGUAGAAAUAUCCAAAUCACGUGAAAUUUUGAUAUAAAAUUCUUUAUACUAUAUAAAACAAGAUCAAUAUUUUUGAUCUAAAAUUUUAAUGUCAUAUCAUCAUAUUUUGUAAGAUUUUUAUUUUCAGCCGUUGAUUUUGAGCCACUUCGAUCACUAGGCAAAUGAUAUAAAAAAAACGCAAAAUUUAUUUCUAGAUACUUAAAAUACUCUAGAUCAAGUCUAACGGAGUUGAUCGUCGAUUCGAAAGUCCCAACAUCGAAAACGACUUUGAAGCACGAAGUGCUCCAUGCUUCCAGAAGCAUUCCAGACGCACUAUAUAUAUAUAUAUAUAUAUAUAUAUAUAGAAUUGAGCUAGAAUACUUUUAAAAUUAUCACCUCAUUGGUGCUUUUGAGAGUAUUCUAGCUCAACUAUAUAUAUAUAUAUAGUAGGGCUACUAUACUCUUAUGAGUAUAGAGUUCUUUGUACUCAUAAAUUAUUUUCGAUGUUGGGGCUUUCGAAUCGACAAUUCACACCGUUAAACAUGAUCUAGAGUAUUUGAAACUUCUAGAAAAUAAAUUUCGUAAUUUUUUGAAAUCAUUAUAAAGUCGAACGACGUCCUAAAAAUAGAUGAUUGGAUCCUUCAAUUUAAGAUCGGAGUUGUUGAUCUUUAGUUAGGUAGUGAAUAGAAUUUUCUAUCAAAAAUUCAACCUAUUCCGAUUCUUUUUCACCGUUAAACUAGCAAAUAUCUCAUAUCGGCCGUUAAAAAUUGUCAAUUUUGUGAGCUUUUGAUCGUAAGAUAAAUAAUAUCGAAAAAUUACAAAAUUUGAUUUUUAGAAGUUUUAAAUGCUUUAGAUAAUGUUUAACGGUAUGGAUCGUUGAUUCGGAAGCCCUAUCAACGAAAAUAACUUAUGAGUACGAAGGCGAUCGCACUCAUAAGAGUAUAGUAGCCGAGCUGAUAUAUAUAGUAGGGCUACUAUACUCUUAUGAGUAUAGAGCUCUUGGUACUCAUAAAUUAUUUUCGAUGUUGGGGCUUUCGAAUCGACAAUUCACACCGUUAAACAUGAUCUAGAGUAUUUGAAACUUCUAGAAAAUAAAUUUCGUAAUUUUUUGAAAUCAUUAUAAAGUCGAACGACGUCCUAAAAAUAGAUGAUUGGAUCCUUCAAUUUAAGAUCGGAGUUGUUGAUCUUUAGUUAGGUAGUGAAUAGAAUUUUCUAUCAAAAAUUCAACCUAUUCCGAUUCUUUUUCACCGUUAAACUAGCAAAUAUCUAAUAUCGGCNNNNNNNNNNNNNNNNNNNNNNNNNNNNNNNNNNNNNNNNNNNNNNNNNNNNNNNNNNNNNNNNNNNNNNNNNNNNNNNNNNNNNNNNNNNNNNNNNNNNNNNNNNNNNNNNNNNNNNNNNNNNNNNNNNNNNNNNNNNNNNNNNNNNNNNNNNNNNNNNNNNNNNNNNNNNNNNNNNNNNNNNNNNNNNNNNNNNNNNNNNNNNNNNNNNNNNNNNNNNNNNNNNNNNNNNNNNNNNNNNNNNNNNNNNNNNNNNNNNNNNNNNNNNNNNNNNNNNNNNNNNNNNNNNNNNNNNNNNNNNNNNNNNNNNNNNNNNNNNNNNNNNNNNNNNNNNNNNNNNNNNNNNNNNNNNNNNNNNNNNNNNNNNNNNNNNNNNNNNNNNNNNNNNUCAUAUAUAUAUAUAUAUAAAGAGAGAGAGAGAGAGAGAGAGAGUCCGGCUACUAUACUCUUAUGAGUACGAUCGCCUUCGUACUCAUAAGUUAUUUUUGAUGAUAGAGUUUCCGAAUUAACGAUCCAUACCGUUAAACAUUUUCUAGAACAUUUAAAACUACUACAAAUCAAAUUUUAUAAUUUUUCAAUAUCAUUUACCUUACGAUCAAAAGCUCACAAAAUUGACAAUUUUUAACAGCCGGUAUGAAAUAUUUGCUAGUUUAACGGUAUAAAAGAAUCGGAAUAGGUUGAAUUUUUAAUAAAAUAUUCUAUUCACUACCUAAAUAAAGAUCAAUAACUCUGAUCUUAAAUUUAAGGAUCCGAUCAUCUAUUUUUAGUAUGUUGUUCGAUUUUAACCAUUCAUUUUAUAUCCGCUUGAUGGGCUUUAUAAUGAUUUUGAAAAAUUACGAAUUUUAUUUUCUAAAAAGUUCAAAUAUCCUAGAUCAUAUUUAACAAUAUGGAUUGUCGAUUCGAAAGCUCCAACAUCGAAAAUAAUUUAUGAGUACGAAGGGCUCUAUACUCAUAAGAGUAGAGUAACUCUACUAUAUAUAUAUAUAUAGUCUUGAGCCGGGAGUGCUUUUGGAAACACCAAGUACUUUGACGCUAUAAUAUAUAUAUUUAGCCAUUGGAUCAACCCCAACGAUUCUUAGAUCCUGCAAAAUGGCUGGUCACAUAAGUAAUCUUCGUUGCUGUCUUUCGACCCAAUAGUUAAAAAGAUAGAUUCAAAGGUUAAAUUUUUUUUUUUUUGAUACUUUUAUAAAUAUUUCAACUAAGUUAUAUGCAUAGAGAUAGAGAGAGAGUGAGAGAGUUGAGCUAUUAUAUUUUUUAGAAGCACCAACUUCUAACUUUUGGGUUCUUAAAUUUCUAAAAUUUAUUAUUCGCUGAGUCAGCUCAUAUCGUGAGAUGUGGAGAUUAUCGAUCAAAUCCAACAAAGUCGAAGGAGGAAUUGUGGAGUUCCUUCUCUAGAUUAGGAUUGAAUACAACUAGAAUAAAAAAGAAAAAAGCUUUCCUUGUGUUCCCACCUAUAGUAAUACUCCACCGCGCCUCCAAAUCACCAAAUUCUCAACCUCACAUUUUUUUUUCAAAUCUUUUGUUUUUAUUUUACUUCAUCCUAUCCAGUUUAAUUCUGGAUGUCAGAUACACACCGCUGUUACCAAAAACAUGUCAAACUAUCUGAGCCACUAGAUUGGGUUUCGAGAAACAUGUCGCAUUACAUUGCAUUCAAAGAUUCCAUUUGCAAUACCAGGAAUGAAAAAUUGUGGAUAAUGUGAAACUUGAAAAAGAUUUCUUUAAAAGUAAAAUUAAGGAAGCAAGUUAUGGCGUGAGCAGGAAUAUUCCACAGGAGGCUGAUGGGAACCCAAGGAAAUGGAAAAUGGAACCCAGCUCUAGAAAUUGGUAUAUUGUUUGAAAAAGAUCGAGAAAUUAUUGUCGCUGCACCUGCUACGCGUGCACUGCUGUUAGGCUUAGUUUGGUAUUGAAAUCUAUCUGACGGUAUUAGAUAAAAGUAUUAAUUUCAUACAAAUUCCUAUAAUAUAAUGAAUUGUAAAUAUAACCCUACAAAAUUGAAGUUUCAUAUGUUGUCCCUAUAAAAGUCCUAAUAUUUUCAAAUAUUUUUCUCUAUUUUAUAAGUGAAAUGACUUUUAUGCUAUUAUAAAUAUGUUCCUCAAAAAAUUUCAACUGUUAAUAGAAGAGGGAUAAAAAAGUCAAUUCACCUCAUUAACUUACCGGUGUUAAGUAUUUAACCUAUGGUUAACUAAAUUUUUCUAGCAGAUUCUAACGGCAGAGACAUAUUUGAAAAUAUCAGAAUUUUUAUAAAAAUAAUAUAUAAAAGUUGAACUUUAUAGGGCUGUAUUUGUAAUUUAUUAUAUUUGCAGAGACCUGUAUAGUUGGGAUAGAAGCAUAUAGAAAUAUACUUAUAUGUUUUCCGGUGGGACCAUCAAAAGUAUAUUAUAGCCAACUCGUCGCGAUAUGCGAAACACAAUAUUAUAUACGGAAACAAACAGUGUAUUUUCUCAUUGUACUUCUUACCGUACGUAAUGCAAUCUUUCCAUAAUUCAAAACAUAGCCUUAAUUUUCGUUCCUCAAUAUUUAAAAUUAAAAUUUAUUUUGAUAUAUAUAAUCUACAUCAUUUAAAGUACCAAUGGAAUCAUAAUAUUUGAAAAUUUAUUAUUGAGGUACUGAAUAAAUUUAUGAAUUAAUAGUAAACAAAGAAUUAUUAUUUUAUUUUAUUGUAGGACAUAUUUAAUAAGUUAGAUUCCAAUUGAUAUAUUAGAUGUACUAAGAUGGUUGGGGUAGGCAAUAAUCUUUCAAAAGAGAUUAGGCCAAAAAAGUGACAUGAAACCAAUAGACUCAAUUUUUUUUUUAAAAAAAAGAAGGUUCAAAAUGGAAAGGUGUGGAAAUUGAGGUUUUUAUCAUUUUUAAUUGGGUAAAUUGUAGGUUUGGCCCUCAAACUAUGAACUGAUAACACUUGAGUGUUUAAAUUUUAAUUUAUUAUAAUUUUUUACUUAAGUUUUUAAAAUUAUUGCAAUCAAGUUCUACAACUUAAUUUACUUGAUUAAAUAUUUACACGUCGUUAAUAUAAAAAUUAGAAUAAUAUUUAAUAUGCUUUUUAAAAUUUUAAAAAUAUCUUAUUUAUUUCUAGAGGACCAAAAUAUUUUUAUUGAUUUUAAAAAAUUCUAUCAAAUAUUCCUUUUUUUUUUCUAGGAUUUACUGAUGAAACUGAAUUUAAAAAGCUAUUUAGAUAAUUUUAGUAGGAUAAAUUUAAAAAUUUUGACUAGUAGUAAUUGAUAAAUCAGUAAAACCCCUAUAAAUUAAUAUAGCAUCUUAAUAAUUAUCGCAUCACUUAAUUACAACACUGCUACAUCACUUCUAACAAUUAACGACUGAUCAAUAUUUAAUCAACUAAAUUGAAUCAUAAGACUUUAUUAUUGUAACAAUUAUAAAAGUUCAAGCUAAAAUUAUAAUAAAUUAAAGUUCGAGAACUAAAAUUUCAUCAUGUGAAUCAUAGUUUGAGCACCGAACAUGCAAUUCACCUUUUUUUUUUUUAUUUUUAUUUAUGUGGUUGAGUACAUUGGAGUGUGACAGUGCCCCCUACUUGUGGUCGCCCAUGGUUUUGAUAUUUUGGAUAAGAUUGUCGCCCAUGGGUUUGUAAAACUAUGAAAGAAUCUAAUGCAUGUGGACCAGAAGGACCAAAGCAUCUUUUUUUGUUCACUAUUUUGGAGCACAAGGGCCUAUUACAAGUACCAUAUUGUUCAAUAAAAAAAAGAAAAAAAAAAAAAAGCUUCAAUUUACCCCCACUUAGUUUACAAUUUUUGUUGCCAUUAUUCUAUUUUACUAUUUUAUAUAUAUAUAUAUAUAUAUAUAUAUUACUUUAUAUCAUCGUAAAGAUCUGUCGUUAAGUGGGAUAAUAAAUUUAAGCAGAGUAGCAAUCUAAGAAUGAUAUUUUUAAUAUUUAUAUUCAGCUCUUCACCCGACGUCGGAUUAGGAACUUUUUGAUAGGCCAAGGAUAUAGAGGCUUAAAUAAAGUGAAAGAAAAUUAAAUAAUUACUCCAAUACCUUAUUAAAUUCUGCAGAGCAAUCGUUGUUCUCCGGAAGCUUAAGCGAUCAUAAAUCAGUGUUAUUAAUAUUUAUAUCUAACAUAAAAUGCUAAAAUUUAUAAAUCAUAGGGUAAGCAAUACAAUUCAAGAACCACAGCGUGGUAAAUUAUAGUAUUUUCUUAGCCUAUUUUUCUUUUCACAUAGUCGUCAUGUGAUUUGUAAAAUGUAUCAACUUAUCACCCCGUGAAUUUUAAAUUUUAGCAUUUAGUAUUUUAUUUGAUGGCAGGUACUUAAUAAAAAUAAAAUCACCAGGUAACAAAGUUUUUAAUCAUAAGGUAGCAAACGAAAAAUGCGCUAAACUAGGUAGUGCUAAUUUAAUUUUCCCAUAUUAAAAUGCUUUUUCUUGAUCCUACUUUGCUACAUUAGUCAAAAACAAAGGCCUAAAAUCUGUUAAACAAAUAAAGUCAUUACUAUUAAUCAUAAAACAAUCAUUUAUCUCAAAAAAAAAAAAAAAUUCUCCUCGAAAACUUAAAGUGUCAAAAAAUAGAGCCCGGUUACUAUCCUAUUAAUAGGAUAGAAGCACUUGUCCUAUCAAGUCGUUUUGAAUGAUCGAAACUUCAAAUUGAUAAUCGGCACCGUUGAUAUUGAUCUACACAAUUAGAAAUAUUUAGAAACCAAAUUUUAUAAUAUUUAAAAAUCAUUAUCAAGUUUAUCUUAAGAGUUAAAAAAUGAACGGUCAUAAAUGAAUAAUCUUCUUAAAAUAGAGGUUAGACUUUUUCAAUUCAUAAUCAGAGUUAUCAAACAUUAUCUAAAUAGUAUAAAGAAUUUUCUAUAAAAAAUUUAAGCAAUUUGGAUUGCUCUACACCGUUAAACAAGCAAACGGCUCAUAUAGGCCGUCAAAAAUUGUCGGUUUUACGACAUUUUGAUCACCAUGUAAAUAAUUUUUAAAAUUUAUAAAAUUUAGUUUCUAGAUAUUUCAAAUACUCUAGAUCAACUUCAACGGCUCCGAUCAUCGAUUCGAAAUCUCUAUCAUCAAAAACCAUUUGAUAGGACAAGUACUACUAUCCUAUUAAUAGGACAGUAGCCCUAGCCCCAAAAAAUAUAUAUAUUUUUUAAUAUUUAUAUUUAAUAAUUAAACAUGGUGAUUUUUUAUUUUUAUUAUCUUUUUUUAGUAUUGUAGACCAAUCUCAAUAGUGUAAAAUUUUAGGGUACACUUCAAAUACCACCCCAGUGGUUUCGCACUUUUUCACUUUAGUACCGUGUGGUUUAAAGUGUAUCAAGUUAGUGUCACGCGAUUUUAUUUUUAUCUUUUUAUCAGCCUUUCCAUUAAUAUUUCGCUAAAUUAUGUACAAAAAGCUUCAGAUACCUCACCUAACUUUAUCGAAUAUUCACUUUAGUAUCCUUUAGUUUUAACUUUGUCACUGAUUUAAUGAAAAAAUUAGUGGAAUCGAUAAUAAAAAGAUAAAAAUAAAACCACAGGAUACUAAAUUGAUACACUUUAAAUCAUAGGGUAUUAAAGUGAAAAAGUGUGAAACUAUAGGGGUGGUAUUUGAAAUUUUCUCAAAAUUUUAUAGGAAAACUUCAAAUACCCCCCUUGUGGUUUCACUUUUUCUCAUUUUAGUACCAUGUGGUUUAAAGUGUAUCAAGUUAGUACCCUGUGGUUUCGCACUUUCUCACUUUAGUACCCUGUGGUUUCGUACUUUCUCACUUUAGUACCUUGUGGUUUUUAAACCACAGGAUACUAACUUGAUACAAAAAUAAAACCAUAGGGUACUAACUUGAUACAAAAAUAAAACCACAGAGUAUUAACUUGAUACACUUUAAACCACAGGGUACUAAAAUAAGAAAGUGUGAAACCACAGGGUACUAACUUGAUACACUUUAAAGUAUAGAGUAAAAUGAAAAAAUACGAAACCACGAGAUUUUUUAAGUUUUCCCAAAUUUUAUUUAGGACUUCUUGUGAUUUUUCGUUAAGGGGACAAGUACAUGAUGGAACAUGACUAUAAUGCCCUUCAUAUGAGAAGGAAAUUGCAUGGCCAAUUAAUAUACUUCUAUUCAUUUAUAGUGGUUUGGUUCUGAAGCAAAAUAAGCCCAACAUUAAUUGACUAGCAAUAUAUGAAAUUUUAAUUUUGAGGUUGCAUAUUAUGAGACAAAAUAAUGUAUGAAAAUUUUCAUAUUUGUAGGAGGGGUAUUUCUACUUAUGUCUUAUUUAUUCUAUAAGUGGUCAUUUUUCACAGUUUUUAUUUUCUAAAUAAAAAAUUUAGAAAAUUAUAAUACUACUUUUUAAUGAAAUAUGAAAAAAAAAUUUGGCCAAUUUGCAUAAAAAUUUACUAAUUUUGAGAUUUUGUAAAAGUAGGUCAUCUUUUUGAAUUUUAUAUAUUUGGAUCAAAUUUUCAGAAAGUUAACCAACAUCUUUAUUUCAUUUUUUUUUCUCUUUUCUUUUAUUCUCUCAUUCUUCUUUUUUUUCUCUCUGACCCUCCUCUAUCGCAUCCGCAGCCCUCCAUGAUGGUAACAAGGGUAGCGUCGUUUUCUCUUUCUCUGCCUUAACCGAGGCGCCGAAGGAGAAGGACUCAGAGCGAGCGUAGGUAAGAUAGGAGUCGGCGGAGGUAAUGAGGUCAUUGUAGAGACAGUGCUUGCUGUUGCCUGUGAGGGUAAGGAUAAAGACACGCUCGCACUUCUCCAAGGAGCGUUUCCGACGAGGACGAUGGCUGCGAUAAAGGGCGGGGGAGAAAUCGCGAUAAUAAAAAAAAUGUAGAGAGUAGAGAAAAAUAAGAAAAACAAAGAAUAAAAAAAGUAAAGAAAAUUAUUUUUUUCUACAAAAAAUGCGUAAAAUCAAAGAAAAAAAAGAAGAUGAUAAAAUUGUAUGUUAAAAUAAAGUUGCAAUAUUUUAGAAAAAUGUUGUACUAUUUUAGAUGAAAAGUUACACUCUUUGAGAUAAAAUUACACUCUUUGAAAUAAAUGUUGUAUUUUUUGAACGAAAGUUAUAAUAUUUUCCCUCCUCCUUCUUUCUCUCCGCUUUCUUGUACUUCUUCUGUGCCCAUCUCCUUUUCACCCUCUACCUCUACCGCCGUAGAUACUCCACCCACCGAACCCACUUUUGAAAACCUGCCGUCUCCACCGCCACCGCCGACGACGAAGAGAAAGCACUAAAAAGCUCACCGGCGAGGGAAGGGGCAUGCGGCCCAUGACGCCAACUCGAGGACGGCGACACGUGUGGUGGAGACGGAGGAGAGCGUGGCGGCACCGAAGAAGAGGGCGGGUGAGGAAGGGGGGAAUAUUUUGAUUAGUUUUCUGAAAAUAUGAACUAAAUUUGUAUAAUCCAAAAAGGCGGUGUAAUUUUGUAAAAUUUCAGAACUAGUGAGUUUUUUAUGCAAAUUGGCCAUAAAUUUUCUAUGAAAAUUAUUUUUCUUAGCAACCAAACAAACAAAAAAUAUUUCUUUUCUGUCAGAAAAUUGAUUUCCGGAAUAUUUUUGGGAAAACCAAACACCCCCUUAGGCCCUGUUUGGUUUGCGGUACAAUCACUCUAAAAAAAAAAAUUCGGUAGAAAAGUAAGUUUUCGAGUGUUUGUUUGCCCGUAAAAAAAAUUUUUUGGAAAACUUUUUUUACGAAUCCGACGAAAUUGGCCUUUUCGUUUUCCGCUCGAAACGAGCGAAAAACGAAAAAUCGCGGCGUUGGCAGCCGGGGCCGGGGUUCACCAUGUGCGCGGUCCACGAGGGACACCCCACCUCGUGGACCGCGAGAGAGAGGUCGACGGUGGACCUCUCUCCCCAUCUUUAUAUAUAUAUAGAGUCCGGCUACUAUGCUAUCGAUAACACCAAGUAUUUAGUGCUAUUAAGUUUUCUGCCGUUAGAUUAACCCCUUUGAUUAUUUUCCCACAUUAGAUUAUACUAUUCAACCAACCACCCACUCAACCCUAGGGGCCCAUAUUAUCCUAACCGCACAUUUCUCAAUCCAAUGGCUAAAAAACUAAUAGCACAAAUAGCUUGGUACUAUUGAUAGUAUUCCAGCCUAGUUCUAUAUAUAUAUGUGUGUGUGUGUGUGUAUGUGUAAUAGCUUGAUGCUAUUGAUAGUAUUCCAGCCUAGUUCUAUAUAUAUAUAUAUAUAUAUAUAUAUAUAUAUAUAAUAUAUAUUAAAAUGAUUAUUUUAUUUUAAUAAAAAUAUAUUUAUUACUAUAAUAUUUGAUUUAAAAUAUCGAGUAAUUUAUUUAUGAGUAUUAUAUAUUAUUUGGCAUUUUAAAAUUAUUGCAGUAUAUUUUAAAUAUAUUUUAUUUAUAAAUAUAAAUUAUAAUACUAAUAUAUGUAAUAUAAUAAUUAUUAUAUAUUAAUAAUAUAAAAUAUAUAAAAUAAAAAAAUAUAUAAUAAUUUUUAUUUAUAAUUUUUUUUUCCUUUCAACCAAACAACUGUUGUGGAAAACUAUUUUUUUUUCCUACAAACCAAACACCAAACGACGUAAAACUAUUUUCUACCGAAAAUUUUUUUCCUACCGAAAUUUUUUUUUCCAAAGUUUUACGUGGAACCAAACACACCCUUAAUGAAUUAUAAAAUAAAUCAUUAAAUAAGUAAUACAAAGAAAGCUUAGGGCUUAUCAACAUGUCUAUUCUUACCAUAUUCAAUAAAUAUAAUUAACCAUCUUCACAAUUAUUAUACUCAACAUUUGAUUGCAUGCACAUUGGAUGCAUAUGACUUGUAUUUACAUGCCUGCGAUAGUGAACCUUGAUGUUGAUCUCAUUAUUUUUAUGUCUUAAAAACGAAAUAUUUUAUAUUUUAUUUGGGGAAUGAUGGAUGAAUUAGAUAUUAUUUCGUUUCAACAUAGGCUCACAACUGUUCGCACAGCUAAAUUGUGUUGAGAGGGAAGAAGCAUAAGAACGAAAAGAGAUGAUACGCAAAGAACUAAUUCUUCAAUCAAUUCUCAAAAUUUGAAGUACAUUAACUGAACGUCACAUCUAUAUAUAGAAACGAUACUCUACUCUUACUAAGCAAAGAUAACAAUUCUAAUAAUGUCUCUAAGCUUAAUCAGACUAAAAAUAAUCAAAUAAUCAGACAAAAAGUAGAAAAAAUGCAAAACUUUUCGAAAAUAACCUAAAAAUGCAAACCGGAGGCUGAAACAAUUAAAUUUGAGUCCUAAAACCGGCCGAAAUUGCCAUGCAAUUUAACACGUAGAUCUCAAAAUGUAUUUUUCGAAUUGGGAUUGUACGUUAAAAUUAGAUGUGCGAACGAAAAGUUGUGACAGUUUAAAAAUUCUCACGCCGAAUGUAAAAAUUAUUCGAACUCAACGAAAUUUUCGACUCAGCUUGAUCGAAUUGUAUUUUUCCAGAAACUCUGACACCAAAUUGGCCGCAUCACCAGCUCAUAGAAUCAGAUGGCUUAUUCGGCCCCACUUCUGUCUGGUUUCUUCUCAGAGUGUCGACGUCUUUUUCCGCGAUAUGAUUUUAUAUCAUUUUCGCGCACUUCUGCUUCUGCAGUAGGAAGAUAGAUAGAUGCUUUUUCGAGCAAGCACCAAAAUGAAUUUCCACAUCCUCCUCUAAUUGUUUUGAUUGAGCCUUUUUGGCACCCAACAGGGCCAAAAAAUUGGCCUGAGCCACAAAAGCCCUAUCAACAAAAUUUCAGAUUAACUGACCGUCCCUAGAGCAAGUGGCAAAGAGCUUGGUGGUUGGUACUCGAUGUCCCAAGUUCGAAUCCUAGUUGAUUCACAUUUCUAACUAAGUUCAUUUCUAAAAUGAAAUAAACAAAGCAGAUAGCGUGCUACCUAUCUUUCAAAAAAAAAACAAAAAAAACAAAAUUUCAGAUUAAUACCUUCUAUUACAGAUAGCCCAGUCAAAGAGCCAACUCGGCCCGAUCCGAUGAUUCGUGAAGCCCUUACAAUUCUCUUUUGAUGUCAGAAUAAGUUAUCUAAUCUUCUUGCGCGAUUCAAAAAAAAGGAGUUUGAUUUUCAGGUCCUUAUAGCUCUUCGCAUUCGUGAUUUGGGAGGACAGAAUAUAUUUUAUCUAUAAAGUGAUUUAUCUUACUUUUAAAAACAUGACUUUAAAGCCGAAUAUGAAUAUGGUAUUAUAAUUUAGACAUUUGAUCAUAUUUCUCAUCUAUCAAUCAAACAAGAUGUCUAUAUAUAUAUCCAGAUAGGGCUUAUUGGACUUCACCGUGAUCCCGGGAUUGAUAAAAUUUUGUAAGAAUCUGUGUGGGUGUUAAAUAAAGUUGUUUAGUGAUAACUUUUGUGGACUUUGGGGAGAGACAUGAUGUUCGAUUUGUUGGUCGAACUCUUUUUUAUGCCUACAAGUUGUUUGAUAGUUUGUCUACAAGAGACCUGAGCUGCAAAGUUGCAGAAUGAAUUAGUCUAUUAUUCAAGAAGCCAAAGUUUCUGCAAGCGGUAUCUCGGUACUGAAGAUCAGAUUAUUAUGCUACGUGUACUGAUAGGGUGAAUGUGGGAAACUAAACAGAUGACCUCUUGAACUUGAUAGGGUUUAGAACCGGCUCUGACGCGUUUUGGUUUAAACAGGUCAGCAUCCUGUUUCGUGGUGGAAGGUUGGAUUGGGCUGAGUCUCGUUCAGAGUGACGAGAGACUGAAUCAUGUUCGAAAUACUAGGAGGUCAGAUUGGGCCGAGUCAUAAUCGAGACUUGUGGGCGUUGUGCCUGUACACUUUCCAAUAACUCGAACUUUGGAAUUAAUGAUUAGCACCCAUGAACCUACAAUGCCAUUCAAACUGACAGAAAAUAUGGCUCAGGAAUAGUAUUAAACCAGAUAUGUAUUCACUUUCUUUCUUCCUAACAAAAGCAUGUGUAGUAUUAUUAAUUAGAAAAGAAGCAUAUUUUGUAGGUAUGACAUAUAUGUUUAAGUUCAAUAUGAUACAUGAUUCUUACACUUGCUAUUUACAUUAGAUGUCAAGGAAUGGAGGUGUCAGUGUUUGAAGCUUCAUGGUAUGUCCAAGUGUGUAAAAUUCUCAUAUUUGGUCAAAAUGUACUCCAAAUUUAACUGUUUGAGAACACUCUAUAUAUCGCCUUUUUCACUUCAAGAAUGCUAGCUCUCUUUCCAUUCAUCUCCUUCACCUGUAGAGAUUCGAAUGCGCUGAAUUGUUAUAUUUGCAUCUGUUAUUCUUGUUUCAGAAUGAAAGGCGCGGAAAAAUGGUGCUAACUACUUCACAUAUACCUUUGCACGCAACUCCGCGAAAAGCGUGCCGUUAACCGAGGACGACUGAAUCGACAUGAUCUCGAGCCGAAGCUCGUGAAUUGUCUGCAUGAUCUUCAGAAGCAGGCCUUCUUUGUAAGGGCAUUGCAUCUCGAGGAGAGCGUCGGCUUCGAUGAUCGAGACCUGCACAUUAGUGCUCGGAGCAUCCGCGACCCUGGUCCCUUCUAGUACCCUGAUCUUCCUCUUGUCUGACGAGAAGGCUCUCUGUUGGCUGGUCGCGACGUGAUCCACUCCGCUCCCCUGCGGGGAUCCGCUGCCUCGCGGCACAUUUGGAUCCUUCGAGCUGCCUGGCCUUUGAAGUUCUGCUGUUUUCGUCAGGCUUUCCAUCUGCCUGUUUCUUGACUCGAGAUCUUGCAUGCGCUUUCGGAGCUGCUUCACGUACUCUAUUGCGUCGCCCAAAAUCGAUGCCUUGUCCAUCUGAGAUCACAGCAAUUGAGCUUCUCAAUAGGCAUUGCUAUAGCAAGUGUAAUUCACACCUAGUUUCUGUGUACAAGUUUUCAUACUUAAGACAAGAAGUUUCUCUAAAGUUCAUACACAUAUGUUAAAAUUCAUGAUAUGUUGCAUACUGCAAUAAGGACAUGCACCUUCGUCACGAACGGAACCAACGAGCGAAGAACGAUGAACCGCUCGUUAAGCUUUUCUCUUCUCCGGCGCUCCGCAAGCACGUGGUUGGCGCUUGGCUCUUCUUGCGCCGCUCCUUUUCGGGACCGACUCCCGCCGCCUUCCCCUUCUAUAGAUGGAGGUGAGUUCUCAUCUUUGUACCUGCAGUGAAGAGUCGGAACACGAAACAACAUAGUUUUAAGUAGCCAUUGCGAAGUUCCUUCGGAGAGCACGAUUUGAGGAUGAUCUCUAGUAGAAUUCCAUCCGGCGAAUGCCGUUUGGCGCGAGGGAACAAAGUAAUCAUUGGACUUCGAUUCGUCUCCUCGGCUCGAGUUGUGUCGAAGUAUAGUUGUAACUGUUUCCGAGUAAUGAGCAUCCUCUUGUGACAGCUCUUGAGCUUGCACUGCCAAAAUAUAUGUUUGAGUAACACUUAGAAGUUGAAUUUGUGAAUGCUUGUUCUACAUUACAUUGUUACACUUUCGGAACAUUUGCGAAAAUUACCUGAGGAUUGUUGUUGAAGCUCACUACAAAUGUCUUCAUGAAGAAAAUUCCAACAAUGAUAUGUUUCAUCCUCUCUCUGGUGAUUAGAUACUCCGCUAGUGUUGCAGCAAACUCCGACCAUUUGUAGCUGAGUGUUCAAGUUAUUUGAGCAAUCAUCAGGAGACCCCAACCUAACAUUCUGCGACAAACCAAGCUGCAUCAACUCAUCAUGCUCGGCAUUCGGAGUUGUUGCCCCCUCAAUUCUUGUCAAAGUAGGUGUGAUCAUGUGGCUGCACUUCAAAGUGCCGACUUCCGAGCCCGAACCGCCCUCUAUUUCAUCUUCUUCGUCGUCGUCAUCGUCGUGAUCGUCGUCCUCCUCGUCAUCAUCCUCAUCGUUCUGUCGGUCUGAUUCUGUCGGUUCUGCGUGCAUUCGAUGCAUGGUCACGCCUACUUGGAAUGAUGGUGGCUCAUUGUACUUCGCGGGGUUCGAGGUCGAUUGCUCCGAAAGCGCGGGCAUGGAUUGGAUCUCGUGAUGCUCCGCGAAGAAGCUCUUUGCAUGUUUAAUAAGUCCUGUGUCCUCUUCAACCUAUUAAACCAUAUCAUCUCAGUUUCUACAUAAGAUUCAAGAUAAGUAUACUGCACUGAAAUCUCAUUUACUUUAUCAGAAAAAACUGCAAUUUACAUCUUCUUUUCUGAAAGAUGAGGGAUACUGACCAUCUCUGUAGUUCCAAGUUCAAGAACACCAUCCAUCAGGGGAAUGCAUACAACUGUCUGAAAAAUCAGAAACUGUGAGCUCAAAUUGUAAUCUUUUCCUUUCACAUGCUUUAUCAAUGAACUACAAUCAAUUGGUGCAAAAAUUUGUACAUGAUUAGAAAAUAUGCAGUACCUGUAUCUGAGCACUCUGUUUUAUGUGGAAUCAGCAUGUGUUUGCAGCAUCCAAACAAAAUGCAUGAGAAAAGCAAUAAAUUAGCGUAUAAAUUAUGAGUAAAUACAUAGAAAAUGAGAAAAUGUUACCUAAUAAAUCAUUUCACUCUGUAAAUUAGUAUCCCACCUUAGCAAGAAUAGCUCUUGAGAACACUUUGCUAUCAGCUUCAUUAGCACGUGUUAGCCACACGUGUCGGCGCCGCGCAAACGCCUUUCCUGGUAACCUACGAAAAAAGAUAUUAUUUUUACAGUGACAUUGUCAUUUGUGCAAAUUAAGUGCAUAUCUUUUUAAACAUGAAGAGUGAUUAUCUCCAAACACUAUUCAUAUUUUGUUGUUCAUGAUCAAUGUUAUUUUUUUCCUUUUUUCUUUUCUGUGUGUGUUUAGUAUAGUAUGCUAUGUUGGCUUAAAUGGGCCAGCAUCCUGCCCUGUGGCGGAAGGUCAUGUGGGCUGAGUCAUGUUCGAAAUGGCGUGAGGUUGGAUUGGGCCGAGUCAUGUUCGAAGUGGCGUGAGGCCAGGUGGGCCGAGUUACAAUCGAGAUCCGUGGGCGCUGUUUCUGUACGCUUUAAGUGAAUUGGUUGCGUAUUUCUAACAGUUCAAACUUUUGGGAUUAAUAGUUAGUGCCAACGAUCUGACAUGCUAUACAUGCAAUUGUAUGUAGAGUUUACUAAUGAGAUGAGUUGAACACUUGAACAUGAGCAAAUUUUAGAGUUCGACUUAAAAUUUUAAUAUAUGUUUUCACUUAAGGAUGAGUUAGAAUAUUAUGCUUUUAAAGUAAUCAAUCCUUUCGUAUUUAUACGUCGUUUUCGAUAGAAGAUGUCAGAAUCAAUGUCUGACGCUGUUAUAUAUAAUCUAGAAUAUAUGAACUUCUAAUGUAUCAAAUUUUACGAUUAUUCAUUUCAUUUAUUUAGUAAUUGAGUGGCAUUUAAAAAAAAAAAGGGAAAAUUUCUUCAGUACCCUUCCAAAUAGCUCUAAUAUCAUAAAUACCCCUUAAAAUUUCAAAUUUGCCCUCAAAAAGCAUAAAAAUUUUAAAAAAUGUCCUCAUAAUUAUUACUCCGUCAUGUUUAGGUAUAACAGAUUCAAAAUACCGAAUUUACCCUUCAAUUCAUUUUCAUCGAUACCCUCACAAAUUUUCUAAGGUUAAUUAAUAUAAUGAGAUUCUCUUAACUAUGAUACUUUACGAAAUAGUCCCCUUGAAUUUGACUUUUCUAUCAAAGCCUUCUUAAUAUUUAGUCUCUUAAAAUUGGAUUAAUUUUUGUCAAUUAAAUUACAGAUUUUAUCAAUCCAUUGAUGAUUCUAACAAAUUUAAUAAUUUCAAUUACUUGGUAGAAGUUAAAAUUAAAAAAAAUAUAAUGAGUAAUAGCUAACAGAGCAAUUUAAGUUAAGUAAAAUUUUAAAUAGAACUAACGAAAAUAAAUAAUGAACAAAAGUUAGAAGCUAAAUAGUAUUAAAGAAUACCAGUGAACAAAUUAAUGUUAGCUUUGAUGUUAAAUAAAUAAUGAACAAAAUUUAGGGACUAAAUAGUAAAAUCAUAUAAUUAACAUACCUUCCGAACGCUUGUCAACUUAUGGGUAAAACAGUCAUUAAAUUUUAACCUAUGUUAGACCACCAUCUAACUAAGGUUAACGUGACUUGAAAAGACAGAGUAUAACGGCAAGGGUAUUUUUGAAAGAAAGUAUUUAUUUGGAAAGGUAACUAUGACGUAACAAAAUUUAUAGGGUUAUUUAUGAUAUUUCUGAAAUUUAGAGGGGUACGGAUGAAAGUAACCCUUUAAACAAAUAGUGAACAAAUUAAGGAUAAAAUGGUAAUUUCAUGUUCUGUAUUUUAAUUAAUCCUUUUAUAUCAAUGAGUAGUGGUCAAACAUUUGAAAAAUUACAUUCAAUGAUGAAAUUAAAGAAGCUAUAUAAGUUUCUCUUGCAUAUAUAAGAAAUAGUACACCAAUAAACAUAUUCACAAGGACCAUGCACAAAUAUACACAAACAAAAUGAUAUAUAUAUAUAUAUAUAUAUAUAUAUAUAUAUAGGCCAUGCAAGGUGACGAAUAAGUGUAUAGGAUUAAUUUGUUUACAUACCCGGAUCCGGGAGGGAAGGAGAAGGAGAUGCACAUGAGGUAGAACCACUCGGACUCAGUGAGGUCCUCUGGGGAGAGGGCGGCGCUCGGUCGGCGCGCGAGCUGCAGCUGCUGCUGCUGUUGCUGGCUGGCCUCCCCGGCCGACAGCGACUCGUAGAGCUCCCGCAGCUGCUGGCUCCGCUGCAGCGUCACCUCCUCCGCGCUCACCUCUGCCGGCUGCACCGUCUUCCGCGUCUUUAUCGCGCCGUUGUAGUACCCGUCCCCCCACACCAGAACCCUGAAUUCAUGACAGGGUCCAAACACGGCACGAAAUUACUCGAAAUCAGCACGACACAGCCCCCGCGCGAUCGUCGUAGAACUUGUCUUUUCGAACACGUAAAGUCGAGUUAUAAGCAUUGGGGCCGAACUCUACGUUUAACGAAUACGAACACGACCCACGCGCUAAUCUGAAUUUGCAAACAAUACACCCUAACAAUUAAACUCUACUUCAUGAGAGCAUGCACCUUUGUGUCCAAAGUUCGGCAAUUGUGUGUAAAGUGAGGUGCACGAUCAGAAUGGGAUCUUCGUGCAGUAGUUUAUUAGUGCGCCCUUCAUCUAAGUUGCACUACUGAUAUAUUAUUGCUCGCACGUCUCAAAUAUUACACAGGUAUAUAUAUAGUGAAGAUGAACAAACCCUUGUUGUGGGCAUGGAUUCCAGAAGAGGCUGUAAGUCCACUGUAUGCUCUGAGCUACAGACUGCAGAGCCUUUUGAAGCCUUAUUGGAGAAAGGGCAACCAUGACUACUCUUUAAUUAUCUCUUCCUACAGUUAAAGUUGUAUAUGUGCACACCACCUCUCUCUCUCUCUAUCUCUCUCUCUCUACUUAUCCUUUUCUCUCAUACAGAGCUUCUUAGAACCACAACAAAGUUGAUUAGAUGAGUUGGAGAUUUGGACAUCAUGAAUCAUGAAGUGGAGAAGAGUAGUUACACGAGAGGGAGAGAUAGUUGCGUACAACAUGGGUCGAAUUGGUGGAGAGAACUAUUGCCUGCACCAGGUGUACAAUUACAUCUCAUGCACCGCACCCCGAAAACUAGCUAAAACUCCGGUAUACAAAACCUUUCUGUACCACUGAUACUAAAAAUUUAUAGCUUUGUAAGCGUAUAGGCUCCUUUGUAUUCAUGUCGCGAAUCGCAUCUAUUGAAUUCGAUAUUAGUUUUGGAAAAAUAUUUAAAAAUUACGUAAGAUCCACAUUGUUCAUUAUAAUUAUCAGCCUGAAUCUCACAGAAGCCUUUUAAAUCGCGAGGAUGGUAUCAUUUUACGUGCAUGUAAUUAUGCGGGGAUGUCGCAAUGGUUUUUAGUUUGAAGACACUGAUGAAAACCAACAAUGUACUUUUUUUAUGGUUCAUUAGAUGUAAGGAUACACCGGGUGCACGCAAUACUAUUUACUGUUGGAUUUGGGUAGUUUUUGACUGGUCGCUGCACCGGACGGUUCCACCUGCACGGUCCAUCCACCACGUGCGUUCGAAUUCGGGAAGAUUUUUUAUUAUUUAAUUUAUAAUAUUUAAAAGAGUUAUUUAAUGUAUAUUUCAAAUUUUUAAAAAUAUUUAAUAUAUUCUAGGUCGAUCAAAAUACCCUUAUUGAUUUUUAAAAAUUCUUCCAAAUGGAAUUUGAGAUUUAGAAGAGUUUUUUAGUAAUUUUCAGAUAAAAUUUCAAUGAUAGUGGGGGUAAAAAAAAUUAUUAUUAUUAUUAUUAUUAUUAUUAUUAUUAUUAAGGUUUAAAUUGCCGCCCCGUCCCGUACGGCACGGGACUGCACGUACCACGCCACCAUAAGGUGGCACCGUAGGGGGGGGGAUCUCGGACUCCCUCCGUGCCGCUGCACGCAGCGCCGUGCUGCACGAGACAGAGCGGCACAGCGCAACGUGCCAUGGCACAGACUUUUUUUUUUUUCUUUUUAUUUUGUUGUUUAGGAUACCCAAAAUAUUCCGGCGGGUACUCCAUGCACCCCAAAAAACAUUACAAAUCAAAAAUUUACUUAUUAGAUAAGUCAAAAACUAUAAUUUAAUUUUUUUUGUUGAUCAAUAUACCGAGAAAAAAUUUGUCCGAGCCCUCCGCUUUCACUAGAUAUUUAUUUUUUCUUCAUAAAUUAGUUUAUCAAAAUUUAUCACACCGUGAAAGUUUUAACGAAUUAAGAUAUAUAACAAAAUCAAACUAAAUAAACAAAUUUUGAGUCACAUUAAAUAUAUAUAUAUAAUUUUAUUUUUGCGCUAAAAGAUUAAAAAUACUGAUAAAAUUAAAAACUAAACUAAAUUAAUUGAUACUUAAGUUUAUUUAAUUUAUUUGUCAUAUAAUUUGUUACUUAAUUUUUUUGAUAAAUGUACUAUUUUUUAGUCAAAAGAAAGAUAAGAAAAAAAGAUAUUUUUGCACUUUAAAAAUUUUAACAUGGAAAAAUUUAUAUUCUGCAUUAGUUAUAAUUGUACUUUACAUACAAAAAAUUUACAAAUAUAUUAAUUGACGAGUAUAGUAAACUAUAUAUAGCAAAUAUUUAUAUUAACGAGUAUAGUAAGCUAUAUAUAGCAAAUAUUUAUAAUUAUUUAAUUAAAUCUUUCAAAAUAACAUUAUAAUAAUUUAUUGAAACAAAAAAAAAAAAACUAAAAUAAAUCUGUAUCAAAGCGUGCCAGUAGUAGAUCAUAUAUAUCCAUCGGCACGCAAGCGUACUAUAUGUCGGCAGUUGCCGUACCGUGCCAGGCAGACAGCAUCACGCCCCCAUGUCACGGCACUUUAAACCUUAAUUAUUAUUAGCAGUAGUAGUAGUCGUCUUAAUUAUACUUUACUAUAUUAUAAUUUAAUAUUUUUAUUUACUAUAUUGUCAUUAGGCUACCACUAUACGCUCUUCAGAUUAAGCAAGCAUUGAGGAACUACUCGCUAUACUGUAAUUUCGUAUAGUAAAUUACACUCUACUAUACUGUAUUUUAGUAUUAUUUUUAUUUAUUAUAUUGUGGUCGAUCAUGUACCAUGAUAUCCACUUACCGAAUCUUGAUGUUACUUUCCGAAAUCUACAAAGUUUGGUUCCGAAAUCUCCAAAGAGGUUCUGCAGAACUCGAAACCUUGCUAUUUUUAUUUAUUCUUUGAGUAGGUAUCGCUCGUGGGAUAUAUAGGAAUUAGUUCAAUUUUGUAUUUGGACGAGAAUUAAGAAAUUUAGAGAAAUAAGAAAAAUUACGUUUGGGUGAUUGGGUUGGAAUAGUAGGAAUAAAAGUAAUUAUGAUUGCAUAUAAAAAAAAAUUAUGUAAAGCAUCUUAGUAUUAGUAAAAUAAUAUUUUAAUGAGUUAAUAAAUUAAUUAAUUAAAAUUACUAUAUGAGAAAAUGAAGAUGAUGUUAAUUAGUAAAUAAUUAUAAAAAUAAGUCAAUAUGUUAAUAUUAAUUAAUUUUUUUAUUAUUUAUAUUCUUAGUUAAUAUAUUAAUUAGAUAAAUUAAAAUAUUAAUUAUUUAAGUAAUAUAAAUACUAGUUAAUGAUUGAAUAAGCAUAUCAAAUACCUAAUUAUUUAAUUAGAUAAUUAAUUAUAAAUUAUAAAUAAAUUAUUAUUUAAAUAUUUAUUAAUUUAAUAAGUUAAAUAAAUAAUUAGUUAAUUAUAAAAAAAUUAAUUGUAUUAAUUAAUUAUAAUUUAUAAUUAUUUAUAACUUAAUUAGUAGAGGAAUUAAUAAGAUAGAGAAUUAUCCAAUAGGUGGAAUUACUAAUUCCGGAAUAACCCAUUAAGAGAAAAUUAGUAAUUCUUAGUAAUUCUUAACACCGUUUAAGAAUAAGAGGAAUAAAUCUCUUAUUCUUUCUUUAUUCCUUGAACCUAACACAGUAGCAGUUCCUGUUUUUUUUUUUUUUUUUUUUUUCCUUUUUUGCAUUAGAAUUAAGAAAAUUAAUGCAUAAUAUACCCUACCACCACUCACCGACAACCACUCUGAACCAUCAGCAGAGCACCAACUAUUAAUUCCAAAAGCUUGAACUGCUAAAAAUACUUAAUCAAUUCACUUAAGAUGUAUAGACAUAGUGCCUACAGGUCUCGAUUGUAACUCGAUCCAACUAGCAUCACGCCGCUUCGAACAUAACUCGGUCCAACCUGAUUUUCCGCCACAUAAUAGAAUACUGACCUCCCUAAGCCAACAAAUCGUUGGCUGCAAUACUAUUUUUUGUAUCGUUCGUGCUAACUAUUAAUUCUAAAAAAUAGGAGCCGUUAGAAAUACACAACCAAUUCACUUAAAACGCAUAAAUGCAGCGCCCAUGGAUUUUGAUUGUGACUCGAGCUAACCAGUUCCAUGUCACUUCGAACAUGACUCGAUCCAACCCGACCUUCUGCCAUUUUGAAUGUAAUUCGACACAACCUGACUUUCCGCAGUAAAAUAGGGUAUAUGCUGACCCUUUUAAACCAGCACAAACCACCUCACUUUUGUAGGAGAAUGCAUCUCCGGUCUCCAUGCACAAUCGCGCUUUCUACAAAAAUUUGAGAAUGUGCUGAAUAUAUUAGUGAUGUGAUGUCCCCAACCAAUCAAAUGGUUCCUUUUGGGUUUAUCGAUCACAUCAUGAUUAUAGAAAAAAUAUUUUUAUUUUUUUUUCAAAAGAAGAAAUAUUAUUAGCUUGUAUUGAUGACGUGGUGCAAGUGUGACACAGUAAAUUUUCUCGACGUAAGACACUAUAAAGUGCGCAGUAUUAUACAACAAAUAUCUAUAACUCUAUAUGAUUUUUCAAUACAAUAGCUGAUGUGGCAAAUUCUUAUUUUUUAAAACUUUUCCAUUUUUUUUUCUUUUUUUUAAUAAGUGGACCCCUCUCUCUUCCCUCCUUCCACCGUACAACCCUUCAUCUCCCCCUAUUUCAUCCUAUGUUUUCUUUAUCUCUCUUUUAUUCCAGUGUAUGUCCCUUCAUUUUUAACUCGUUCUUUCAAGAAAACUUUUGUCCCUCCAUCUCCCUCACUCUCUCCCACCUACCCACAUCCGCUCGCUCUUCUCUCUUUUUUUUCCUUUUUUUUUUUUUUUGCAGGUUUCAAAUUAUUAUUAAUAAUAAUUUUUAAAUACUAAUUUUUAUAAUUUUGAUUUUAUUUAAUAUAGAGAAGAAGUAGGUGAUAGUGAAUUUAAGAGUUACGAAUCGAAUUCGCUUCAACUGAGAUUUUAUAUUUUUAUGAAUUAAAAAUACUUUUUUUCCUUCUCAAAAUAAAUUUUCUCUCUCCUAAUUUUAUUUUAUUUUAAUUGGUAAUUUUUUUUUGAAAUUUGAUUUUGAUGUAGAAAAGAAGAAAUCAUAACCUAUUAUAAUUCAUCGAGUAAUAAAACCAACUCAACGAAAUCACCUCUAGUUUUUAUUUUUUCGUUCCCUUUUAUUCUUGUAUUAAAUUAUGUUUUUUUUUAAUUCCUAUCUAUGCAACAAUUUGUAUUCUUUUAUAGUUUUUGUUUUGUUUUGUUUUCUUUCUUUGUUCUACAUUGGAUUAUAUUUUCAUUCUAAAAAAAAUUUCAAUAUAUUUUUUAUAUUAUUCACCAAUCAAAUAUUGAUUAUUUUUUGCUAUUUUUUUAUUCUUUUAUUUGUAGAUUUAAUUUAUGAUUUAUUAUAAUUUUUACCCGCCGCUUCGCGCGGGUUCCUACACUAGUGUAUAUUAUAAUUAACACAGCAAUAUUAUUGUUUGAAAUUCUAUUCUAUCAUCAAUCAGUAAUAAUCACUGAAAACAAUUUUCUAUUUUGUUGUCAAAAGAAAAUUAAUUUCGUGAGAGGCCUAUCCUUAAUUGCGUAACAACAACAUGAUUAAGAAAAUUCUCACUCCUAAAUAAAUGACUCGUCUAUGGUUUUAAUUUCAUUUUCCUCGUUCUAUUUUUUGGAGAAAAAAUGAGACUAAUUACACACUCCGCUACUUAACUUUAGUAUUAUUUUUAUGAGUUAAUUGUACAGUUUUUUUGUAAGCAUAUCAAAUAGUAAAUAUAUUUUUGCAAAAGUGCUAACCCCACUGUUAAAAAUAUAGUUAACCAUAGUUAAAAUACUUAAUAGUGAAUAAGGUAAAUUGAUUUUAAUAAUUGAAACUUUUAGAGGGAACAUAUUUAUGAUGACAAAAAAUAUCAUUUUAUAUAUUUUUUGUUAAAAAAUAAACAAUGUGCUAACAGUAAUAAACCAAAAGAGGCAAUAUGAAUAUAACCGGACUUUUGAGAGAUAAACAUGAAAAGUUAAGCUUUGUGGGGAUGUAUUUGCUAUUCAGUAUAUUUAUAUGGAGCUAUAUUAAAUUAACUCUAUUUUUAUUUGACGUAUUAUAUUAUUUUUUUCGAAGAGAGUCCGACUACAAUGCUAUCGAUGAUACCAAACACUUAGUGCUACCAAGAUUUUCAUAAUUAGAUUUAUCCAUUUGAUCAUUUCUACUCCUAAUUUAAAUGCAUUGCAUAUUAACUAACACUACUCGAGUUAGAGAACUAUUAUUAUACCUAACCAACCAUUAGGAAGUGGUAAUCCAGCUCGUUUUGCGGAGUCAGCUCAUGUUCGGCUCAUAAAUAACGUUCAUGAGAUCGAGAUCGCCUCAUUCUUAGUAAACGAGCCGAACACUGAGCUAAAUUUUUCGACUCGUUUAAAUAAACGAGACCGAACACGAGCUGGGUGUCAGCGCUCUCCUGUCUCUGUGUUCGGAGCUCCCAUCCUCCGGAUACUCCGGCCACUGGGCAAUCUCAUAUAUUUAUAUUCCCUACUCCCUCACAUUUUAUCUCUCUAUUAUAUUCCUUUACUAUCAUCAUAUACCAACUCAUUAUUAUAUAAUAUAUAAUUUUAUUAUUUAAUUUUUAGAAAAAAUAUAAUGAAAUGACAAAGAUUAAUGUAUAAAAGACUCAUUUAUAUGUAAGUCUUCGACUAUUAGAUCAAGUUAUUGAUAGAUUUUAUAUUUAUUUUUUUAUAUUAUUCUUUAAUCUUUUUAAUUAUAUUCCUGGCAGCUCAUAGCGUAUUUCCGUGUUCGGCUCGUUUACACCCCUACUCCAUUAUAUAUUCAUUAAAAGUUCCUAUCAAAUUAUUCUUAAUUAUUCUUAAUUUUUUAUAUUUUAUUAUUUUUAUAUCAAAAUAAGUUGAAUAUAUACUCUUAUCAUUUUUAACAAGUCUUAUAGUGUAGAAUUUUUUAAAAAGAGUUUAGUGAUGCGUUUAAAAAAAAAAAGUAUAAUACAAAAAAUUUAAAAAAUCUUUAAAAUACAGUAUAAUAUAAUAGCCAAAAAAAAUAUCACCCUUCUUAAAAUCAAAUUUGAUAAGAAAAAAAUAAAGGGUUAAUUUCAUAUAUCUCCAAAUAGGGAUGUAAUGUGGGCCGUGCCGGGACCACAUUUUUCGGGCCAUUUCGAGCCAAGGGUCGGCCCGACCCGACCCGGUUAUUAAUUUGGGGUGAGCCGUUCCGACCGGUUUAGCCGGGCUUCGUGCCAACCCAGAUUUUAUUAAAAAAAUUAUUUUUCCCGCUUUUUUUCUAGAAAUUUUUGUUUAAAAAGAAUAAUUUCUUUUUAAAUUAUAGACUUAUAGCUUUUACUUUACACAAUUACACCCAACAUUUUGAAAACUCUUCUAUUAAAUAUUUUUAAUAAUUUUUUAUUAUUUGAAGAAAAAUUGAUAUUUUAAAAAAUAAUUACAAAAAAUAUAUAAAGUCUGUAUUAAUCAUAUUACAUAAAAUUUGUAUUUUUUUAAAAAAAAUUUAAAAAAAGAGUUUUCAUUAUAACUUUUUAACUUAUAGUUUUUAAUAUACACAAUUAUACCCAACCUUUUUAAAACUUUUAUAAAUUUAAAAAAUUUUUUUGUAUUUAUUUUUUCGAAUAUCAAUUUCUCUUCAAAUAAUAAAAAAUUAUGAAAAAAACUAAUAUUAAUUUUAUGUUAAAAAGUUAAAUUUAUUGUGAUUUUUUUAAAAAAAAUUUAAAAAAAGAGUUUAAAUUAUAACUUUUUAACUUAUAGUUUUUAAUAUACACAAUUAUACCCAACCUUUUUAAAACUUUUAUAAAUUUAAAAAAAUCACAAUAAAUUUAACUUUUUAACAUAAAAUUAAUAUUAGUUUUUUUCAUAAUUUUUUAUUAUUUGAAGAGAAAUUGAUAUUCGAAAAAAUAAAUACAAAAAAAUAUAUAAAAUUUGAAUUAAUCAUAUUAUAUAAUUACAUUAGAGAAAAGUACAAAAUUUUUAAAAAUAAAAAAUGUAUUUAAAAUAAAAUGAUAUUGUUUAUACAACCAAUUAGCAAACAAUAGAGGAAAAAAUCAAACAUAAUUUUUUUCUUCAUUACAUCAUUUUUUUCACUUAAAAAAAAGACACCUACUAAUGUAAUUUACUAAAUAAAAAAGAAGAGACGUAAAGACUAAUAGUUUGUUGUGAUACAAUUGGUUGAUACCUGUUCACUGAUCAAAAUGUCAGUGGUUCGAUCUCCCUUAUGUUUGAGCGAUUUAAUUUAAUAUUUUUUCGAAAAAAAGAAAAAAAAAAAAAAAAUACCCAAGACCCAACCCAACGACUAUUGAGCCGUUGUCCUAGCCUUUAGGCCUGGCUAACUUUUGCCUCAAAAGUAUCGAGGUCGUGCCGUGCUGUGCCGUGCCAGGCCUACGGGCCGCUGAAAUGACUCGUAGGGCCGGGCCAGCACGGCUACUAUAGUAGUCGUGGCGGGCCACGACCUGGCUCACAAUUGUGCUCGGCCGUGCGGGCCACGACACUAGCUUUCUGUAAACAUAUCGAAUAGCAAAUAUAUUCCAAGAAAAUUCAACUUUUUAUAUUUAUUUGUUCAAAAGUCCAAUAAUAUUCAUAUUUGAUUUUCUGGUUUGUUAUCAAUGAAGCACUGUUUAUUUUUUAACAAAAGAUAAGUAAAAUGAUACUUUUGCCAUCACAAAUAUGUUCUACCAAAAAUUUCAACUAUUAAAAUUAUAUACAAAUAUCUCUCAAAAAUCCUGAGCGGUCAAUUUUUUUCUUUCUCCCAUUAUAAAUAAUAUAAGAGGCGUAAAAGGUCAAUUUAUCUUAUUCAUUAACCAUGGUUAAGUACUCCACCUAUGAUUAACUAUAUUUUUCUAGCGGACCCUAACAGUAUGGAUAUAUUUGGCAAAGUUAGAAUUUUUAUAGAAAUAAAUAUAAAAGAUUUCGCUUUAAAAAAAUAUAUAUGUUAUUCAAUAUAUUUACGGGGAGUGCAUGUAAAUAACUCAAGAAUAAAAUACUCUAGUUCUUUUUGUGCCAUGAUCGAUUAAAGUGAGUUUAAGUUGCGGUACAAGGGCUGUGAUAUGGCCUACAAACUAUUAUUUCGGGCCGAGUAGAUGUCCAAAAAUCUGAACACAAAAUAAUUAUUUUUUAUCACAUUUUAAAAACAAAUUAUAUUAGAAUUUAAAUUUUAUAAUACAAAUUUAAAUAUAACAUUAACAUCUAUAUAUUAUAUAAUAUAAAACUAGUUUGAAAAGUAGUUUAAUUUAAAAAAUAGUGGAACAUGCGGUCCAUGAGGUGAAGUGGACUUCGUGUGGACUGCCUGAGUCGACCUCAUUCAUUUAUUUCAUUUAUAAAUAAAUUUUAAUUGAAAAUGUGAAUCAAUUAGGAUUUGAACUUAGAAUCUUAGGUACAACUACCAAGUUCUUUAUCACUUGCAAUAGAGACAGUUACCCUUUACCACUUGCGGUGUAUAUAUAUAUAUAUAGAGAGAGAGAGAGAGAGUUGAGCUGGAAUGCUAUCAGUAACAAACGGGUUUCGUUGCCACCUAUUUAUUUUUGAUGAUGAAGCCUCCAAAUCGACGAUCAACACCGUUAGAAUAUAAUUUAUAUCACUUGAAAUAUCUAGGAACCAAAUUUCAUAUUUUUUUCGAUAUUGUUCUCUUGUCCAUCAAGUGGAUACAAAAAUGAAUGACUGAAAAUGAAUAUCCUUUAAAAAUAAUGAUAGUAGUCUUAUAAUGAAGAUUAAGAGUAUAUAUCUUGUUCUAAAUAGUUUAAAAAAUUUUCUAACCAAAAUUUAAUUGAUUCGGAUAUCCUUACGUUGUUAAAUGAGAAAACGUUUUAUAUCUACCAUUAAUAUUAUAAAUAUUGAAACCCUUUGAUCAUUAGGCCAAUAAUGUCGAAAGGAUUUAAAAUUUGGUUUCUAAAUAUUUCGAGUGGUAUAGAUUAUGUUCAGUGAUGCCAAUCGUCAAUUUGGAGGUUCAAUCAUCGAAAACAAAUGGAUGACAAUGGAGCCUGUUUGCAACCAGUAACAUUCGAGCUAAACUCUCUCUCUCUCUCUCUAUAUAUAUAAUAUUUUAUUUAUAAAGAUAUAUUUAUUUAUUUAUUAUAUUAUAUAGUAUUAAAUUUAUAACUUGUAUAUAUUAUACUACGCGUCCGGCUAGUAUAUUAUCGAUGAUCAUUCCCUAUGGUCAGAUCACACUAUUCAACCAGGCAAUCACUCAAUUCUGAAGGACUACUAUCAUCCUAAUCGUACAUUCUUUUAUCCAACAUCCGAAUAUUCGAUAGCAUCGAAAGUUUGGUACUGUCGAUAGUAUAAUAGCAUAAUUUAUUAUAUUACAUACUUAUAAUAUAAAAUAAAUUUGAAUAAAUUUAAUUUAAAAAUAAUAAUAAUUAUUAUUAUAAUAUAUUAUGGUAAUUAUUAUAUAUAAAUAAUAUAUAACAAUAUAUAAUAAAAAUAUAAAAUAUAUUUUUAUCUAUAUUUUUCUUGCAAACAAAAAAAACCUAGCUGAAAUUUUUUUUUCAACAAAUCUAUUUCUAUCUAUUUCUCUACAUUAAAGGAGGGUUUGGGGGGACCUUGGGGUGACACGUGUCCCUUCAAACCCCCCUUUACUCUCUCUCUCUCUCUCUCUCUCUCUGGGUAUACUAUUAUAUAUAUAUAUAUAUAUAUAUUCAUAUAGGUAUCAAAACUUUAAAAUUUGAUACUUUCAAAUUUUAAAUUUAAAUUUCAAAUAAUUUAUAAUAUUUAUUUCAAAUUUAAACUUUAAAUUUAAAAUUUAAAUCUCUAAACUCUAUGAAAUUAAUUAAAUAAUUAAUUUAUUAAUAAAUUCAUUGUAUAUAAAUAUAAUAGUUAAUUAUUAUUAAAUAACACAUAAUAAAUCGCAUAAUAAAAUCUAAUUUGAUCGAUGUAUAAAAAAAUACAUAAUUUAAAUUGAGGAGUAAGAUUUUAGAAAUAUAAUGCGUAUGUGUAUAUAUAUAAAUUAAUUUUAUAAACAAAUUCUUUCAUUAUUUUAUUUCCUUCUAUUUUUUUAAAAUUAUUUUGAUAUAUUUAUCACAAAUCUUUUUUCGCAUAAAUCUUUAUAAAAUAAGUUGUCGUUUUAAUAAAUUUUAUUUAAAUAAAAUUAACUAUUAAAUUAUUUUUAUAUAACUUUUAUUUAAUUAAUAAUUAGACUUAUAAAAUUAUUUAAAAAUAUAAAAAACUAAAAUUUAUUAAAAAAAAUUUUAAAUCCGCAGCAUCGCGCGGGUAUUACACUAGUCAAACAUUAAAGCGCAUAAAAUUCUUUCUUUUUCAAUUUUUUUAUCAGAUCAACCAGCCUUCUCGGAGUUCGGAUUCUUCGCGUUCGGAUUCGGAUAGAGUUUCGGGUAUCCAUACCCGUUAACAUCCCUGUUAAUCAUAGCUCAACUUAUUAGAUCUCAUUCCGAUGCGUUUCUCAAAACUCCUUAGCAUGGUAUGUUUCUAAACCGAAUGGAUCUAAAACCCCUCGCAUCGUCACAAACCCUAGAGAUUUGAUUCGAACUGCGAGGGUUGGGGAUGGGAUCGAUCGAUCCAUCGCCUCCCUUUUCCCUCGCCAAUUCCCUUGUCCUCGUCCGCAUCAUCCUCCUCCUCAUUCUCCUCCAUGUCCCCUCGUCUCACUCCAUCUACUGCGACGAAGACGAUUGCUACGAUCUCCUCGGGUAUUACCCCCAGAUCCCCCUUUUUACGCUCUUUUUGGAUCAAUUAUAGCAAUUUUUGUAGAUAAAUAUGCAUUAGUUUCGAUCUUGGACCUUACCGCUUAAAUUUUAGAGGGAUUGUUGAAUUCGGAUGCAAAACUUUACCGAAAUGAGUUUUUAUAUUUCACGUUGGUUCUGCAUCUCUGCAUCUAAUUUUAGUUUCGGUAUCCAAAUUUGCGAUUUGUUGAGCAAUUUGUUUAAUUUAUAUGAUUCUGCUGUAUUAAAACGUCGAAAUUUGCGAUUUGUUGAGCGAUUUGUUUGAUUUAUAUAAUUUUGCUUAGAAUUAUGACUCUACUUUAUUAAAGCAUCAAAGUUUCUGAUUUAGUGAGCGACUUGUUUAAUUUUUAUGAUUCUACUCUAUUAAAACCGAUGACCCACACCGACUCAUUUUUAUAAUGUUCGUACCUAUUUGAGGCAGCGGGGAAGUACAGGAUGAAAUUAAUGUAAUAUUUUAUGCGGGAAAAAAUUUAUUGAUAUUCAGGCAAAACGCUUUUUUUUUUAGCAUUUACUUUUGUUUCUUGUUAGUGAUUCUUUUUUUAUUUUCUGAUAAUUUUGUUUCCUUCUUGUUCAUUUUUCAGGGUUACACAGAGCGCGAAUGCAUCGGAGAUUAAGAAAGCUUACUACAAGCUUUCCCUUAAAUAGUAUGUUGGUGGAAUUGACCUUUUUGUCUUGCUUAGGAUUUUAGUUGGUAUUAUUACAUCUACAUUCAAAACCUUUUAACUUUUGAUCAUCCUCUGUUUUUUCAGCCAUCCGGAUAAAAAUUCCGAUCCUGAGUCGAGAAAGCUGUUCGUUAAAAUUGCGAAUGCUUAUGAGGUUGGAAUCGACUUUUCAGUUUCUUUUUUUAUCUCUGGUAGGCGUAGGCAUAUGCAAAUUGCAUUUUUUGAGUAGUUUCUACUACUAAAUUGGUGAUGUAAUAUGGAGGAUUCGAAAGAUUAGUGUGAUUGGAUCUGCACACACUUUGUGGUGAGUGAGAUUCUGUUCUCUCAAUCGUGGCCUGCUGCAAGCAAUGGUGCUUGAAUUGUUUGGUAGCGAAAUGCUCUUGAACGCUAUUGUUCAUCAUCGUAAUCAUUGGGUGUGGGUGUGGGGAUCGAUAUUAAACAAAUGCAAGGCUUUGUCGAUCAGUCAAUUUAGCAGGACCUCAGACAUUGUGAGGAUCCAAUCUGUUUGCUGCGUACCAACCCAAGUCGAAGAAGUUAAAGCAAUGGUCAGUGGAGGGAGUUUGACAGUGAGAAGUAGGGUUAGCUUUUGUUAGGGGAGGCCUGCAGGCUUGCACAGAGUUGUCCAGAACGGUUGGUAAAUUUAAAAGGAUUGGAUAGUAGCAAAAGUGAGAGGCAAAUGGCGGUUUGUCGACAGGGAUGAGAAUAUCAGCAGAAGCAAAUGCUCGUUUUUGUUUCUCUCUUAGUUUCCUCUGACCAUCUAUUUGUUCCUGUUUCUCUAAGCAAUUCUUGUUCUCUUGGUAUGUCUAUAAAAAAUCUAUAUCUAUUUCUCUAAGUAUACCUACAAAACCAAGAAACUUAUAUGUGACAGUAGUAGUAGACAGAAAAGAGCAUAUGGUCUUUGUAGUAUCUGAAGUAAUAGAGGCCUUUGGUGUUCGUACGUCGACCUUAAGUUUAUGAAGUGACAACCCUAUGUUCUCUUUUUCGUCCCAUGAACUAAGUUUGUUGAUAACAAGUUUUUAUACCUUUUUAAUCUCUUACAUUUUUGUAUUUUAGUGGUGGUAACAAGAUUAUUGACCCUCUUUUGUACUUAACUAACCAGAUUUUGAGAGAUGAAUCCACAAGGGGGCAAUAUGAUUAUGCAAUUGCACAUCCAGAGGAGGUAACUUUUUGUUAGCAUUCUACAAAUUCUUGGUUACUCUGAAAUUGUCUCAACUAUAUGGCCUUCGAAUCACAUGCUUAAUAUUGUUGUCUAUAAGCUUCUAUAAGCUUCUCCUAAUUAAUAGUGUAUAGUCCGACGCUAGCUCUAGAUUUUGAUGUAUGAAGUUUUGUUUGGUUUCUAUUGGAAGAAGUGAUGUAUGUUUCCUUGUCAUUGUCUUUCUGAAUUGCAAGUCCUUGCAGUUGGUUCUGUGCAAGAUUCAAUUAAUUACUGGAUAUCUAUCAUAACUUAUCUGAUAUCUUUUAGCAUUAUUAGCCUUUUAUUUGCUACACUAUUGUAAAAAAGUGGUGUUCUGCUUAUGCAGAUACAGUUGCUUUAUUGCACAACGUAGACCACAUCUGCAUAUGGCUCAGACUCCUAGUAAUGAGCACACGAGCAAGUCGCCUAUUAUAUUGCAUUUUAUAGUUUUCCAUAUUGGCUCUUUCUCCAUAUUGCUUUGUAUUUGUAUCCUUUAUAAAUUAUCUACGUAAUUCGAUGGUUGAUUAUGCUAUUCAUGUUGUUCAUACCAGUUACUGGUGGCAUCUAUAAAUAUAGCCAUGCCAUCGUACUAGUGAUGCUGUGACAAGCUUUAUUUUGUUUCAGGUAUUUUACAAUACUGCCAGAUACUAUCAUGCAUAUUAUGGGCAUAAAACAGUAAGCUUCUUUGGUUGUUCUACUUUUAUACUAAUCUGUCGUGUCUAUUAAAGAAUGGUAUCGGAGAUGCACCUAAGCUUACCAAUUGUUUCAUAAUUUCUAUCUCGGUAGGAUCCCAGAGCUGUCUUGGUGGGCCUUCUAUUGGUUAUUUCAGCAAUGCAAUAUCUAAACCAGUGGACAAGGUACACACAGGUACUGGAAUAUAUAUUACCAAAGAAUGUUCAUUUAAUGCCUUGUCAAAUAUAAAGCUUUUACCUCGAUGUCUAUAAUUGCAUUUGUUUCCACUGCAUAGCACAUAUGGGAUAUGCAGGCCUGAGCAUAUCUUGGGUCGUCACUUAGAAUAUAUAUAAUGCGAUAGUUUUAACUUAGAACAUGUAUAUAAAAAGCGGGAAAAUUGGGGACUAAAACUGAAACUGUAUACUUGGAUGAUGUCAUGGGCCAUGGCGUGACCAUUUUGUCUAUUAAAAGCUCCCUUUUCUUUCAAGCAAAUUCAAAUGUAUGUAUAAAUUGUCUUUUCACAAAUGAGGAAAAUAAUUUGUGCAUUUUGGGGACUAUAUGAAUAUUGGUUUCUAUUUAGCAACAUUUUCUCUCACGUGUUCUGAUGUGAUUAACUGAAUGUGUAAGGGUUGUGCUUAUGAUACUUCAAAUCUUUUUUCUCUUUUUUUGCAGCAUUCCAUGUGGAAUAUUUAUACUUGCUUGACAUACAUUUUCUAUUUUCUUUAUUUGACAACAACUAGACAACUAAACAAAUGAUCCAACCCAUUUAAUUUGCUAUAGAAGGAUACUGACCAACUAGAUUCUUGUAUACUUAUUUUAGGCUAUUAGCAUGGUCAAGAAGACUCCUGCUUACCAAAAUAGAUUGAAGGCAUUGCAGCUCGAACGAACUGGGGGAAUAACAACCAAGAAGAAGGGUCACAAACAAAUGGACAAGUAUGAAUUUUCUCGAUCCUUUGAACACCACAGAGUUGAGCAAAUUUGAUACAUUUUAUUGUAGAUUUGGUAUCUUGGUUCUGAUACUUACAUAAUAAGCUGGAGUAUUUGUGAAGGUGUUUGAUUCUUGAAAUUUACGUUGCUUCUGGUUCACAUGCAGAAGUUCUCCUCUGUUGUUUUUUCAUGUAAUUGUUAGUUGAUAUAUAUCUCAAAACAGAGUCACUGCAAAGGUAGUUUUGGUUUUCUUCCCAACAAAAUGACUAUGAAGGGACUCUGAAAAGUGUAGCAUUUUCAUAAAAUUUUGACGCAAAGCAGAAAACAAUAAGUAAUGAAACAAAAAAGAUAAUUUAGUGAGAAAUUAUUUAGGACAGGCAGGAGAACUUAAGACUACGUAGCCGACUUAUGUGGAUAUCACUUAAUAUGAGAGUGCAUGCAAUCGUCGACUAAAGCCUAAGAUAAAGAACUUGCAAUCGAGUUUCUUGUAUAUCACCCUAUCUACUUGUAUAUUCUUAUGCUGUUGUUCCUGUUUUCUAGCUUAUGUGCUACAGUGCCUGAUUUACAGCUUUGUAGGUUAAAUGUGCUAAAUGCUCUAAGAAAUAUUAAAAUUUUGAAAUAUAUCUUUGAUGUGUAGCCGCCAGUUGAGAUCUGAUGCUUAAUUAUUCAUCCCAGGAAAAUGGAAGAGGAGCUUGGCAGUGAGCUGGAGUUACAAAUCCAGGGUGCUGACAAACCCUCUGUGUGGAAACUUUACGGUGUUCAAUUUGCGCUCUUACCUUACACUCUAGGAAAGGUUAGUUGGUUCCAUGGAAGCUAAAAUUGUUCUAUGACUUAGUAUUUGGUGUUUUGUUUUCUCAAGUAUGUAUUUUGCAUUUCCAGCUAUUACUCUGGAGAAUAUGUUGGCUUUGGAGUUAUCGGAUAAAGAAAUAUCCUUACUCAUGGGAUGAUGCUUGUUACUUGACUCGGACUCGUCUCAAAAUGCCUCCUAACAUAUGGGAUAAUAUGGGUAAUUAUCAUCAGGAAAUUUUAUGGAAUAUAUUUAGCAAAUUGUUGUACGCGCUAAAAUAAACAUCUGUCGAAGGAUAUGAUGCUUCCUCACAAAGUAUGUUACAAGAUAAGACCUGCCAUUAUUUUAAGUCGGAAUGAUGUCGGUAACGAAUCAUUUCAGACUCCAAACCAUUAUGCCUGAUGAAACUUCCAGUGUCAUCACUUCUCGUCUUAUGUUUCACGCAGACGACUCUGUCAGGAAUGAUCUCGUGUCGAGACGGCUGUGGGAGAAAGGCAACAUGGAGAGCUAUAUCGCAGACAUGAGGAAAGAGUCGAAACGCCGGAGAUAGAUAGUUUCUCGCACAGGUGCAGAACAAAAUGAUGAAGUCCGAGCUAAGCAGAUUUCCCUUUUCCACUGGGUCCUACCAUUCACUUUCGCUUCUUCAAUCCGAAUCCAACGCAAGGGAACGGAGCUUCAAAUGGGGCCCUAGUGCUUUUGUCAACACAUGAUGCGUCACAUGUAGCAAACUACAUACUAGAAGCAGAUACCGGUGGACUUAAAUCUCAAUGGGGAUUGAAUCUCAGAUAGUUUCUGCAUCUGUCUCCGAAGAUACAAGGUGUACUUACCACAAGUUCAGGUCUGUUCUGCUACGGCAGCCUGCAUCUUUUCUUUUCCCAUUUCCUCGUCAUAUUUUUAUCAUCGGUGCAGCUUGUGCCUGUUGCAUUCAAAGAUUAGGCCGCCGAUGAAGCUUUGGCAAAGUCGAAUUCACGAGUGCAUUCGCAUUGCAUGUUAAACUACAACAUAUUUAUUCUGGCUAUAGUAUAAUCUCCAUAACUGGAGUUCUCAUCAACAGAUUCUGCAGCUGUGCUGUUGUGUUAAAUCUAUACCUAUUUGUUGAUGAGCAGAGGCUUCUCCUUCCUGAAAUCCAAUUAUAUAUUUAUUUAUUUAUGCGCUUUUUUUCUUUCUGCAUUCAGCUCUUUUCAAAAAAUAAAUUUUACAAAUAAUUUUAACAAAUUUAUAUUUGCACAUACGGCCCUCUUUUUACCAUGAGAGCGUCAUGUUUGUAUUUUUAAGUUGAACACGGUGAAUGAAUCGUCGUGCUUAAACAUGGUGAUUGAAUCACUGUAUUCACAUCCAUACUCCAGUCCUUUGUAAAUACGGUGAUUGAAUGUCACCUAAACGCUUGCAUGACAACGAGAGGACUACUCAUGCAUGUAUAAAUUUGUUAGAAUUAUUUGUAUUUUUUUUUUUAUUGAGUUGACUAAUAAAUGUAAAAAAAAGUCCGAUAUUUAUUCAUUUCUGGGAAUUAUGUCUGAGCAUGGUAUUCCGCGACCUUCCAAAAAUGUCUAAUUAUAUAAUAAUAAUAAUAAUAAUAAUAAUAAUACAAUAGGGCUCAUGAUAUUUUGGCAAUUAAUAAUGGAUAGUAGCUCAUGAAGAGAAGCCAAACAUUGUGCGUACAAUCUUAACCCUUAAUUGAAAAAAUCUUUACAUAAAAAAAAAAAAAAAAAGAAAAAAAAAAGUGGAGAAAUUGAAAAGGUGUGGUACCCAUCUCUUUCCUUGGCUUUGUCCUGUAAUUGUGCCCCUUGUUCUUCAAAUUUCCGUUCAGCCACUAUUGUUUCUAAUGUACGUUGACAAAGAAUUGAUGGUUGAUAUUUUUUGUUUUCAAAUUUCGCGCUUCAGUAUUGAAUCUUUUUAGUGUAAGUGAUAAAAAAUUUGAUAAUUAAUACGUGAGAUUUUUCACGUUUCAAACCUUAUAUAUAUCUUUUUUAGCUGAAUUAUUUUUUAAAAAUAAAUAAAAUUUCGUGUUCAUCCUCAUACUUAAAUGUCCAUCUCCAUCAUCGAAUAAAAUGACAUGAAUCUUAAAACCACACAGCGGCAGACGAACGCACCGGUCCCCAUCAUUUUUUUUUUUUUUUUUUAUAAGGUGACCCUUAUAUUGGUUUUUUGAUUGAGACCUGAUUAAUAUUUCACUCUUUUAUUUGCAUAUUAUAUUUCUAUUAGGAAAUUAGAAAUUUUAUUAGUCAUCUAAGUCAGUUGCUGACCAAGAUCGUGCCCUCUUAAUUAACUAAAAUUAUUUUAUUUUUUAAAAAAAUCAAUUAGGAAAGUUUGUUUUUUUUUAGUUGAAAAGUUUGUUUCAAACCUGUAGGAUUUGUGCCCUUUUUUUUUUUUUUUUUUUUUUUGGUCCCAAGCAAAGAGUGAGAACAGGCUAAAAAUAAAAUAGUCUCCCUUUUUACACUUUUGCGAUGAUUAUUACGAGGGCCUUUGAAUAAACAACUUUGUGCAACUGCAAUAUUUGACCUACCAAACAUGAGGAUAAAUUAUGAAGAAAAUAAUAAUAAAUGAUAAUUAAAAAACCUACAAACUUAGGUAGAAUCCCAUAAUAGCUUUUAUUCCAAGGACUUUUUCUCUUUCUUUUGUUUUUUUUUGUUUUUUUUUUUGUUUUGCUUUUAUCCCAAAUAUGUGUCAUAAAUUUUUUUGCAUCCAAAAAACGUGAUUUAGUGCUUUUUCACUUUAAGAAACUUCAACCCUUCAAUAUCCGUUAAACUGACCGAUCGUCCCAGCGCAAGUGACAAACGGCUUGGUGGUUGAUACCCGAGGUCCCAAGUUCGAAUCCUAGUUAAAUCACAUUUUCAGCUAAGCUUAUUUCUAAAUGAAAUAAACGAAACGGAUAACAUGUUAACUAUCCGUUAAACUAGUAAUAAAGUUAAAAUUCGAAAAAUAAAACCACAGGAUAUUAAUUUGAUAUACUUUAAACCACAUGAUACUAAAAUGAGAAAGUGCGAAACCACAGGAGUUUACCCUAAAAAAAAAAAAAGACAAAAACAGUGCAGUUUCUGAACCUCCUCUUCUUUGUUUGUCCUUUGGAUUCCCAUGGAAAUUAUUGUCUACACCUUUUGUAUCUCACAAUAAAUAUUUUGAAAUUUAUAUUUUAAAUUGAAAUUAAAUUUAUUAUCUUNNNNNNNNNNNNNNNNNNNNNNNNNAAAUUGAAAGUGUGGGGUACCCAUCUCUUCCUUUGCUUGUCCUGUAAUGUGUGGCUCCUUGUUCUUCAAAUCUUCGCGUUUCACGCCACUUAUUGUUUUUUUCCUAAUGUCAAGUUGGACAAAGAAUUUGAUGUGUGAUAUUUUUGUUUUCCAAAUUUCGCGUUAUAAUAAUCGUUUUUAGUGUAAGUGAUAAAAAAUUUGAAUAAUUAAUACGUGAAUUUCACGUUCAACCUUAAUAUAUCAUAUUUAGCUGAAUUGUAUUUUUAAAAAUAAAAUAAAAAUUUGUGUUCAUCCUCUAUCUUAAUGUCCAUCUCCAUCAUCGAAUUAAAAUCGAACAUAAUCUUAAAACCAUAACAGAGCGGCAGACGGAAAAGCACCGGUCCCCAUCAUUAUUUUUUUUUUUUUUUAAAUAAGGUGGACCCUUAUAUUCGUCCUUUUUGAUUGAGACCUCUUAAUAUCUUCACCUCUUUUAUUGCGAUUAUUAUAUUUUCUAGUUAGAAAAUAAAAUUUUACUUAAGUCAUCUAAAGUCAGUUGCUGACCAAGAUGCGUGCCCUUAAAUAACCUACAAUUAUUUUAUUUUAAAAAAAUCAAAUUAGGAAAGUUUUUUUUUUUAAAGUUGAAAAGUUUGUUUCAAACCCUUGUGUAGAUUGUGCCCUUUUUUUUUUUUUUUUUUUUUUGGUCCCAAGCAAAUGAGUGAGGAACAGGCUAAAAUAGAAAUAUCUCCCCUUUUUUAACACUUGCAUGAUUAUUACGAAGGGCCUUUUGAAUAAACAACUUGUGGCAACUCAAUAAUUUUGACCUACGCAUAACAAUGAGAUAAAUUAUGAAAAAUAAUAAUAAAUGAUAAUUAAUAAAAAAACCUACAAACUUAGGUAAAUCCCAUAAUAGCUUUAUAUCCAAAAGGACUUUUUCUUGUACUUUCUUUUGUUUUUUUUUUGUUUUUUUUUUUGUUUUCUUUUAUCCCAAAUUGUCAUCAAAUUUUUUUUGCAUCCAAAAACGUGAUUUAGUGCUUUUCACUUAAGCAACACUCAACCCUUCAAUAUCACCGUUAAACUGACGCGAAUCUCCAGACGCAAGUGACAAACGCUUGGUGUUAGAUAUCCGAGGUCCGCAAGUUUGGAAUCCAUAGUUAAAAUCACAAUUUCAGCCUAAAAGCUUAUAUUUUAAAUGAAAUAAACGAAAGGAUAAACAUGUAUACUAUCCGUAAAACCUAGAAGAAAGUUAAAUUCCGAUAAAUAAAACCACCAAGGAUAUUAAGUUUGAUAUACUUUAAACCUACAUGAUAACUAAAAUAGAAGAAAGUGGCGAACACAGAGUUUACCACCUAUAAAAAAAGAAAAAAAGACCAAAAAAAAAAACAACGUGCAGUUUCUGAAGCCUCCUCUCUUAUGUUUGUCCUUUGGAUUCCCCGAUGGAAAUUAUUGUCUACACCUUUAUGCUAACUCACAGAAUAAAUAUUUUGAAAUUUAUAUUUAAAUUGAAAUUAAAUAUUAUACUUGCAUUAAACUAAUCUAACUUUCAAAGAAAAAAAAAAACCACAAAGGGGUGGAUUUCAACUAGUUUUUUUUUUUUUUUUUUUCGGUGGUUUACCCUAUUUUUCAAAUUUACUUUACAUUAUUGCUCUGCAGUUUUAUCUCUAUUUCACUAUAAAUAUUUAUUGAUAGCAUUUAAUAUAUUUUAAAAAUUAAAAGAUAAGUUAGUAGAUUACUAUAUUUUGCCACACCCUGUGAUUUAUUGAAUACGCUUUUUUACUAUCUUGUAAUUUAAAGAUUAAUUAUUUGACAAACUAACUUAAGACUAAACUGUUUAAAUUAGUAUAAAAUGAAAUUAUAAGUCGCAAAAACAAAAAAAACUUUUAAAUGAUAGGCCGAUGGUAAAAAUAAAAAUAUGCAAAAUUAUAAAGGGGCAAAUUCAGCCUUUGUUUGGCGUCGUUAUCAUAUUUUUUUUUUUUUUAAACUAAUUUAAUAUAAUUUGAUGAACUAGCAAAGAGAUUUUUCUGUUAUUGUUAUGACUGAUUAGUUUAAACCAAGUGAUAGAUGCCAAUAAUUUUUUAAAAAAAUUAGAAAGCGGAAAAAUAUUAUUUCUUAAUUAUUAUUUUUUGUUUUACAAAUCAAUAUCUUGAAUGAAAAAAUUAUAAACAAUUUACUGUCAACGAGCCGAACAUAAGUGAACUGGAGCCAGCUUCGUGUGCUCGGUCAUGUUCGUUCGUUAUUAAACGAGCCAAACGCAAGCUAGCUCGCGAAUUGCAAGUUAAUCGUCAGGGGUUGGAUGCAAAAUUGAAAGAAAAUUAAAAAAGUUAGAAUCUAGACCUAAUCAUUGAAAUUUACAAAAUAUAUAAAUCUCUUUGGUAGUGUUUGGUUCGGGAACAAGGGGGGGAAUAAGCCCUUGUUCCCCCCUUUGUUCCCAAACGCAACGUUUGGUUCCCGGGAACAGUAGUUCCCGGGAAUCUGGAACUAGCUGGUAUAAGGCUGGAACUGCUGUUCCACCCGUUUCCUGGAACAAGCUUGUUCCUGGAUGAGAACAAGAUUAAUUAAAAUCUAAAUUUAAUUUUAAUGGCAGUAAAUUAUUAAUUAAUCUAAUUAAUAUAUUUAAAUCAUUAUUUAUUACUUUAAUAAUUAAAUAAUUUAAAUAAUUUAUUAUUUAUAAUUAAAUAUUAAUAAUUAGAUAAUUAUUAUUAUUAAUUUAUUAUUUAUAAUUAAUUAUUUAAUAAUUAUUAUUAUUUAUAAUUAAUUAUUAAUAAUUAAUUUCUUAUUUAUUUUUAACUAAUAUUUUUAUUACUAUUAAUUACAUAAUAUAAUUUAAUUUCAAAUUAUAGCUCUUAUUCCUCUUGUUCCAAUCUAACCAUCCAAACACUAUUUGUCUUAUUCCUAGGAACAACCCAAUUUUCAUCCAAACGCAAAAUUGGUCUAGUUCCUGCUUAUACCUAAACUUGUACCUAUCCCUAGAACUAGCAGUUCUUACUUAUACCCGAACCAAACGCAGCCUUUAUAUUUAGAUUGGUAUAUUCAAGCUAUAUCAGCCGAACACGAGCGAUACUGUUAGCUCGUGCUCGACUCGCUAAGAUUUCGAGUUAAAAAAUUCAGUUUGUAUUCGACUCAUUUAUAAAACAAGCGAUCGAUCCCGCAUUUUGAACAUCUAGUUGGAUUGGGAGCCCUGUAUACCAAACAAGUACUUUAAAUUUUAAUUAAUUUUAAUUUUAAAGCUUUUACAAUAAAUUUUUUGUGAGUACGGUGUACGGUGGACCGGGUGCAGGCAAUAAAUGGCUGGUCCGGUUCUCAUGGCGAGUUACUGCAGGCAAUGUCCGUCGCAGACGUGGUGCGAUAUUUACUCUCCCACCUUCCCUCUCUUUUUCAUUUUUUUUUUUUAAAAGAAAAAAAAUAAAAACCAAAUGUAAUAUUAAAAAAAAUAGGAGGUGUAAAAUGAAAAAAAAACAAAAAAAAAAAACAAAAAGUGAAAGGAAAAGCCACCCAACCACUAACCAUUAAGCCCAGCACGCAUGCGCCCUCCACAAUCAAUACAAAGAUAAGGUAGAAAAUUUAUCAGUAGUCCCUGAUCUAUCCCAAUAUUGCAACUCGGUCCAUAUACUUUUUAUUUAAUAUUGGUAAGAACAUAGAGAUAUUAUUAUUACAUAAAUUAUGGAUCAUUUUGAAUCGAUUAGUCAAUUUUUUUAAAUUUUAAUUUUAACGAACUUUUUUGAAUCGACUAACCAACCUUUUUAAAUUUUAUUUUAAUUAAUUUAAUAAAUUUAUAAUUACGAAAAUUAUAUGACGUAAACACAUUCAAAUUUUAAAGUUCAUAGUUCAGAUACGUUCUUUAUGUUUUUACUUAAUAUAUAUAAUGACUUCUCCUUUUUAUUAUCUAUUUAAUCUCAAAUAUAAUAAUUGUAUAUUUAUUUUCUUUUAAUAAGCAGGAGCUACGGAUCUGUUUAAAUACUUCAAAAUUUUACCGUCAAGUAAUAAUUUAUUAUAAUAUAUGAUUAGCGAAUCUCAGUAUUAUAGUAGUGAAAAAUUAUAGAAAUUUAUAAAUUUGAAUUACGAAAUUUUAAGAUACACGAAUUGUACGCUGGUACUCUAAAAAGUCAUCUAAACAGUCCAAUAAUAUGAAUUUUUGGAAAACAAGAGUUAAAAGUAGAGACUAUAUAUACAAAUUUAAAAAUUAUAGGUUUAGUCUUAUAAAUAUAGUGACUAAAUUGCUAUAUUAAAAAACUAUAGGGACCAUUCGUGCAUUUUAACUCUUCUUUGCCUUUUGCUUGCUCACCACCGACCUUCCCCCUCUCUAUCUCCCUCACUACUUUUUAAAAUAUAAUAAUAAUAAUAAUUUUUUUCUCUUGCAAAAUAAAAUUAAAAUAAAAUAAAAUAAUUAUAAAUUAUAAAAUUAUAAAAAUAAAUAAUAUUCUCUCCUUUUUCCCAUUCCUUUUUUUCACCAUUCAUACUUAGGGGUGGAAACGAGCCGAGCUCGAGCGAGCUUAUGUCAACUCAAAUUCGGCNCUCUCUCCAUUUAUCACUUUUUCUUAAAUAAAUAAAUAAAUAAAUAAAUCCAAAUUAGGAGUAAUAAUAAUCACAUAAACUAAGAUUUAAACUAAAUAAAAUUUGAUUUAUUUUACUCCUCUCUUUUUUCUUUUUUUCUUUUUUUCUUUUCUUUUUUUUUGCUGUGUAAAUAUAAAUAGUGUACCCAUUUUUCUCCAACAUAGUAGCAGUGUUAGUGGUAGUAAUUGUACGAGGAAGAGGAAGAGGAAGAGGGGGAGCUCGUCGUCGGGGAGGAACCCGGCGAGGCGCGGCGGAGGGGCGGAGGAGGAGGCAGCGGCGGCGGCUGCGGCGGCGCUCCGGCGACAGGGGCGGCGGAUGAAGCCGUUCGAGCACGUCGGGAUGAUGUGGUUAUCCGCCCUCACCGCCGCCGCGUUCGCGCUCCUCCUUUGCCUCGUGUACUUGAGCUACGGGGGCGGAGGAGGAGGAGGUGGGGGGAGGGGGAGGUUGGGGAUCGAGUCGGAGGAGAAGGGGACGAGGAGCGGCGGAGGAGGCGAUGGUGGUGGAGGAGGAGGAGGAGGAGGAGGAGCUAGGGUUUGCGAUGUGUUCGAUGGGAGGUGGGAGUUGGACGAGGAGAGUUAUCCGCUGUACGAGUCCAAGGAUUGCCCCUUCUUGGACGAGGGUUUCCGAUGCUCCGAGAACGGGAGACCCGAUCGCUUCUACACCAAGUGGGGGUGGCGCCCCUCCCACUGCGACCUCCCCAGGUUCCUCUCCCCCAUACUUUAGAGCUCAUCUUCGUAUUUUGAUUAAUGGUUGGUUUAGAUAAUGGAGUUGUUGUUGCUGUUGCUGUUGUUUAAUCCUUUGAUGAUGAAUGGGCUCUCAAAUUCCGGUUCAAACAUAUAAUUUAAGGCUCAAUUGUUUAGUGAUUUGUUAUGGGGAACUCAGAUUAGGUUUUUGUGGGAAUUGGGAAUUAUGAUUUGAUUUUGCGUUUGUUGGCACAUAAAAAUUGAAUUUAUAUAUAUAUAUAUAUAUAUAUAUAUAUAUAUAUAUAUAUUCCGAAAUUUGAGGCCUAGAAGUAAUGUUCUUUGAUGGUUUAGGGACAAAUCUUUUGGGUGGGUAAAAAGUAUAUUAGAUUAUAUGAACAUAUUCUGUGUUUCCUCAAUUGAUUCGUUUGCUUGGUCAUAUUAGUAAAAUUAAGUAUUUUGUAGGUUGAAUUCGUUAUUUCUCUUUCGUUGUUAAAAUAUUCUCAAAUGACCCAUUAUUAAAAGAGGUGUUCUUAGGCCACUACUUGGAAACUUCACCCAUGUGUAUUCAAAUGCUUCAUCUUUCUUGGAACAUUUAUUAACGUUUGUUUAGUUAGAUAAUUAGAUUGAUGAGAUCGAGGGGGGACAUAUUAAACCUAUCCCUUCUAUCAGGUUCUUCUUGUCCCUUUUACGGAAUCUUGAGCUUCGGAUAUUUUUAAUAUGUAAUGUGAAUUAAAAUUUGUUGGUUGGUCCAAGCACAUUCAGCUCAUUUUGACUAACCUUGUGGUUAGUCUUAGAAGUUUUGGGCUUAUUCCUAAACGGCCGUUUUAAUUUAUCUUUUAUCAUUUUGGCCCACAUUUUUGCUCAGUUCUAUGGACUUUCUCUUUCAAUGAAGGUUUCACUAUCUUAUAAUGGCUUCUAAUUUCUUAAAAACAAAAAAAAAUUAUUUUUGAUUUUUAAUUUAUUAUGUUAUAUGAGUUUUUAGUUUUUGUAGUUUCCGGAUGCCUGCAUCUCCUUGUGAAUUUUUGGUAGUUUCAAGUAUCUCUUCUUUUAAAUCAAAGUUGACUAUUUCUUUUUAUUUUGUCGGAGAAAUUUUUCUUCGAUGAAAUUGAACGGUAAUUCUGGUUUUCUUAGUUAGUUUUCCUAUUAAGUUAAAUAGUGGUAAGAAAUAUUUGUUUCUUCCAAAAAACAAUGGAGUUACAGAGGGGAUUAUUGCAAUUACAUUGUUUCAUUUUCCACAGUUAACUGCAUAUUUUCGUCUAGGAAAACUGCUUAUUCUGUUCGGCAGCUUGCAUUUUUCUUUUUUCUAUUAUAAAUUUUUUUCUGGCUUGUUGUAAACAACAUUAAAACACUUGUAAGCCUUACUAGAAUGUAUUUGAUGCUACUGUGCUAUUAAUUUGAAACCGGUUAUUAGGCAAGUACUUUGUCAAUUAGUGAAAAAUCCGUGCCUGUUAAGUGUUUAUUGCAUUGGUUUUACGAUCGCAUACUGGUUUCAUAUUUCAAUGGGAGUUAAGAGGAUAUUCCCUCUAAAAUCUUCCUUUUUCCCUUUGUUUCCGUUGGCUAAGAUUUAAUGCAACGAAGAUGCUGGAGUUGCUGCGAAACAAAAGACUGGUAUUUGUAGGUGACUCUAUCGGGAGAAACCAAUGGGAGUCCCUCCUUUGCAUGCUUUCGACUGCUGUUCCAGACAAGAAUUCAUCAAUCUAUGAAGUCAACGGCAAUCCAAUUACGAAGCAUAUGGGGUUCUUGGUGUUCAAGUUCAGGGAUUACAACUGUACUGUGGAGUACUACAGAGCCCCUUUUAUUGUGGUGCAGAGUCGAGCCCCAGCUGGGGUGCCCGAGAAGGUUAAGACCACACUUAAGUUGGAUGUCCUGGAUUGGUCGUCUCCCCACUGGAAGGAUGCCGAUGUGCUCAUCUUUAAUACUGGACACUGGUGGAACUAUGAGAAGACUAUACGAGGGUAAUCAUAUAUUUUUUUGCUUCUUCAGAUUAUUUAAAUCUUUCUCUGUUAAAGAGUUUUAAGUACCUACGCAUAGUUAACUUCAUUAUGGUUUAUGGCAUUUGCAUGCUAUGUCAUUUGAGCUGCCUAAUUUAUCAUCAAUUGUUUCAGUUUCAUACAGAGUCUGGACAUAGUGUACUUUGUCUUAGAAAUGCUAUGAUAUAUUUUCUUCGAAGGAUUUUAUACAAAGAAAGGUUACUGGGAAGAGGGACUACAUUGCACUUACUUUGUUGAAUAGCUCCAUUUUCAUUUUUGUUCCUAUUUAUCUUUUCCUUAUAAUUCACCAAUGACAUUACAUAAACCAUGACUUAUUGGUUGGAACCGUCAUUGAAGGAGCACUACAUGUGGGCUUUGGCUGCCGUAUUAACUUUUGACUUAUUGAACUCAAUCUUUUUGCAACCAGGGGUUGUUUCUUUCAAGAAGGAAAUGAGGUUAAGAUGAGAAUGAGCGUGGAUGCUGCUUAUGAGAGAGCAAUAGAGACGGUUUUUAAUUGGAUUCAGAGAGAGGUUAAUAGAAGUAAGACUCAAGUCAUCUUCCGCACAUAUGCUCCUGUACAUUUCAGGUUUGUACCAAUGAUUAGUUAAUUGCUCUUUCCUCUUUCAUUUCUCGCUGUGUUACUCUCGACUUAGGCUUAGAAUUGUGUUGUCAAAUAAUGCGCCGUGCGAUUUAGUUGUUCUUUUUCUUCUCUUUAGCUUAUUACUAAAGUACUUGUCUUGGAGGAGGCUUAUCAUAUAAUUAUAUCGGCAUAAUGUGCAGUAUAUAGGCUUAGCUCUUAUUUAACCGUUUUGAUUGAUGUCGCAAUAGAUUUAUACCAUUUAAAGUAAUACAAGUGAACAUAAAAAUUUAAAUUCUUUGCCGAAGUGUCUUUUUAACCUCAUAAAAUGAUUUCAUGUCAAAAUCUUUGCCUCCUUAGGACCUUUCAUAAUUUUACGGUCUGAUCAAACUAUUUUUAUAGUAAUUUGUGAAUCGAUAAUUCCCAUUGAUGAAAAGGAGGAAAUAAAGGUGCCUCAUUGUUAGAUGCGACGAAAGUUUUGAGAAAUACUUAUAAGCUUCAAGCGUCGCCCAAAUGGUUGAUUAAUGUUGGUUAUCGGCAGCAUCUCUAGUUCUCUUUAGUUGCCCUCAAGUGCUCCAUCCACUAAUGUUGUCCUAUCAAUGAGACCAAUGGGUGGACCGCGAAAACUCUUUUGCCAUAAUAUAUCUGGGCUCUGAUUGUCAGUUUAUUCCGUGAUGUUUGAGUUCAAUUUCAUAUAUGUCCUCAAAACUUUAACUUCGAAAUCCAGAUUCUAGUCAUAUGCAACUUCCUAGGGGCGUUAUCCGCACCGAAAAUAACAUAUCCAACAUAAAGUUGCACAAUAAUACUCAUCUGUUAUGCUUGGUGAACAAGGUGACCUAUAAUUGAUUCUCUAGGUAAUUAUUCCAGAUGACAGGAACUCGAUUUGUUCUUUCGUUGGUUCAUUCUCCAUAUCUGUCGCAAAUUGGAUUUGAUCGGUGAUGACGAUAACCUCGGUGGCCAAAUGUGCGAAAAAAAACUACAUUUCACUUGUGCUCAGCGAUUUUCAUUUACUGUUUAGUGUCUGACACAAGUUCCUCACUUGCAGAGGUGGCGACUGGAAAAUGGGAGGUAGCUGUCACAUGGAAACGUUUCCAGAGCUCCUUACUAAGCCGUCGACGAAGCCGUGGGCUCGCCUGCUGAAACCGUUCACGAACUCUACUAAGUCCGGCGGUGGUACCACCGUGCCGCUCGAGCUCGUGGAUGUGCUCAACGUGACCGAAAUGACGGCUCAGCGGAAAGACGGCCAUCUAUCCGUAUUUUACCUCGGCGCGUCUUCGGGCCCGGCCCCCCUCCACAGACAGGACUGCAGCCACUGGUGCUUGCCGGGCGUGCCCGACGCGUGGAACGAGCUACUCUACUACCUUAUCCUCAAAAGGGCGGAUCGAUCUGUAAUCACCUGGCGAACUUCUUAGAUGCAAUAAUAAAUUCGCCAUUGAUUCAAGUUUAGUGAGAGUAGAAGCUACGUUCGCCGUCGAGAUACCCCUCCUGGCUCAAUUCCCGGAGAACAGCUUCUCUUUGGGCGGGAACAUCCGAAAUGUAGACCACGGCCGAGCGGUUCUUCGCGGUCGAUGACGGAAACGAGAACAGUUCUACCCUUGCUGAAACUGAAUCGCAGCUGAAUCACAAUUUCGUUGAUCUGAACACCACCGCCGCUGCUGUGUCUCCGUACAGAAUUACCAGUACAGUUAAUCUUGUCUGAGCAUGCUUCGAGUCGUCAAUCAGUGAUUGCAAAAUUUCUUCUUCAUUUUUUUUUUUUUUUAAUUCUUAUAGUUUUGUUUCUGCUGCAGGGCUUGUUAGUAGCAAGCUACAAAAUGGUAGCCGUGUAUAGAGAAAGCAAUAGCGUGAUACAUCAGAAUUUUAAUUAUAGAUUCACCUUUGUAAAUGGAUUCAAGUUCACAUGUUUUUAGAAGGUGUUUGGUUUUUCGUAUAUAUAUUUUUUAAAAAAAGUGUAGUGACUUAAUAAUACGUACAAUUUGAAACAAGUGGAGGGACAAAUUGACCUAACUAUAUUUAUUUAUUAUAUAAAAUUAAAAGUUAAUUUAAAAUGUUAGCGCUCGUCAAUCUAAGCUUGACCCGUUACGACCCCUCCCCACCCUUCCGCGCCGUGCGCGACGCGUGCGAAGGUCCCGCCACGUGUGUCACACAUUCGCGCCACGCGUCCCCACACGCACCGCCCCUACAAUCUUCGCACCUCGUUAUAAAAUCCUUCCCUCUCUACGCUCUUCGCACUCACAACCCUUUCAAUUUUGAUGCUCUCAUCAUCUCUCGCAGUUCACAAGAGAACUCCACUAAUACUCGCCGCCGCCGCUGCUUCUGCUGCUUCUGCUUUUCAUCUUUCAUCUUCCCAUCUCUACACAAACAGCAUUGCUGCUGCUGCUGCUGCUCGAAGCUGCCAUUUUCGUGCGGCGAAGAAAAGUAGUGGUAGAGAGAUUUAUCGCGAGAAUUCCGCGGGUGCGCCGCGGCGACGGCCUUCUUGUUCUCCAAGAGGAGAGGCUUUUGCGGUCGCGAGAAGCUGCAGCAUGGCUUCGGGGGGCGCCGCAGGCAGCCAGAAGUUCCCGCCGCAGAUGCAGGAGCGGCAGCCGGGCAAGGAGCACGCCAUGGAGCCGACGCCGCAGUACACUUCCCCUGACUACAAGCCCGCCAACAAGCUCCAGGCCUGUUCCUACAUCUCUCUCUCUCUCUCUAUUAUACGAAACUUAUCUGAAUUAUUGACUAUUUUGAAUCGCCGGCUAUUCAGAUUCUCUAAUUUGUUUGAUUUGAAACCGUCAAUAAUUUUUUAAUUUUAAAAUUAAAAAUUUAAAUCAAAUAAGAUUGAGAAAAUUAAAAUUUGAAAGAUCUGAAUAGUUCUGUUCUAUACGGUGGUGCAAUUGGCAGGGGAAGGUGGCGGUGGUGACGGGGGGCGACUCCGGCAUCGGCCGCGCCGUCUGCUACUGCUUCGCGCAGGAGGGCGCGACGGUGGCCUUCACCUACGUCGAGUCGCACGAGGACAAGGACGCCAAGGACACGCUGCAGAUGCUCCGGGACAUAACGAAGAAGCACGGGACGACCGCCCACGCGAAGGAGCCGAUGGCGAUCCCCGCCGACCUCGGCUGCGAGGAGAACUGCAAGAGGGCGGUCGACGAAGUCGUCGGCGCCUACGGCCGCGUCGACGUCCUCGUCAACAACGCCGGCGAGCAGCACGUGAAGGAAUGCAUCACCGAGAUCACCGCCGAGCAGCUCGACCGCGUCUUCAAGACGAACAUCUACUCCUACUUCUUCAUGGCCAAGUACGUAGUUCAAUGCAACCGAGCUGAACUGUUGAAUAUAAAUAUUAAAAAUACCGUUCUCUGACAGCUUAAACAUGAUAUCUGUUUGUUUGUUUGUGUGUACGAAGGCAUGCGGUGAAGCACAUGACGGAGGGGGGGAGCAUCAUCAACACGACGUCGGUGAACGCGUACAAGGGGAACGCGAAGCUCCUCGACUACACGGCGACGAAGGGGGCGAUCGUGGGGUUCACGCGCGGCCUGGCGCUGCAGCUGGCGGAGCGGGGGAUCCGCGUGAACGGCGUCGCCCCGGGGCCGGUGUGGACGCCGCUGAUAACGUCUUCCUCGCCUCCUUCGCCGACUCCUCCUACAUCUCCGGCCAAGUCCUCCACCCCAACGGUAUGUUUAUGUUUAUGUUUAUGUUAUGUUGCCAUUGUGUAUGUAUUUCUCAUAUAUACAAAUUAACAUUCAUUCCGGUUACGUGCAAUGCCGAUUUCAUAUUAGGGUUAAUUGCGAAUAUGUCCUUACAAAUAUAAUAAAUUAUAAUUAUUUCUCUUUAAAGUUUGACGUUUAGCAUUUAUAUAUAUUUUGUUUCUGUAAAGGCCCUAAUAUUUUUAAAUAUGUUUGGCCGUUACAAUUCGUUAGAAAAAAUUUGUUAAGCAUAGAAUAAAUACUCAACCAUGGUUAGUUUACGAGAUAAUUUGAUAUUUUUUACUACUGGUAUAUUAUACUAUUGUGGUUUUUUAAAAGACAUAUUUGUGAUAAUAAAAUUAAAAAUAUAAAUAUUUGUUUAAUCUUUUUUAAUGGUAACAAAUCAAAAGGAACAUGUUUAAAAGUAUGAGAACUUUUAUAAGAACAACAUAUAAAAAUUGAAUUUUAUUAAAAUAUAUUUGUAAUGUACUGUGCUUGUAGGGAUUAAAGGACUUACAUGCAUUUAAUCCUUCGUCUUAUAUACGUUGAACUUGUACAAGUUGGAUGAUAUUAAAUAAAAAGAAUAUAAAGCAAAGAUGUAUACAUUUGCAAUAAUAUAUAUAUAUAUAUAUACACACACACACGUAUGUAUGUAUGUUGUUGUUGUUGUGUACAAUAUUUUGGGUUCAUUUUCUUAUGUGGAUUCUCUGCUGCUGCUUGUUGCAGGUGGUGUGAUUGUGAAUGGCUAGAGAACAAAGUGUUCAGCAACACCUGUAAAGGUUUAAAGUUCGAGAGAGGGAGUUUUUGGUUUUAAUAAUAUGUAUGAUAUGGAAUAAUAAUAAUUAUUAUUAUAAUAAUAUUAUUAUAAAUCUAGUGACAUGUGGACUAAAAUAUAAUGUUUCAGCUAUGUUGGUUUGUUGUUGUAGUUCUCAAAUUGUGUGUCAAUUAAAUAUGGUGUAUGGGCAUAAUAAGUAAAGUUGUUAUCAAGAAUCUCUUUUCCUUUUUUUUUCUCCCUAGAUUGUAUGUGAAUUGGUACUAAAUUUAAAAUUUCGUUGUCAUUCAUUUGUUUUCAGUCAUGAAUUUUUCAAAUCGAUGAUCGACAUUAUUGAAUAUGAUCUAUAUUACUUGAAAUAUUUAAAAAUUAAAUUUUAUAUAUUUUUUUUAAUAUUUGUUUUUUUUGUCCAUCAAGUGGAUAAAAAUAAACGGCUGAAAAUGAUAUCUUUUAAUCUAUAAAGAACUGAAUGUCAGUCAUGAGCAGCACUACAUCUGAAUAAUUCAUCUUAAAUCCUCUCAACAAUUAUAUUCAGUAAACCUGAAGAUCCCCUAUACUUGUACUGUAAUAAUACAGUUUCCUUGAGCCAUUAAAGAGAAUGAAAGAAACAUGAAUUCUCUGACAUAGAAAGGAUAUGAAUAACCUCUCUCUCUAUCUCCACAAUCUAGUGGAAGAUGGAGGCAACAAAACCGAAGAUCUAAGAGCUGCUAUUCUAAGCAGCACUUUCCGGCUGCCGCGUUCUCUCUUCUCGUAUACCACUUCUUACUUUCUGCAGUCGCUUCGACAGACGCCUUUCACUAUCGAAACUAGGCGGCGGGAGAGUGCACGGGUAAGUAGGAGACGGAGAAGCGGCCGACCGUUCCAGGAACUGCCUCUGCUGCUCGUCUGCGACGCAGAGAAGGGAGUCGACGCAAACUUCUUGCGCUGACGGAGGCGGGGUCGGCUUGAAGUCCAGCAGUUUCGAGUACUCCACUAUGAGGUGGUACAUGUAGUCGUACACGCGAUCCAUGUCCAAGUCCUGCAUCAGUUUCUGUCCCCGUUUUCCGAUAGCUUCCGCCUGUUUGUUUCAUUAUCAUCCGAGAAUCUCACAACAAAUGCAGUAGUAUUGACUCGCAAAAUAGAGAUCAUAUUUCAUAUCUGAUGUUAGCAUCUGAAAAAUGAUGUUCGUUUGUGUGGCACUUUUCCGUAAAGCAGGUAAACUAACAGAAUAAUUUCGUCGUCAGAAGCUGUAAACUUAACUUCGAGGACGCAAUUGAGACGGCCGUCGCAAAGUUUUUCAAGAACUAAACUUGCAGUUAACCACUGACACAAGCAUCAGAAAUUGCAGUUUGCUAUAGAAGCUGCUUAGCAAGAUUAUCAGGUUGAGCAGAUACAAACAAUAAGCACACUGCUCGACUUCGAGAACAGAUGAAACUGACCAAAAAUUGUAAGUACCUGGGACGGGUGCGCGUUUCCCCAGUCGACCGCGGACUUUAUGGAUCGACACAAGUCGGCGGAGCUGACGGGCCAAUAGUUCUCCUUCGGAACCAGGCCACGGCUGAAGAAAUCUUCGUACUGGGGAUCGACGACGAAGGCUAGAGAUCCACAAGAGAGAAUGUAUUUCAAGCUAACCGACCACGCGUAACCCUCGGCGUAAAUCUUAUAGCUGCGAAAGGAUCAUUAGAAAUAAGAUGGGCUGCGCAAACGAAAAGAAGUUGAAUAGUUUCAUUCGCUAGUAGCUAAGACCGACCGGUGGUUGCAUUGGCUCGAAAGCUUAGAUUUCUGAAAACCGGAGCUCGAUUCUUCGCCCCAAUCCUGCGAAGGGAUAAGAAGACGCAUUUAGCCACAUCAAAUGGCCAAAUUGGCGAGAGAAAUUGCAGUGAUCAGCACAAAUUAAGAUCCAAUAUCGAUACUUGACGCAUAAUUCGGGCUCCCCAUGUCUUAGAGUCAUUACAGCUUAGCAGCGCCGUCCUUACGGGGGAUUCGACAUUUGGGUUUCCCUUCCAAUAUGCGGUUUUCGCCCUCUUCUUCCAUUUCACGGCUUGAGCACCGAGCUUUAUGCUUCUGAACUCUUCGUUCCACGGUUUUAUGUUUAUCUCCGGCCUGCACAACCGUUUGCGUACGAAAAGUGAGAUUUGCAGGGUAGUUUCUUACUUACUGCGAAGAGCUGACGAAAACGCAUCAGGCGACGAUCGUUUUAGAAUUACAACCAUUCCUUUUACGAAGUUUUCGAAUUACCGACGAAUGCGAAUCGGAAUGAAUUUCAGUAAAGCAGGCAACAAAGCAGUAUAUCAUAUAUGCAUUAUUGAAAGAUUCAUACAAAAAUUGCAUCUUUGUGUAGAAUAAUAAUUCGAGAAUUCGCAAUGCUUACCAACCCCAAAAGGACCAAUCCGGAAAGGGAAUGUCGAAAUGGUCCUUAGUGGUGCAGUAUCGGAACAGCGGCGGGGGGAUCGGGGCGUCGGGAUCGUUGCUGCGGUAGUCGGAUCGGUUGAUCGCGGGGCGAUCCAUGCAGUCGAACAUGAGAUCGGCGUCGGGGAGGAUGCCGGGGUAGCGGCGCAUCAGCUGCAGGAUCCCCCACACGGUGAAGAGGGCGCGGCUCUGGACGCAGGNAUAAGAAGACGCAUUUAGCCACAUCAAAUGGCCAAAUUGGCGAGAGAAAUUGCAGUGAUCAGCACAAAUUAAGAUCCAAUAUCGAUACUUGACGCAUAAUUCGGGCUCCCCAUGUCUUAGAGUCAUUACAGCUUAGCAGCGCCGUCCUUACGGGGGAUUCGACAUUUGGGUUUCCCUUCCAAUAUGAGGUUUUCGCCCUCUUCUUCCAUUUCACGGCUUGAGCACCGAGCUUUAUGCUUCUGAACUCUUCGUUCCACGGUUUUAUGUUUAUCUCCGGCCUGCGCAACCAUUUGCGUACGAAAAGUGAGGUUUGCAGGGUAGUUUCUUACUUACUGCGAAGAGCUGACGAAAACGCAUCAGGCGACAAUCAAUCGUCUUAGAAUUACAACCAUUCCUUCUACAAAGUUUUCGAAUUACCGACGAAUGCGAAUCGGAAUGAAUUUCAGUAACAUUAUUGAAAGUCAUAUAUGCAGGGCAACAUUAUUGAAAGAUUCAUACAAAAAUUGCAUCUUUGUGUAGAAUAAUUCGAGAAUUCGCAAUGCUUACCAACCCCAGAAGGACCAAUCCGGAAAGGGAAUGUCGAAAUGGUCCUUAGUGGUGCAGUAUCGGAACAGCGGCGGGGGGAUCGGGGCGUUGGGAUCAUCGAUGCCGCCGCCGACGUCGCUGCGGUAGUCGGAUCGGUUGAUGGCGGGGCGAUCCAUGCAGUCGAACAUGAGAUCGGCGUCGGGGAGGAUGCCGGGGUAGCGGCGCAUCAGCUGCAGGAUCCCCCACACGGUGAAGAGGGCGCGGCUCUGGACGCAGGCGUAGUAGAGGUCGACGAAGAGGCGGCGGCCGCCGCCGGCGACGACGACGCGCAUCGCGGCGCGCCGCCGCGCGUCCUCGAGGAGCGCGGCGGAGAUCCGCGCUCGCCGCCACGGGGCGAGGUCGCGCCGGAUCGCGCGGAAGAAGCCCGGGCACGCGGGGCGCGGGCGCGCGGGGUCGGGGGCCGAGGAGGAGGGGAUUUUCCGGCGAGCGACGGCGGAGGAGAGGGGGCAGGAGAGGUAGGCGCAGCGGAGGAGGGAGAGGUUGGGGUUGGGGUUGGGGUUGGGGUUGGGGCGGGGGAAGGGGUGCCAUGGGGUGGGGGCGAGGUUGUGGCCGGUUAGGGUUGGGGUGCGGGAGGAGAGGGAGGAGAGGGAGGAGGUUAGGGUUUGGAGGGAGAGGAGGAGGAGGGCGGCGGCGGCGAGGAGGAGGGGGAGGAUGAGGCGGCGCUCCACGCCGCCGCCGGCGGCGGCGGCGGAGCUUCUCGUCGGCGACGGAGAAGACGACGCCAUUGACGAGCUUGAGUCGACCGUUGGAAGCUAAAAGCUUCGUAAUAUUUGGAACAGGACUACACGAGAGAGGGAGAAGGCGCUUUAGCUCACAAGCCCCUCUUAGUUUACAUAUUUACAGUUUCACUCCAUCCUUUUGGUUUCCAAAGUACACGUAAAAUUGCGUAGGAGGCCUCUAAUAUUCUAAUUAUUGUAAUUAGGGUCUUUGCCGCUUAACCAAAUUUUAACUAAGUUUCUAGUCCCUCUAAAUAAGACGUGUAUACUAAUAUUUAUUUUUAGUAUAGAGAAUCAUAAUUCAUUAAGACAUUUUAUUUAUUGAAGAAGUGUCACAUAAAUUUAUUAACAUAAUAAUUAAAUCGAAUAGUUUAAAGAGUCAAAAUAUUUUUUAAAUGUACCACAUAUGGAAGGAACAUUCAUCAAAAAUUUCAAAUUAAACUAAAAAUAUAAAAUUAUACGAAUAUAAAAAUAUCUAUAAAAGAAUAUUAAAAGACGAAAGUAUUAGAAUAAAAGAUAAAAAGUGGUUGCAUAAAAUUGAGUACAAACUUAGCCUCAAAGAAAAUUAAAAUAUGAAAAUUAAAAAUAUCUAUAUCUUGAACCCUCUUGCAUACUGUAUUUUUUUACACAAAAUGAUUUUACCAUUCAUUAGUAGAAGAAUAAAAUUAGAAAUUUUCAAUAUGAACAAUUUAGAUGUAUCAAUAAUAAAAUAAUUUUGCGUAUAAAAAAAUUAUAUGUAUAGAACUGUACAAAAACUGCGCCUCUCUUUUUUAACCUAAAAACUAAAUAUAUAUAUUUCUAUGCGAUUGAUAAAAACCUCUAACCUUUUAAGAUGACACACAAAUAACAACAACUGGGAUAAAGUAACUUGUGCUCCUUAAUUAAGUGAGGAUGCAANCGGCGGCGGAGCUUCUCGUCGGCGACGGAGAAGACGACGCCAUUGACGAGCUUGAGUCGACCGUUGGAAGCUAAAAGCUUCGUAAUAUUUGGAACAGGACUACACGAGAGAGGGAGAAGGCGUUUUAGCUCACAAGCCCCUCUUAGUUUACAUAUUUACAGCUGCAAUCCAUACUUUUGGUUUCCAAAGUACACGUAAAAUUGCCUAGGAGGCCCCUAAUAUUCUAAUUAUUGUAAUUACGCUCUUUGCCGCUUAACCAAAUUUUAACCCAGUUUCUAGCCCCUCUAAAUAAGACGUGUAUACUAAUAUUUAUUUUUAGUAUAGAGAAUCAUAAUUCAUUAAGACAUUUUAUUUAUUGAAGAAGUGUCACAUAAAUUUAUUAACAUAAUAAUUAAAUCGAAUAGUUUAAAGAGUCAAAAUAUUUUUUAAAUGUACCACAUAUGGAAGGAACAUUCAUCAAAAAUUUCAAAUUAAACUAAAAAUAUAAAAUUAUACGAAUGUAAAAAUAUCUAUAAAAGAAUAUUAAAAGACGAAAGUAUUAGAAUAAAAGAUAAAAAGUGGUUGCAUAAAAUUGAGUACAAACUUAGCCUCAAAGAAAAUUAAAAUAUGAAAAUUAAAAUAUCUAUAUCUUGUACCCUCUUGCAUACUGUAUUUUUUUACACAAAAUGAUCUUACCAUUUAUUAGUAGAGGAAUAAAAUUAGAAAUUUUCAAUAUGAACAAUUUAGACGUAUAAAUAAUAAAAUAAUUUUGCGUAUAAAAAAAUUAUAUGUAUAGAACUGUACAAAAACUGCGCCUCUCUUUUUUAACCUAAAAACUAAAAAUGAAAAACUCAAACCUCAUAAUUUGAAUAUAUAUUUCUAUGCGAUUGAUAAAAACCUCUAACCAUUUAAGAUGACACACAAAUAACAACAACUGGGAUAAGUAACUUGUGCUCCUUAAUUAAGUGAGGAUGGAAAUGUAAGGUUUCGAGGGACGGAUGUAAAAAUUAAAAAUUUACAAGGACGUACCCGUAAUAUUCCCCGUUAUAAAAGGCGCCUCGACACCGGUUCCCGCGCCCCCACCUCGCGACUCGGCAAUUUUCGCGCCCUUUUCUCCCUCCUCGCUCCGACGUUUUGGCGCGAAAUCUCAUGCCUAGGGUUCGGAUCUCAAUCCCCAGCAAUGGAGACCCCUUUCGCUCGAUCCCUUCUCCGUCUCCGCCUCCGCCAUGGAUCGGGAGAGAGGCGACGCUCCUCCCUACGAAGGCGCGGUGCGUCCUCGAUUCUCCCUUUUUUCCCCGAUUUUUUACGAUUGUUUUGUGAUUUUUUUGUUGUGAGGUUGCUAAUUUUAGGGUGGAAAUCGAAAUUUUCGGCGUUUUGAUCUCAUUUACGAGUUGGUGGAUUGUAGGAAUAGAGUAAUUGGAUCGAAUAGAGGAGAAAACUUGUUGCCCUAGUUGUUAAAGAAUCUCGAUUCAUAUAUGCACGCAUUUGAACUGUUGUAUUCCACUCAUUCUUCAUUUAGAAUUGGUUCUUAUUCUCGUGAAUCGAUUGGAAAUUUAGCAUCUAUCUUUGGGUCAAUUCACGUUUUAACCGACCCUUUUGAUUCAAUAGCCCCAGUGCCCCUGCAGAGUGAUCAAAUUUUAGUUAAAAUCGAUUCGAAGUAGCAAUUGACCAAAACGUAGCAGAAAUUAUAGUUAAAGCUUUGUCCUUUUCGAUAGUUUGAAUCAUAUUAUUUUCAUAGUUAUAAUCAUUUUCCCAGGAAAUGGUAUCACAUUCUUUCAAAUUUUCUCUUUUUUUUUUUCUGAAAUCUACUUUUCCUUUCAAUAUCAUACUUCUAUCACAGUAACUUCUCUACCUCAACACCUGCUCCUUUUGUCGCAUCAGAGUUUCGGUGUAGUUUAUGGUGACCUGAGCAUUUCUCCUCUUUAUGUAUAUAAAAAAAAGAGCAUUUUCUAGGAGACUAAGCCAUCACCAUAAUGAGCAAACAAAAUUUGGUGUGUUUUCCUUGAUAUUUUGGACAUUCACUUUGCUUCCCUUGCUCAAGUACGUUAUCAUUGUAUCGAGCGCUGACGAUAACCUAGAAGGUGAGCAAGGAAAUGCAUUGCUAUUACUGUAUAAUACCUCAUUAUUUGUGGUGAUAUACAUAUUGUUUAUAGGGGGAAAUUUUGCUUUGUACUCUCUCCUCUGCAGGCAUGCCAGGUUCAGUUUACUUCCUAACCAGCAAGCAGCUGAUGAGGAACUUUCAUCGUAUUACAGACCGGGAUACACAAUUCGGAAUACUAUGUCCUCUGCAUUGAGACGGCUCUUUGAAAAGCAUAGGUAAGUCGAGAACUUGCUUAUGGUGUUCUUCGGAACUUCCAUGGUAUAUUGGUUAUGGUGUUAUCACAACGGUAAUAUUUUGUAGUACUACUGCAUAUGUUUGAUCUUCCCUCAAUCUCUUUGGAUCUUAAUUUGCUUUUGCUGCUAAAACCGGUUGCCAUUUUUUACAGUUCUAUCAUCUACUUCUGGUCCUCAAAUUCGGGCAAAUAGGAUUGACUAAUGGUUACUUUGUUCUAAUUUUAAAUUUAGUGCAGUGGAACCCUAAUAUAUGGAUACAGUUCAUAUUUUACUUGAUUUUGGGCAUAUUAUGCUGUUCUGGAUGAUGGAUCUGACGAAAGAUUCAUAGAGCCUCUUAGUUCUCUGUGAAUUGCUCAUAGUUAAAAAUUUAAUCUUAAUAUGCAAGCCUCCAAAAAUAACACAGCUGUUUAUCACCUCUCCAUCUGUCAUGGCUUGAAAAUCCUAUCAAAAUGACGAUUUGUUCCGAAAGGCCCAGCCCCUGCAUUUAGAAACUUAAGAAAAUCAAUGUCGCAAGGUAAGUUACUGUUAUACAGUAUUAUGUAUUUCUCAGAUAAUACAUUAUCUCGAAUUUUUUUCUCUAGAUCUCCUCUAUAUAAGAUGAUUAUGUGCUAUAGUUUGGAGAUUCAGUUUUUCGGAAAUUAAUACUUCCAAUGUUAUGUAGGUGCAUAUCAUCUUGAUUGUGUAUGUAUCUACCUAAGUUCUUUACUCUUAUCUAUUAAUGAUGUAUCCUUCUUCAAAUAGCUUUCUGUUUGGAACUUUAACAAGUAAACAUUUUCUUUUUUCGUUUCUUGCUAAAAGGCGAGGCUGCACUAGUUGUCUGCAUAGUGCUGCUUCGCCUCUUUGCUUCGCAGCACAGGGGCACUCAGAGAGUUGCCUUCCUGUUUCAACCUGUUGUUAUCAUUUGGCUCUUGCGUACCGGCGUAAUCAGCCUGUACAACAUCAUUUACUGGAACCCCGACACGUAUUUGUGCUCUCUCUCCAUAUUACAUGAUUAAAUUCUUUACAAGGACCGGGACAGACGGAUGGAUAUCUCUCGGCGGAGUACUUCUUUCUAUGACAGGUAUCUAAUUUGCUAUGUUAACAUUCAAGCAGAAUAUAGUGCUUCUUUUUCUUUUUCUUAUGUUAUGUGGCAUCUGCAGGUACAGAAGCUAUUUUCGCAGAUCUUGGCCUCUUCACUGUUGCAUCCAUCAGGGUAUGUUGCAUUAUGAUCACUUCUUAAAACAAAAUACUAUGAUUUCUUUAACAGCAGACUAUCUGCAAAAAGUUAUAGAAAAACCGAAUGAUUAGGCAAAUAUUGUUUUCUAAAAGAGAAAUGAUCUACAAAAUGUCACUCUGCUGAUCAGAGCAAUCACUGGUUCAAAGAUAACAUUCUCUCUUACUAAUUGACGCAUUAUACGUCUCAAGCAUGGGAGGUAUCCAAGCAUUGAAGAUAUUGAAGGCAAUAUACUAGAUUAAUUUACUAGAGUAGGGCUGCUGUAGUCUUAUGAGUAUAGUCCUUCGUACUCACAAGUCGUUUUCAAUGAUAAGGCUUCUGAAUCGACGAUUCACUUCGUUAAAUAUGAUCUAGAGUAUUUAAAACUUCUAGAAUAUAAAUUUCGUAAUUUUUUGAAAUCAUAAUAAAGCCUAUCAAGCGGGUAUUAAAUGAACAGUCAAAAUCGAACAACAUUCGAAAAAUGGAUGAUCGGAUUCUUCAAUUUAAGAUCAGAGUUAUUAAUCUUUACCUAGAUAGUGAAUAGAAUUUUUUAUGAAAAAUUCAACCUAGUUCAAUUCUUUUAUACCGUUAAACUAGUAAGUAUUUCAUAUCGGCCGUUAAAAAUUGUCAAUUUUGAAAUCUUUUGAUCGCAAGGUGAAUAAUGUCGAAAAAUUAUGAAAUUUGAUUUCUAGAAGUUUUAAAUAUUCUAGAUAAUGUUUAACUGUAUAAAUUGUCGAUUUAGAAGCUUUAUUAUAAAAAUUGACUUAUGAGUACGAAGGCGAUCGUACUCAUAAGAGUAUAAUAGCUAAACUCUAAUUUACUAUAGAUCCCUUUUUAUAAAAAAAAAAAAAAAAAAUUGUAAACUUCCAAAUAUUGCAUAAAAACCCUUGGUAACUUGUUAUUUUCAUGACGGCCCAUCUAUAAUCAUUCUCGGUUGUGCGUAAUAUCAUUCUCUCUCUAGUCGAAAAAGGAUGGCCCAGAUCUCUGUAUACCUGAAAUCAACAGGAUCCUCAUGCUUCUUUGCAUGGCAAGGCGAUUUCAGUUUGCUGUUUGUCUGCUGUCGAUUUCUUUACAUGCAGAAAGUUGUGUUAGUUCUUGUUUUUUUUUUUUUAAGUUCACCAGUCUUCCAAACUGCAAUUCUGGCCGAGUCGAAGAUUGUCAACACGGCAGCCGAGAAAGACAAUUUUAGAUUUUUAGAUUUUUUUUUUUUUUUAGGGUUUCCGGCCGCUUGUAAUCUGUAUUUUAAAUGUUUUAUUAUACUUUUCUCUCUCUUGCAAAUUAUUUUCCUUUCCUAAUUGUAUAUGAGGUAAAUUAUGUUAUUUAAGAUUUAGCAUUCUAUCAAUUUAAAAGUUUCCAGUGAUUAAAGGGCUUUCACAAAUCUAGUUCUUCCUAAUGUAUUUUCUAAUGAACUCCCUCAGUAAGCUGCUAUAUAAAUAAUAAGUAAAAAAAUAAAAAAGAAAAAGGGAAAAUAAUAUCAUACACCCUCCCCACCACACCACACCACACCACCCUUCAAAACAUGAUAUUUCAUAGAACCUACCCAUCGUGUACGAAAUCCAAAAUAAAAAAUAAGAAAGAAAAAAAGAAAAUUUGAGUAGGAUGAACAAAGAGAGUGCAUUUACAAUGAAUGCUCCAAUCUAACAUCCAUAGAGCAGCAAAAAUUGGACACACAACUUUCAACCAGAAGAAACAAAACAGUCCAAGAAAAUACCAACCGCCAUACCUACUUGACAAAAUCACAUCCGUCGAACCGUACAGUUCGCACAACAAAGCUGAUCACUGCACAUUUCUUCAACUAUACUAAACCAAUAUACGGACUAAAUAAAAGCUCAAGCAUUUGGAAACACCGACCAACUGAAACAUAACAGAAUGUAGAGCGAAGAACAUUAGCCUCCCUUCGAACCAGAGCAGUAAGGGAGAGUCCAUACAACAACCUUCGAUCCCCUUCCGCCUCUUCAAGUAAGUUAUUUUGUAGCAUCGAACGAACAAACUCCACCUUGGUCGCAAUAACAUAAAGAGACGUGCAAAGAGUGUUUAUUCGAAACUUCGUCUCACUGCACGAUUCGUCUCCCAUGGGACAUUCAUUUAAGUUAAGAUCAUAACAGAGAGGCAAAAGGAUGUUCAAAGUCAGGAAAGAAUAAUUUCUUUUUUUUACUUUUUUUUCUUUUAACUUCAUGUACUGCUUGCUGAAUUACAGUUUUCAUGGCCCCACCAGUGAUGGUUUUCCAUGGCAUUACAUGAAACAGCAGCUCCUUUUCGCUCCGUACUGCUUUCUGCUUUUAGACCAAUAGGAUGAAUAUAAAAGAUCAAGCCCCUUAGAUCAUUCAGCAGGAUGUUUCCGAUAAAACAGGAGUAAGGACUUGGAGACAUUAUCCGAGUAAUAGAACAUAAAAGAAAAAAAAAAAAAAUUGAAACCAGAAAAGAAUAAGAAAAUUUGAACAUUUACAGACCCCCUAGUGGCUGGCUGUAACACAUUAAAAAGACAAUGCACAAAUCCUUAUCCAUGCUCCAUCCAAUAAAGCGUCAAAUGCGAAAACCUCAGGCAAAGUAAUAAAGCUUGCAAAGUUUUCCUGUUCAUUUUUCACAAAAUUGGUAGGUUUAAAUAGCAGGUCGUUGUUUAGGCAAGCAAAAACCUGAAAACGUCGCUUAGUGAUAUUAUGCCCUCGACACGCUUGCUACCGGCCUCGACAAUAAUCACACGGCGAACACCUGAAAUAAGGGAAAACUGUACAGGUAAGAAAUGAAAACUCCAAUUGUUUUCUUCCGUUUGUUUUCUUUAUCUAUUGAACAUAACAGAAAACUCCGACUGUGAGAUUUGUAUUCGCAAGUGUGAAAUGUUACCGGGGCUUGCCAAUCGCUCCAUCACUUUAAGCAAUGUAUCAGAGCGGAGGCACAUUUGGCAUCUCUGUCCAUAGAAGAACCUGUGCGGCGAAUUCGCAUCUUGGGCAAGUUGCAGUGCCUGUGAAUUAUGGAGAAUGAAGCAAUUACAUUGCUCACUAAAUCUCCUUUUGUCUAAAGAAUGUAGCAAACUAAGGCCUCAUUCGGCAUCAUGUUUGUUUUUUGUUUUUUUUAAGCAAAAUUUUGUAUAUCAAAAGGUGUAGAAGUAGACAGUGAAUUGUUUGCAAUCUUUUCAUCCAAAGUGUUUACUUAGACACAAAAAAAAAAUAAAAAACUUGCAAACAACUUUUUUUACUUAAUUUUUUUUAACAAGUAAUCUACCACUUGACCGGAUGCCUUGUAAGCUAACCAACUAUAACAACAAGACAAGUCUUUCUUCCAACACAUCAAAUUAUAUAGAAUUAGUGUUUAAAAAAAUAAAAAUAUGACAACAAUAUCAAACGAGGCCUAAGUCAACAAUUUUUUAGACAAAUUAUGGAAAACUCUUUCUAAGUUGACAUAAAACAAAACAGGUUUUCGUAUUACCUGAUGGAUACUCAUCUCAUCAAGGUGAAUAUGGGUAUAAGCUCUGUCUUUAGCCAAUGAUGUGAUGUCACUGCGGAUGGAAGAGCAAGCACUAGUAAUUCCACAGAACUUGUUUUUUUUUAAAAAAAAAGACUCCAGAUAUCAAAAGGUUGCCAUCAGUUGUACCUUCUAGAAUAUGUAUCCAGCAACGAGUCAUUGUCAUCAACAAUAGGUAUUGAACUUACACGAGCUGUAGUCAAUAAACACAGAAACCUAGUGUAAGGUAACUACUAUGAAAUUGCAAGAGAAAAGUAGGAGCUAAUAAAGUCAGUGUUGCAGUCAGAGUACACUGAAAUCUGAAAUAUUCAAAGGCAUAAUUCCAAAGAAGAGUCUCUACUUACGAGCGCUUAAGGCACACUCAGUACACACAUCCAUGUAUACAUACAUAAAUCUUAGCAUAAGUAUAUAAAUACACAAAUCCUCCUCCCUUCCCCCUCCCUCAUGUGUCUCACAAACUUAUCUGACGAUAAUGGAAACCCACAAUACCAGAAAGUCCACAUCUAGCUGAUACAGGCACAAGAAGGUAAAUGAUCUCUAGAACUUACAAUCUCAGUUGAAAGAAAAGUCGAACAUGCCAAAACAAAAUUAAAGUAUAAUACUAGAUUUAUAUUUAACAGGAAAUUCACUAUCCGGCAUUGCUUGAGAAUCUGAAUAAAUUGACAAAUUGUGGUCUCGAAAAGUUUAGUUUCAACCUUGAACCAACAAAGAAAGAGCAGAGCUGAGUGACGCAUUUGGUCUCAACAUGGCCAGUGGACGCCCACUUGGAUCCCCAAUUUUAGGAACCCAUGUACCCAAAGGAAUUGUACACACUGGUUGCUGUAGAGCCGGCAAAGCACUAGAAGAGUGUUUAAAGUACCUGCAGAUACCUGAAAAUUAACAAACAAAAAGAAAAUCUAAGAAAAAAUAAGAUGGCAAAACCAGGAAUAUUGUAUGAGAUUAGUAAAAUAAUGUCAAAAAUAAUUGAUGAAAGUAAGCCCACGAAAGAACAACUCACAUUUCAAAAUUCCUGAAAGGGAUGCGAGAUGCAGCAACUGCGGAAAGGAUCCAUCUUCUGAUGUUGAAUGGAUGAUUGGAACAGUGGAAACAUCAUUUUGCAGAAUCAUUAAAGCUACAUCCCUCAAGGAAUCAUACGGGCUGGCCUAAACAACCCAUUGGCAAGACACAAUGAGUUUAUGGCAACAUCUCAAUUACAUUGUUACACACACACACAUAUGUAUAUAUAGUUCACCUGGAAUACUAUUGAUAGUAGAAGAAUAGCGUUUAUUAUCUACUUUUUAACCCUUAGAUUCCUAGGGUUUAGUGGUGGUAGUUGGAAUGGGCUAGAAAGCUGAUAGUAAACACUAUUUAUUUACUAUCGAUAGUAUUUCAAGGAUAUAUAUAUAUAUAUAUAUAUAUAUAUAUAUAUAGAGAGAGAGAGAGAGAGAGAGAGAGAGAGAGAGAGAGAGUAGAAUACUAUUAAUGGCACCAAGUCAUUGGUGCUAUUAGGUUUUUGGCCCUUGGAUUAAGGAAUGUGUAGUUGAAUGAUAGUGGUCCCCUAGAGUUGAGUGGGUGGUUGGUUGAAUAGUAUGAUCUAAGGGGUAGAAAUGGUCAAAGAGGUAGAUCUAACGGCGGAGAAAGUAAUGCAUGGUUACAAAAGGCAAUUAAGCGUUCAUAAUAGUCAGAGAAAAAAAAAGUCUUAACAAUCUUUUUAUGGCUUGUAAGAAAAUUCCUGGUAAGAAAUGUAAAAGUGAGCUAUCAGCCAACGGACCCCAUUGCAGAGUCUUUAGUGUAAUAGGUAACAAACUAGAGGAAAUCCAUAUGCCUAUGGUUGACAUUACCACCUAUACCACAAUAAACCAUCAGCCUUCAUACCUUCAAUACUAGUCCGCUUUUACUGAAGAAAAGGUUAAAAUACAAGAUUGGUCCCUAGAGUUUCACAUUCAAAUACGCUCACAGGUUUUAGUCCCUGAAGUUUUUUCCAAUAGCUAUUAAUUCUUGGUCCUUUUCAAAGUUUCAAUAGUGAAGGUUAUAUCUUCUAAAAAGAAAUUGUUCAAAAAGUCACUCUGAUGAGAAAAACAUUCUUUUACUGCAAAAAUGAUCAUAAUUACAGACCAACAAAGCCAACUCAUUGGAUAAGAAUCAAGUUCAGUUUCCAAAACAAAGGAAUAACCUGACUUAAUUUGUACUCCCCAUUAUAACCUAAAUUUACCAUGAAUUCAGUCCAGGCAUCUGUUUGAACUGUUUGUAAAUAUUCAGUACUUUAGUUAAAGGCAACUUCCAAGCUAAACAAUUGUAAUUGCAUUAAUAUCAGCCAUACAGGAACUUACAUGCAUUAGAUGCCUUUGAAAUGGUCGACCGUGCCCAUCCAUUUGCCGGUAAAGUUGCUGCUUUCCCCGUUUCCAAGCAGAUAUUGUGUGGGUCUCAAGCUCUUCCUCUGUUAGGUUUGAGCCAUGAUUUCCGAGCUGCAAUAAGCACAAGAUAAUCUUUUAACAACAGUACAGAAUCUACAGACGAGGAAAGAGUAAGGAAGUUGAAACAUAGCACUGAAGAAGUAAAUAUGGCUGACCCAGCAAAUUAAGCAUUUCAUAAGCCUAAUAAGAUAUACUCUAUUGCUUAUACGUAUUACAGAACUCAGAAAGGUUAUUCUGGUCAAAAUGACUUUGCAUUGGACUAGGAAUAAACCCAAAAAUGUAAUAUCUGAAAAUUGGUAUUAGUUAGGUAAGAUGUAGAAUGCAGUUUGACCACAUUCUACUAAUUAUAGAGCUAGUUCUGAUAAGAGAAAGUAAAGCUUAUAAUUAAAAUUAAAUAGCACAAGUAAAUUCAAUUAAGCAUAGAGAAAUGUAACACAUGAUAAGAUAGAGGUCCUUCUUUAAUAAAUACAUUGCGAGUAUAAUAAAGAAUGCAAACAUAUAUUGAAAAUAAAGAUGCCUUUUUGACAAUAAUCUCAGUGAACUCAGCUGCAUGGGACAUACCAAGCGAUGUUAAAUGCGCAAGAAGAAGAGACCAGGAAAAGGAGUAAAAGAUAUUGAAGUACUACCUCUCUCAAUAUUAAUAUGAAGUCCAAUGGGCUAAGUACUCCAACAAAUUGUCCUCUGUAGAAAUCCCACAGAGGAGCAACAGGAAUUCCCUGUAAACAUCAACAUAAGUUGAUUUAGCAUUAAGUGAACACAAAAAAAAGCUGCAAUGUAUGUAAUUUUCUUCUUCUGGACUUUCAUCUUCUGGACUUUCACUAACAAUACCACAAAACUUUAAAAGCUCAGUGUUAGCAUAUUCAUGUCCAAUACGAACUCAGGAAAUAUAAAAGGAUUAAGCACAAAAGGUUUUCGCUUCGAGAUGCAAGCAUGGAAAUCAGAAUGCUUUUGGACAGCCAUAUAUAGGAUGUAGAAACCUUUGGCAUUUAUAGUUGAUAAAGGUCUAUUUAUACACUUCAACUUAACGUAAUACCAGCUCAAGCAUAAUUCCGGGAUGUAUUAACAGGUAACUUCUUCUAAUUGUCCAAAACCCAGCAAAUUAAGAGGGGAGUAAUCUCCAAUGCAAAUCAAGAGGAGGGGAAAUGAACUUCUCAGUCUUCCAAGUGCUGAAUCAAAAUCUUGUAUGUUUGGAAAAAAGGAAAGAUGCACAUGUAACAAGGCAGCAAAGAUUAGGGUUUCAUAUAUGGCAUUACAAGGAGUAUGACAACUUAGAAUAGAAGUACCUGUUCAUAUAGAAUAUGAAAAGCCUGCUUCACGGGCAAAUUAACAUCAAAAGCAAUGACCUGAACGAAUGCUCAAAAAAGGCAAAGUUAUUUCCCUCAUGGCAAAGGCAAAGAUUCAGGAAAACAGAAAAAGGAGGAUCAUCUGUACCUUUCCGGAGUUAGGGAGUAAAUCAUAUGCAGUGUGUCGGGAUAGAAAGUCAGAAACAUGAUGCCUCGAUAUUUCAAUAUCAGUCUCUGAAAUUCUACGAGGGCUCACCUGCACAACACCAUCCAACAGAAUCACCUGCUCAGAAAAUAAAUAAUGGCGGUGCAACAUAGACUAACACUAGAUCCGAUAAUAUCUAGAAAAAAGCUCAUCUCGUCUUCUACAGGAAACAUGCAUACAUUAUUGCGAAUAAAAGAAGUCUGUUCACCACAGUCAUCUGUUCCAGUUACUCAAAUAUCCUAAUUCUAUUUUCUCCAAUCAACUAUGUGCACUACCACCGCAGGCAGCUAUUACAAUAUCCUUAGUUGUAUCUAUACAUAUAUCUAUUUAUUGGCUGCUAUAAAGCUAAAAGUCGUCAAUUGCAGCUUUACAAAGUAUGUGUUCGACAAAUGAGUUUUAUUUUUCUCUUGAGAUGUAUAUUUUAGGUUGCAGAAGUGUUAUUUAUGGCAAGAAAACCAAGUUACACGAGUAAACAAAUCAUUGCAUAGUGUUCUCAAGAUAUUACACUUCCUUGUUUCACCCCUCUAUCUAUGGGACCUAACUCAUACUCUGUACCUGUCAGAUCGUUGGCGCUAACCAUUAAUCCCAAAAGCUCGAGCUGUUAGAAAUACGUAACCAAUUCACUUAAAGCGUACAGAUACAGCGCCCAUGGGUCUUGAUUGUGACUCGGCCCAACUAACCUCACGUCACUUCGAACAUGACUCGGCCCACCCAGCCUCACGCCAUUUCGAAUAUGACUCGGCCCAACAUGGCCUUCCGCUACAAGACAGGAUGCUGGCCCAUUUAAGCCAACAAUCCCUCCCCAAGCACCUGCACACAUUUGCAGCAUGCGGGAACCGAACUCGUGACCUCUGGCUCUGAUACUACUUUGUCGGAUCGUUGGCGCUAGCCAUUAAUCCCAAAAGCUCGAGCUGUUAGAAAUACGGAACCAAUUCAAUUAAAGCGUACAGAUACGGCGCCCACGAGUCUCGAUUGUGACUCGGCCCAACCAGUCUCACGCCACUUCGAACAUGACUCGACCCAUCUAGCCUUACGCCAUUUCGAAUAUGACUUACCCCAACAUGGCCUCCCGCUAUAAGGCGGGAUGCUGGCCCAUUUAAGCCAACAGUACCUACUCAACAAAGAAAUAUAUUUUUUUUCAUGCAUUCUCCACUGUCUAAGUCGUAAUAUGUUAUAUCACGGAAAGUAAUUACUACCAGAAAUGCAAGUAAAUGUUUCAAGACAUCAAAAGUGAAAGAGUAGUGAUACCUACUAAUCAAUAGCUUUCCAAAAGACUACUUGAAACUAAACAUCUCGCAAAUUCUCUUCACACAUGGUUCCAAAGUGGCUAUAAAUAAAUAAAUAAAUAAAUAUAUAUAUAUAUAUAUAUAUAUAGAGAGAGAGAGAGAGAGAGAGAGAGAGAGAGAUUAUAUAUAUAUAUAUAUAGAGAGAGAGAGAGAGAGAGAGAGAGAGAUUUAAAUUUUAAAGAAAUGAAAAAAGUUUAUUACAACAUAUAACAAAUAUCUUUCUUUACGUAGUGCAUUUAUUACCACAACAAAAGUUCACUCGUAUCCUUACCACACUGUCAUUAUCAACAUCCAUGGUCGUCCUAUUUCUAGGCGUGUGAGGGCUCAACAGUGAAGGCAUAGGAUCAACAUCACCAGUCAAAUACAAAGUGUUUACUAUCCCAUACUCUCCGGUCACGAAAGGCUGCCGUUCAUCGUGCCGCCAUUCUCCAUCAACAAAGAAUUUGUACUGCAUGUAUAGAACACAGUAGUAUAAAACUUUAAAUAUUACAGAUGAAACAAUUGUGUCUGAAAGCUUAACUGAAUGGUCAAGCAAACGCACCAAUAUGUUCGCUUUGAAUUUCAUAUUAGCACACAAAUGUCUAGCAAAUAAGCAUUCUAAGCAUUCUAACAGUAAAAAACUUAGACCAGAUAAGUAACCUAAACUAGCAAGGUCUCAAUGCAAGUUAAUGACAUUCAAGGAUUAAAUUUGAGGGUGAAAAAACCAACAUUUAAAUAAGAAAGUUACGGAGGGCAGGGAAAAAAAAAAAAAAAAAGAAGCUACAAAGACUGAAAAAACUACAGAAUUACCUGAUGAAUGCCAGGAGCCAAACUGCAGAUUGCCUGGAAUACAGUAGGACAACCUUCCACAGGAGACAUUGGUAUAAGUUCCGACCACCUAAGGAAAACAUCUUACAGAAAUCAACACAAUACUCGUACGAAAAUUUUCGAGUAAUAAAAUGAUGUGAAAAUAGAGUUGCAAAGAGUAAUUAUCAGUUGACUGUACAGGCUCAUUUUAUUAUUUUUUCCCAUAGUUUUGAUGGCAACAAUGGGCAAGUCAUCUAAUUUAACAAAGGCUGAUUCAACCUAAACAAAUGUUUAAGAUAAACUUUCCUCCAAAAGAAUCAAAGAACAUAAACAACAGAAAAUAGACGUUGCAAACAAGAAUUUUGCAGCCUCAUUAGGUGAACCUGCAAUGUAGUUGAAGUCUACCAAGACAGCUUCUAAGUGUCAAUUGGUCUACGUGCAGUUUUUACAAAAUAAGUGAGAAUACUCACAAAUUCACUGUUCCUCAAGUUAAAUUUCAUGUACCAAUCCUCAAUAAGUAUACACCUCGAAAUCAAUUUGUAUGUAUGCAUGUUUGUUAUGACCUUUAGGAAUAUGCAAAUAAGGGCAAUAAGCAAUAAACAAAUUUGACCAAAAGUUAAAACCUCGACAUCAACUUGUAUGUAUGUUUCAUCUGACCUUUAGGAAUAUGCAAAAAAGGUUAUAAAGCAAUCAGCAAAUUUAAUCAAAUGUUAAAAUGAAAACUAGAUGAAUUUGUGCUGGAGAGUAGAAUUUCAGGUUUACUCUUAAACAUAGAGAAGAAAAGGCUAACAAAUAGGAGAUAUCUUGUCUCAAUAGAAAUUUAUGUAAGAGAUAUCAAUUUUUGUUAUGCCUUCAAUAAUUGCUUGAAGCAGUUAUAUGUUUGUUGACUCUAUUUGACUAAAUGUUAGCUAGUUGAGGAGAGAGAGGGAAGACGAUGAUUUGGUUUGGUUAGCUGAGUUGGUAAAUAUCAUAUAAGUCUACAUUGAUCGAAAGGUUAAUCUAUUGAAAUACAACAGUAGGGUGGAGUAAUUUUACAUCAAGCAUGUUCACCUCAUCACCCAUGCAAACCUCAAAUAGCAAAGAAAAACUUUUGUGUGCUUGGGUAAUCACACCACCCCAUAUAUAACAAGACAAGACCAGGAGAAAUAACUUCUAACUACAUUUAACCAAACAGAAAACUUAUAAUUGACGCACCCCCUACUGCAAGAUAGCCUAAUUGGAUAAGCACAAUUGUAAAUAUUUCAUGUCAACUGCAUGCAUCUCUAAUUGCACAAUAUUUAUGACUACAUACACCAAACGGCCAUUUCCAACUCUAUAUUAGUAUUUAUCAGCAUGCCAUGGAGCACAAGCUAAACUCUCAAACUUUUAAGAGUACAUUCUAACUGCUUGUAGCAACGAUGAAUAAAGCAAAGUAUUUGUUUAACCAUAACAGACUUAUAUUUAAGUUUAUCUAAUUGACCGUCUAAGUCCUCAGACAAUCUGCCCAAAUGCCUAAGCGGAGACUAGGAGUCUAGGGAGCCACCAUGCGUGAUAACCACCUUGAAAAUUUUGAGGAUUACAGGCGGCAGUGUCAUAUACAAUCACAUCUUCAGCUUUUAGUGCAUAGUACAUAUGUCAGCAAAUUGAUUUAGCAUUUUUGUCGCAUCAUUAAAAUUUCAUAUGGUUCAAAUACAAUCGAUGCAUAAGAGCAUUCAAAGUUCAUGUAAACAGAAGAUAAAAGUUGAACACAGAGAAUGAUCAAUAAAGCAAUAACUGCAAACACCAUAUGAAAGCAGUUAAUAAAGAAUGCUACAGUAAUAGACACUUAAUAGAUAUAGAAAGACCUAACCUCCUGAAAGAACCAGUUAGGAGCACCCUAUUCCCACCAUACGGCCAUACGAACCGCGUCAGAAUCUGCACCGCCCCCUCGGCAACCGGCGUGUCUCGAGAAGAAUCCGGCCCCGACGAGAACAUUUCCUUCGAUCCUUUCAACAAGCUUCUAACUGUUAACAAAUUACGGCGUACUCUUUCCUAGUUACCCUAACAACCAUCACCAAUCCAAAGCUCCUCUCCACCAUCAAAAGAGAGGGUAUCCCAACAACAAAAAGCCCUAAUUUAAGGUACCUCUUGCGACGGGAUCCUCCACAGCACGCAGAGGACCCCUCAGUGCUCACACAUUCCACGCAGGGAAGCGGCAAUCCGCCCGCGGUAACAUGAAAGCCCCCUCAAGCUACCUCAAAAGCAGCACCUUUGCGGCACAAAAGCCCCAAAAAUUCAAACAAUUCCCGAGCACCACCACACUAAGCCCCUUNAAAGAAUCUCUCUAGGAGCUUACAAACAACAGCACAAUUACCAGCCCUCCUUUCCAGACAACUUUGUGGUAAAUUUGAGGCAAGUUGGUGGGGUUAUUUAUAAUAGCCCAAGGAGAUGAGAGAGAGAGAGAGAGAGAGAGAGAGAGAGAGAGAGAGAUGGGUCGGAAAAGAGACGACGACAAUGGAGAGAGAGAGAGAGAGAGAGAGAGAGAGGGGAAAAGGGAGUUGAAGGGGGGGAGAAGCAAUACGAAUGUAUGCGGGAGGGGAUGCGUGCGUUUGUACGCAGGACAGUGGAUUAUGCGGACGCAGGUUGGGACAAUGCAAUCCACCAACCAAUCAGAAGCGGGGUAAAUGUACACGCCCCUCCAAUUUUUUUUUUAAGCUCAACGACUUAAAAAAAAAAAAAAAAAAAAAAAAAAAAAAAAAAAAAAAAAAAAAAACCCGAAAGGCUUGGUGAUUGAUAUUCGAGGUCCAAGUUUGAAUCAUAGUUGAAUCACACUUUCAGCUAAGUUAUUUCUAAAUGAAAUAAACGAAGUGGAUAGUAUACUACCUAUCUCUUAGAAAAAAAAAAAUAAAAUAAAAUAAAAGAAAGAGUUCAACCAACUCCCUAUAAAGAUAUCGAAAUAUAUUUCUAUUAAAAUUUAAUUUUUUAUAUUUAUUUCUACAAAAGUUGAGUGAUAUUCAUAUUUGCUGUUCUGAUUUGUUAUCACUACUCUCUAAUAGUUCCAAUUGUUAAACUUAUACAGAAAUAUCCUUCCAAAAAUUUUCGACGGUCAUCAUCUUUAUUUCUAUCAUCACAAAUAAUAUAAGAGGGGCAAAAAGUCAAUUUACCUUAUUUAUUAAGACUUCGUUUGGGAUCGCGGGGAGAUUGCAUUACAUGCUGUGAAAAAGUACGUUGGAAAAAUACUUUAUUUGUUUCCGUACGUAAUCCUGCGUUCCGCAUAUCGCCAUGAGUCGAUUAUGAUAUAUUUUCUAGAAUUUCACUGGAGAACGCAGAAAAAUAUCCCUAUAUACUUUUUCUCCAACUUCAUUUUAUCUAAUAGCAUUAGAUGGGCUUCAAUACUAAACUAAGUCUAACUAUAUUUUUCUAAUGAGUCCUAACAGUGGGAAUAUAUUUAAAAACGUUAAGACUUUUGUGGAAAUAAAUAUGAAAAAUAAAAUUUUAUAGGAAUAUAUCUGCUAUUCGAUAUAUUUACAUAGAACUGUAUACGACAAACCUUUUUUUUAAUGAGAUUGUUAGGAUUAUGUGUAGAUUUUUUUGAGUUAUUAGGAUUAUAUCUGUGUUGUUAGAAUUUUUAUGAAAUUAUUUGAAUUAUUAUAUAUGAAAAAUAUUUAGAGUUGGAACUCUAAUUAACGGUUUGGUUCAAAGUAAAAUUGUGAAAAUUAAUUUUUUGAAAAAAAAAUUUGGUGGAAUUUUUUUUUUUAACAUUUUAAGUUUUUGAUUUGUAGGGAAAAAAAAAAGUUUUCCACUAACAUUUGUUUGGUUGAAUAGAAAAAAAAAANAAAUGCUCGGUGAAUGGUAUUCGAGGUCUCAAGUUUGAAUCGUAGUUGAAUCACACUUUCAGCUAAGUUAUUUCUAAAUGAAAUAAACGAAGCGGAUAGUAUGCUAUUUAUCUCUCAGAAAAAAAAAAGAAAAAAGAAAAAAAGAAAGAGUUCAACCAACUCCCUAUAAAGAUAUCGAAAUAUAUUUCUAUAAAAUUUAAUUUUUCAUAUUUAUUUCUACAAAAGUUGAGUGAUAUUCAUAUUUGCUGUUCUGAUUUGUUAUCACUACUCUUUAAUAGUCCCAAUUGUUAAACUUAUACAUAAAUAUCCUUCCAAAAAUUUUUGACGGUCAUCUUCUUUAUUUCUAUCAUCACAAAUAAUAUAAGAGGGGCAAAAAGUCAAUUUACUUUAUUUACUAAAACUUCGUUUGGGAUCGCGGGAAGAUUGUAUUACAUGCUGUGAGAAAUUACGUUGGAAAAAUACUUUAUUUGCUUCCGUACGUAAUACUGUGUUUCGCAUAUCGCGAUGAGUCGAUUAUGAUAUAUUUUCUAGAAUUCCACUGGAGAACGCAGAAGCAUAUCUCUAUAUACUUUUACCCCAACUUCAUUUUAUCUAAUAGCGUUAGAUGGGCUUCAAUACUAAACUAAGUCUAACUAUAUUUUUCUAAUAAGUCCUAACAGUGGGAAUAUAUUUAAAAACGUUAAGACUUUUGUAGAAAUAAAUAUGAAAAAUAAAAUUUUAUAUGAAUAUAUCUGCUAUUCGAUAUAUUUACAUAGAACUGUAUACGACAAACCCUUUUUUUAAUGAGAUUGUUAGGAUUAUGUGUAGAUUUUUUUGAGUUAUUAGGAUUAUAUCUGUGUUGUUAGAAUUUUUAUGAAAUUAUUUGAAUUAUUAUAUAUGAAAAAUAUUUAGAGUUGGAACUCUAAUUAACGGUUUGGUUCAAAGUAAAAUUGUGAAAAAUAAUUUUUUGUAAAAAAAAUUUGGUGGAAUUUUUUUUUUUUUAAACAUUUUAUAGUUUUUGAUUUGUAGGGAAAAAAAAAAGUUUUCCACCAACAUUUGUUUGGUUGAAUAGAAAGAAAAAAUUCAUAUUUGCUUGGUUUGGUAGAAAAGAAGAUGAAAGAAAAAAGUUUUAUGCAAUUUGAAUUUUCGUUUUCCGCCAAAGCGAAAUUUUAAUUUUUUUUCAAAUCCGAAAAAAUAUUUUUAUGUUGAACCAAACAAACGAAAAAGCAUUUUUUAUACGGAAAUUAUUUUUCGGUUUAUUUUACGCGGGCAUGUUUGUUUCAACGAAACUAGACUUCGGGUUGAAAUGGAGUUCGGUGAAAACUACUACUUUUCCGUUGUUUGUUUCGUAGUUAUGGAAGUGAUAUUUCAUUAGUUCUGCUGUUUGUUUUGUAAGAAAUGUAGGAUGUAAAACUAUAAUUUAUAUAUAAAUAAUAAAUAUUUUAAUAAAUAAAGAUAACAAAAUUAUAUUUUUAUAUAAUUAAAAUUUAAUUUAAAAUAACUAAAUUAUUUUUUUAUACAAAAAUUAUAGUAAUACAUUAAUAAAAUUAUAAAGUAAAAAAUAUUAAAAUUGAACUAAUCAAUUUUUAUCAUAUUUUAAAUAUACCAACUAAAAAAAUAGUAAUUAGUAAUAUAAUUAAAUAUAUUUAAAUAUAAUUAUAUUUAUCUAUUAUAUUAUUUUAUUAUUUUUUUUACUUUUUUUUUUUUACCAUAAUUAACUUCGGCUCACGAUGGCCGAAGUCAAUUACGCCGUUUGAGGUUAACUCGAGUUCCGACCGUAACUUUUUUACGUCGAGCCAAAACAACGGAAGUGGUCGCUUAUAGCAAAACCAACUUCUCACCUCUCCACUUUCACCCAACUUCCACCC